rnacentral:lncRNA from 1 species
GAUCUUUUUCACAAGACAAAAAACAAUAUUCUCUUGAGAACAACUAUAGGGGAUGUGGUUACUUAUUCAUAAGUCGUUCUUAUUAGCACGAGAUAUUACAAGCGACAUAGAUUUUCACACAAAUGACAUACUCGUACAUUCCUUACUUGAGAGGGAUUCAAGACAUGGCAUAUCAUGGCAUGGCAGGCAUAUAUAAUAAUUCUGCCAGCUAACAAAGGUGUCCCUGAUUUAUUUCAACAACACACAAUAAUAGUAGUAGCACGUAGGCCUCACGGCCUACUCCUUAUAGCAGAAGUAACUCGAUGGAUGAUGAUGAAUCAUGGAAGAACAUAGAUUCCAAUGGCAUCAAUUAGAUCCCCAACACGUCCAAAGAAACCGGUGAUCUGGCCGCCAUGAGUCACUGGGACAUGAAAGGAACCCCCGGAACCAGCAAUACCACAUUCUAUAGUCUGUCCAUUGUUUGUAACAAAUUUGAGAGACGUCACUAUUGACGACACACUACCCCAUCUACCAUAGGUUCCUGAAAUUUCAGUCACAUAUUCCAUGUCUUCAAGGUCCAACUGUGUAAAACAACAAUCAAGCAUUUUUAUAAUUUAUAGUUAGGACUUCAUAUGGCGAUAAGGUUUACUUACAUAUAUAAAUUGUAUAUAUUAGGUAUUUUAUAAGGUUAAGCUGAUUCACACACCGUGUGCUUGUUCCCACUAGGAGCUCCCCAUGCACCCUCUACAUGCUGAUCCCCGGCAUGAUCCUCAUAUGUAAACUUGAUGGAGUGGAUUGCGUCCACACCAGAAAUUUCCACCCGGGCUAGUCGGUGGGGAGCGUGUCUGACGUCACGAGGCUGGCCUCCGACUCCACCCCAUAGACCAAUCUUCACAGGCUUGCUCUGCAAGCAUCAUCACACAGAUGUAAAAUCACACAAAGUAUGGAAUGUAUACAUACAUGCAUGUAAUGGAAAAUUGGAAGUAAGAAUAAUGUGCAUGAGUGUGUGUCAGUGUGUACCAUGAUGAAGCUAGUUCAACACAAAUGAAAGUUUAAGUGGUGGUAGUAGUGCAAAUGUAUAUAUGGAGUAUGAGGGACUUAUGGACACCAUGCAGAGAGGAGCACCCUAUAUAUAGUCAAGCGGAUGAACAAUCCACUACCUAGCAUGGUUGACAAUUGCAUGCUAGCUAGGUUUUAGUAAGUACUAAAACAAGGCGAAGUGUGAAUGCCAAAGACGAGAUAUAGCAUGCCAAAUUCCUUAAGAAUGAGUUAGUUAGCCAGCACACCAGUUGUCAAUUGGAGUUGUUACAUGUGCACAUCUAGUGAGCUCACAUUGUUGACAUCACAAAAUGCUUCAAUCUAUAUCAUGCAUCUAUAAAAAAGGGUUGAUAUUAAUUUUGUAGGACAGCAAUUCAAUAAUGAAGUGUGCACGCGUGGACAUUCCAGACUUUACGGGUUGCGCAUGGCCAUCACACUCGGCGUCCGUCGCCUGAUGGUCUAUGGCGACUUAGAUCUAGUGGUUAAUCAAGUAAUGAAGGAGUGGGACGUAAGGAACCCCACCAUGACUGCAUACUGCAACGCAAUAAGAAAGCUCGAAAAGAAGUUCGAAGGUCUGGAACUUCACCAUGUUCCCCGACUGAAAAACCAAGCAGCAGAUGAAUUGGCAAAACUUGGAUCCACACGGACACCUGUCCUGAGUGAUGUCUGCCUCGAGCACUUACACCUCCCCUCGGUAAAAGAAGAUCUUUUUACAGAAGAACCUAUGCAACCGAAGAGCUCAACAGAUCAGACUAAAGUCGAGGUUCCCGCUGUGGUCGACCUGGUCAUGGAGAUUCUAGCUAUCAUUCCCGAAUGGACUGUGCCAUUCAUUGCGUAAAUCCUGAGGCAAGAGUUACCGGAAGACGAGGUCCAAGCUAGGCAGAUCGUUCGCAGGUCGAAGUCCUUCACCGUCAUUGAUGACCAGUUAUACAGAGAAAGUGUUUCAGGCGUCCUUCAGCGGUGUAUCUCUCCUGAGGAGGGUCGGUUAGUUUUGGAAGAAAUUCACUCGGGAACUUGCAGCCAUCAUGCCUCCUCAAGGGCAAUCAUCGCCAAAGCAUUCAAAGCUGGUUUCUUCUGGUUGCAGGCGAAUGAAAUGGCAAAAGAUAUAGUCGACCAUUGCGAAGGUUGUCAGUUCUAUUCAAACAAGUCCCACAAGCCAACGUCCGCGCUGAAGACAAUUCCCCUUUCUUGGCCAUUCGCCGUGUGGGGAUUAGAUACAGUCGGACCAUUCAGAACAGGCCAAGGAGGAUUCACCCAUCUGCUGGUAGCAGUCGACAAAUUUACCAAGUGGAUUGAAGCCAAGCCAAUCAAGAAGCUUGAUGCCCUUACGGCCAUCAAGUUCACCAGAGACAUCAUCGCCAGAUACGGGGUUCCACACAGCAUAAUCACCUACAAUGGCACAAACUUUGACUCGGACAGGUUCAAAGGUUUUUGCGCAAGCCAAGGUAUCUGAGUGGAUUUUGCAUCCGUUGCGCACCCCCAAACAAACGGACAAGCGGAGCGGGCGAAUGGACUCAUUCUCCAAGGGUUGAAGUCUCGACUCCUGUGGGAAGUUGGACAUGCCGCCAGCGCAUGGGUCACCGAGCUGCCUUCGAUGCUGUGGGGCCUCCGAACAACUCCAAAUAGAUCGACAUGACGAUCCCCGUUUUCCUCGUUUAUGGAGCAGAGGCAGUCCUUCCGAGUGACUUGCUUCACAACUCUCCACGAGUCGAACUCUUCUCCGAAGCCGAAGCAGAGCAAGCUAGGCAAGACGGAGUGGACCUUUUAGAAGAGGAGCGCGAGAUCGCAUUGAUCCGUUCAACAAUUUAUCAACAAGAUCUGCGGCGAUUUCAUGCGCGGCACGUCAGGAGCCGCACGUUCCAAGCAGGCGACCUGGUGCUCCGAGUGGAUCAACAGAGACCACACAAGUUGGCUUCCGCCUGGGAAGGACCGUUCAUCAUUUCUAAGGUGCUGAACAACGGAGCGUAUCGACUCUACAACCUCGACAGGGAGGCGGAUGAGCCGCGAGCAUGGAAUGGAGAUAUACUGAAGCGCUUCUACACAUAACCACCGAAAGAGACAAUGUAAAGAACAAAUGUCGUCGAAGUAAUACAAAGCGGAUUAAUUUCUUGCCGAUUCAAAACUCUUCUGCGUUUGCAGACUCCGGUCUAAAAAACUAACUCCGAGUGUGCACCAAAAGUCACACUCGGGGACUUAGCUGCGACCCAGAGUCGCCUAAGUAAACAAAUCGCUCCGAGUGUGCACCAAAACUCACACUCAGGGACUUAGCUGCGACCCAGAGUCGCCUAAGUAAAAAACUUCCUCCGAGUGUGCUCCAAAAGUCACACUCGGAGACUUAGCUGCGACCUAGAGUCGCCUAAGUAAACAACUCGCUCCGAGUGUACACCAAAAGUCACACUCAGGGACUUAGCUGCGACCCAGAGUCGCCUAAGUAAACAACUCGCUCCGAGUGUACACCAAAAGUCACACUCAGGGACUUAGCUGCGACCCAGAGUCGCCUAAGUAAACAACUUCCUCCGAGUGUGCUCCAAAAGUCACACUCGGGGACUUAGCUGCGACUCAGAGUCGCCUAAGUAAACAACUCGCUCCGAGUGUACACCAAAAGUCACACUCAGGGACUUAGCUGCGACCCAGAGUCGCCUAAGUAAACAACUUCCUCCGAGUGUGCUCCAAAAGUCACACUCGGGGACUUAGCUGCGACCCAGAGUCCCCUAAGUAAACAACUCACUCCGAGUGUGCACCAAAAGUCACACUCGGGAACUUAGCUGCGACUCAGAGUCGCCUAAGUAAACAACUUGCUCCGAGUGUGCAUCAGAAGUCACACUCGGGGAUUUAGCUGCGACUCUAAGUCGCCUAAGCAAAAAAGUAACUCCGAGUGUGCACCAAAAGUCACACUCGGAGACUUAGCUGCGAACCAGAGUCGCCUAAGUAAAGAGCUUCCUCCGAGUGGGCACUUGAGUUACACUCGGAGGCUUAGCUGAGUCGCCUAAACAAAAACCAUGAGCCAAAAUCGUGUCAAAAAAACUCAGCGAAAGAAGAGCAAAAUAUCCGGUCCGAAUUCAAAUUGAGUUCUACGAUCAGUCGGCUCGGUGUGAAUCAAGUUUAUCCACACCGAGCCACGAAUGUACCGGCUAACAGCAGUGGCCAAAGUUUAAUACAAACUCCACUCGGCAUACCGAGGUAAAUGCACGUUCAGCAUAAAGUCAAUCAAGCAUCGCCGGGGCUGGCAGGCUCCACGAAGGUGUCGAGGUCGAUUCCAUCCGCCAUCCGAGUGGCCAUGUCGAGGAAGGUCUCCAUGAAGUCUUCAAAUCAAAGCUUCUUGGUGUUGGCGACCUCCAACGUCUUCAGCUUGUCUUCACGGGCUUCCUUACAAUGCACUCGGACCAGAGACAGCGCCACGUCCACGCCACACCGAGCGGCAGACUUCUUCCAUGCCUGCACUCUGCUUGGAACAUCCUCCAGUCGAGUCAUCAACCCCUCUGUCUCAUUCUGGGAGUCGUCUUCAGGCCACAGCUCUUUGUCAAUUCGGCCGACAACUCCUCUCAGGCGACCAAUGAAAGGACCUACCUUAUUAAGGCGGGAAUUCACUCGGAACAUGUCCCGGUUAGCUUCAUCACCGAGUGGAACAUUCGGUUGCCCAAGCGACCGUUCAAUUUCGGCAGUUUCAGCUUCAACGUCCCGACAGAAAUCUGCAAAGAAAAGACAAUGAGAAAAUAAGCGCGGAGUGAACUCCAAAGUCAAAGAGCACUCGGCAAGCAACUUACCACCAAGCAGUGCGACCAUCUUCUUCGCCCAGUCGCCGACGUAGUUCUCCUACGCUCUACACCGAGCGUUCAUUAACUUCAGCUGGCCCAUCCAUUCAGAUCUCUCCUUCUUCAUUUUUUCUACCUGGGCUAGCAGUGCCUUGUUAGUCCCCCGAGAUUCCUCCAACGAUACUUCUCGUUUAGCGAGAGCCUUCUUCAUGCCAGUCAGAUCAUUCACAGCUACCUCCAAGUCGACAGCAAGUUGAGUCUUCUCAGCCUUCAGAGCAUUAUAGGCCGAUCCCAUUUCACAAGUCUUGUGUCAAAGAGACACAAAGGGAGGAUAAGCCAGGUUCAACAAGGAAAAAGUCUCGACAGAUUCUUCAGACCCCUGCCGAUGCAAGCAAUCGACAGUGGUCUCGGGGACUACACCCAGUGGGUUCACUAAGAGUGACCCCACUGGUAUGAAGCUCGAACAGGUCGGUCCCAUUGAGCUCCAUAGCAAACCAACAACACUAUGAGAUUACUCUUACUCGACCCGAGUAACACUACUCUCGGGGACUACACCCAGUGGGUGCAAUCGACGUGCCCCCCACUGGUACCAUUUGUUGGGUAACGUAGCAUAAAUUCAAAAUUUUCCUACGCAUGUUCAUUAUCAAGUGACAACACUUGCCUAUGGUCAGGAAACCUUGAUUGUUUACUUAGGCGAACAGCUAAGUCCCCGAGUGUGACUUUUGGUGCACACUCGGAGCGAGGCAUCGUGGUUCAUCCGAUGAGAUCAUCGUGGAGCUAGUGGGAGCCCGGCGAUUCCGAUCUAGUGCCGAACAACGGCACCUUCGCGUUCAACACACGUGCAGCCCGGUGACGUCUCCCGCACCUUGAUCCAGCAAGGAGGAGGGAGAGGCUGGGGAAGAAGUCCAGCAACACGACGGUGUGGUGUCGGUGGAGAGACGAGGUCUCCCGGCAGGGCUUCGCCAANNNNNNNNNNNNNNNNNNNNNNNNNNNNNNNNNNNNNNNNNNNNNNNNNNNNNNNNNNNNNNNNNNNNNNNNNNNNNNNNNNNNNNNNNNNNNNNNNNNNUUGACUACUAAUGGGAUUAUCGUUUGCAAAAUAUGUGAUCCUUUUAGUGAAUCGCCAUUUUUGGAUUAAUUAUCCUAUUAGACUAUUGCACGCGGGUAACUAACAUGACCGUGUGUAAUAACAGCGAUGGUAUUCUUCGAGUCCUUCCACACAUAAAAUUAUUCCGGACAUCGAAAUCUAAAUAUUUGAUGCCCCGCCCCCUACAAAAUAGGGCAAAAGGAAAAAAAAUAUUUUUUUCAAAAGAAUGUACAGAAUACAUGGCAUAGACGAAUGGGGAUAUUUCCAUCAUAUGUCUAUGGAAAUCCACAAAACCGAAUGGGCAUGCAAACUGGAAUAACAGAAGUAUGGUACUUUUUAGUUCGACAUAUCUUAUUGCUAAUGAGAGGUAAUCAUAUCUUGUUGUCAUGCAUGGGGGCUCAUAGAAUGUCCAUACGUGCACACAUCAUUAUUGAAUUUAUGUCCUACAAAAUUUAUCUCAACCUUUUUUUAUAGAUGCACGAUAUAGAUAGAAACAUUUUGUCAUGUAAACAAUGUGAGCUCACCAGAUGUCCACGUGUAACAACUCCAAUUGUCAACCGGUGUGAUCGCUAACUAACCCACUCUUAAAGAAUUUGGCAUGCUAUAUCUCGUCUUUGGAAUUCACACUUCGCCUUGUGUUAUUAUUUACUAAAACUAGCUAGCAUGCAAUUGUUAACCACAUCCCCAUGAGUUGUUCUCUAGGGAAUCCUAUUUUUGUCUUGUGAAAAAGGUCCAUUUUUUACAUUGUACAACAAAAACUUCUUUAUGUGAUAUAAAGUAUAAGAAAUGGGCGCUUUAUUCUUCAAAUAAAGAAAUUCAUUUUUUUCUUGACUAGGUAGAUUCUAGAUCCGAAAGACGGACUUAAUGGAUAUGUUGGAUGUUUGUCUUGUCCAAAGUUCUGCAAAUAAACUCGUCCUGAGUGUACCACUAAAAAAUCAUGAAAAUAUUUUUUUGCGUACUUUUUUGUUUUGUCAUUGCAUAUGCAUGUAAUUUGUUUUCACACAUCGUAUGUUAAAGACAAACUAACAUAUGGUUGUGUUUCAUGAAGUUAAGGGCUCGUGCAUUCAGUCUUGAUUCUUUACUGUUGGGACUCGUGAAUCAUAUAUUCCAUUUCCAAUUGCACGUACAUACCAUCUACAAGAUGCUCAUGAUUUGACAUGUCUUUCGGAUGCAAGAUCGGUAAGAUGACCUAUCCAGGAUGUUCAUUGUGCGGGUUGUGUAAAAUAGUACAAACGAUACCGUCACAGGUGUAUCCCUAGAGAAUAUGUUUUUUCAUGUAAUCGUUUUGAGUGUGGUUAGAUUUGAAUUUAUUUUUUUUUCUUUCACAUAUGCCACACCGACACAAAAUGAUUUGCACUUUUGUGAGAUCCGCAUUAAGAUUGAGAACACUUUCAUUCAAGUUGUAGUGUUCACUAUUGGGAAUAAUCAAUCGGUUAGAUUUUUGUGUGAUAAUAUAUGUCCUUUAUAAGAAGCAUUCUAUGAGGAAAAAUAGACUGCGGAUAGGAGGCUUUCGGGUGUAAAAUGGGGUUUUAAUACUUCUCGUAGCUUUAUAACCAUACGUAUGUACCAUCUGUCGGCAAUAAUAUAUUAUUGAUGUGCCCUUGCUUUCGCAUGCUAGACACAAAAGGAAGAACAUCCGACAUGUUUGUCGUGCGUCGACGAAAAGUACUGCUUACAAAUGUAUUCCGUUUGNNNNNNNNNNNNNNNNNNNNNNNNNNNNNNNNNNNNNNNNNNNNNNNNNNNNNNNNNNNNNNNNNNNNNNNNNNNNNNNNNNNNNNNNNNNNNNNNNNNNAAUUUCUGGUGCAGACGCAAUCCACUCCAUCAAGUUUACAUAUGAUGAUAGAGAAAUGUAUUUUUUAGGUCGUCAGUCUCAACCCUUGCAUGUUCACCCUUAACAUCCUACUAGUCAACUGAUGUUUUGUAGUACAAUGUCGGCCCCUUAUACGGGUAAUCAAUCACUACUUACAUUCAACCUUCUUUGGAUGCAACUCAUUGCGGUCGCAUUAAAUAUUCAUGGUCCUAUCGUUUGCAUAAUGUGUGAUCCUUCGAGUGAAACUCCAUGUUGGGUUUAAUUAGCCUAUUAUGCUAUUGCAUGCGGGAAACUAACAUGUUCGUUCGUAAUAACAGUUAUGGUAUUCUUAGAGUCCUUACACACAAAGAUAUCAUCGUGGUCGUCAAAAUUCAAAUAUUUGUUGUUCCCCCCUAAAAACAGAGAAAAAAGGACAAAAAACAUUCCAAAAUAAUGCACACAUUACAUGGCAUAGAAUGUGGAUAUUAUCAUCAUAUGUCUAUAGAAAUCCAAAAAACCAAAUGAGCAUGCAAACUGGAAUAACUGAAUUAUGGUAUUUUUUAGUUUAACAUAUCUUAUUGCUAAUGAGAGGUGAUCAUAUCUUUGUGUCAUCCGUGUGGGCUCAUGGAAAGUCCACAUGUGCACACUCCAUUAUUGAAUUGUUGUCCUGCAAAAUUUAUCUCAACCCUUUUUUAUAGAUGCAUUAUAUAGAUAGAAGCAUUUUCUAAUGUUAACAAUGUGAGCUCACUAGAUGUCCACAUGUAACAACUCCAAUUGUCAACCGGUGUGCUGGCUAACUAACUCAUUCUUAAGGAAUUUGGCAUGCUAUGUCUCAUCUUUGGCAUUCAGACUUUGCCUUGUUUUAUUAUUUACUAAGUGUAAAGUAUUAUGGUUUAUACCAUAUAAAGAAGCAUUUAUUAUUUACCUAGGAGAGAGGUCUAGGUCCUAUGAGAGAGACGUUUUUCUGGUUUGUAUGACAAAAUUUAUCUUAACCCUUUUUAUAGAUGCAUGAUAUAAAUUGAAGCAUUUUGUGAUGUCAACAAUGUGAGCUCACUAGAUGUCCACAUGUUGGAUGUUUGUCUUUUCCAAACUUUUACAAAUAAACUCGUCCUGAGUGUACCACUAAAGAAUCAUGAAAAUCUUUCCGUGCGUACUUUUUUAUUUUCACAUUGCAUAUGCAUGUAAUUUAUUUUCUUGCACGUAUGUUAAAGAAAAACUUACAGAUGGUUGUGUUUCAUGAAGUUAAGUACUCGUGCAUUCAGUUAUGAUUCUUUACUAUUGGGACUGAUGAAUCAUUUAUUGUAUUUCUGAAAAAAUUAAAUUCGAGUUGAUCAAGGAUACGUCAUUCUAAGCUACCUAUAAUCAAAUAUUUAAUAUUGUAUAUCAAAGAUUUACAACUGCACCUACAUACCAUCUACCAUCUAUAAGAUGCUCAUGAUCUGACUUGUCUUUUACAUACAAGAUCAGUAACACGACCUAUCAAGGACGUUCACCGUGCGUGUGGUGUAAAGUAGUACAAACGAUACCGUCACGGGUGUUGCCCUAGAGAAUCUGUGUGUUUUUUGUAAUCAUUUCUAUUGUGGUUAGAUUUGAAUUUAAUCGAGACAAAAUGAUUUCCUCUUUUGUAAGAACGGCAAUAAUAUUGAGAACUCUUUCAUUCAAGUUGUAGUGUUGACUGUUGAGAAUAAUCAAUCGGUUAGAUUUUUGGGUGUUAAUAUAUGCCCUUUAUAAUAAAUAUUCUAUGAGGAAAGAUAGACUAGGGAUAGGAGGCUUUCGGGGGUAAAGUGGGGUUUAAUACUUUUCAUCGUGGCUUUGUAACGAUACAUGUGUACCAUCUAUCGCGAAUAAUAUAUUCUUGAUUGGGCCUUGCUUUCACAUGCAAGACAUAAAUGGAAGCCCAUCCAAGAUGUUGGUCGUGUGUCGACGAAAAGUACUUCUAUUAAAUGUAUUCCGUUUGUACCGCUAAAGAAACUGAAUUUUGUUGGUGUACUUGUUUAUUUUGUAGUUGGCUAUGAAUGUAAAUUUCUUACUUUGAUGCUUGUGAAAGAGAAAUUAACGCAUCGAUUUUUUGCUUUUGGAAGAACCUCAUGACGGUCAAGAACCAGUUACUGAAUUACAAAUCGAUUUAAUUUUGUAUAUUAAUAUAUUUCACUAUAAAAGGAUGAAAGGACUGCAUGGCAUAGAUUGACCUCGUUAAUAUUCUUCUAAUACGUUUGUUCACAUCCAACAAAAUGAGUUAGCUUGCGGGCCUCGAAAUAGUGAGAUAUGUUAGUUUUAUAGCGUGGCAUCUCACAUCAAUGAUGGAAAAUAAUAGUUUCUUCAUGUCUUAUGUGUGGGCUCAAAAUAUGUCCACGGAUCGCCAUAACGUUAGCUACUAUUUUUACCUUUUUCUAUUGAUGAUAACGAGAGAUGUAUUUUUUAAGGUCAUAAGUGUCAACCCUUCUAUGUUCAUCCUUAACGUCCUACUAGUCAACUAAUGUUUUAUAGUACAAUGUUGGCCUCUUAUACUGGUAUUCAAUCACUACUUACAUUUGACCUUCUCUGGAUGCAGCUUAUUGCGGUCGCAUUGAAUAUUAAUGGGCUUAUUGUUUGCAAAAUGUGUGAUCCUUCUAGUGUCGCCGUAUUGGGAUUAAUUAGCCUAUUAGAAAAUUGCAGACUGGUAACUAACAUGACCGCUCGUAAUAACAGUUUUGGUAUUAUUAGAGUCCUUUCACACACAAAAAUCAUUCUGGACAUCAAAAUCCAAAUAUUUGAUGCCCACCCAACAAAACAGGGCAAAGGAAAAAAAAUCAUUUUUCCAAAAGAAUGUACAAAAUACAUGGCAUAGACGAAUGGGGGUAUUUCCAUCAUAUGUCUACAGAAAUCCACAAAACCGAAUUAGCAUGCAAACCGAUUAUGGUAGUUUUUAGUUCGACAUAUAGUAUUGGUAAUGAGAGGUAAUCAUAUCUUGAUAACAUCCGUGUGGGCUCAUAGAAUGUCCACGCAUGCACAUAGCAUUACUGAAUUGUUAUCCUAAAAAAUUAUAAAAUCCCUUUUUUAUAGAUGCAUGAUAUAGAUAGAAGCAUUUUCUGAUGUCAAGAAUGUGAGCUCACUAUAUGUCCACAUGUAACAACUCCAAUUGUCAACCGUUGUGCUGGCUAACUAACUCAUUCUUAAGGAAUUUGGCAUGUUAUAUCUCGUCUUUCGCAUUCACACUUUGCCUUGUUUUAUUAGUUACUAAAACCUAGCUAGCAUGCAGUUGUUAGCCACACCCCCUAGAGUUGAUCUCUAGGGAAUCUUGUUUGUUAUCUCGUGAAAAAUAUCCAUCUGGUUUUCACAUUGUACAACAAAUACUUCUUUAUGUGAUAUAAAGUAUAAUAAAUGGACACUAGAUUCUUCAAAGAGGGAAAUUCUAUUUUUUCGGCUAGUUAGAUUCUAGAGCCGAAAGAUGGACUUAAUGGAUAUGUUGGAUUAUUGUCCAAAGUUUUACAAAGAAAGAAUCAUGAAAAUAUUUUUAUGUGUACUGUUUCGCUUUGUUCUUCCAUAUGCACGUAAUUUUUUUCUCGCACAUAUGUUAAAGAAAAACUAACAGAUAGUUGUAUUUCAUGAAGUUAAGGACUCUGCAUUUACUCAUGAUUCUUUCUGGAAUAAUGAAUCAUAUAUUCCAUUUCCAAAAAAAUGCAAUUCGAGUCGAUCAGGGAUAGUUCAUUUUAAGCUACUUAUAAUCGAAUAUUUAAUAUUGUAUGUUGUAGAUUUCCAACUACACGUACAUACCAUCUACCAUCUACAAGAUGCUCUUGAUCUGACAUGUCUUUUGGAUGUAAGAUCAGUAAGACGACCUAUCCAGAAUGUUCAUUGUGUGUGUUGUGUAAAAUAGUACAAACGAUACCAUCAAAGGUGUAGCCCUAGAGAAUUGGGUUUUUUAUGUAAUCGAUUAUACUGUGGUUAGAUUUGAAUUUAUUUAUUUUCUUUCACAUAUGCUACACCGAGUCAAAAUGAUUUUCACUUACGUAUGAUCCGUAUUAAGAUUGAGAACUCUUUCAUUCAAGUUGUAGUGUUGAUUGUCGGGUAUAAUCAAUCGGUUAGAUUUUUGUGUGUUAAUACAUGUCCUUUAUGCGAAACAUUCUAUGAGCAAACACAGACAAGGGAUAGGAGGCUUUCAGGUGGAAAAUGAGGUUUUAAUACUUUUCAUCGUAGCUUUGUAACCAUACGUGUGUACCAUAUUUCGCCAAUAAUAUAUUCUUGAUCUAGCCUUGCUUACUCAUGCAAGACAUAAAAGGAAUCUGAUACGUCCAUUUUGCAUCAUGCUUUCAUGUUGAUAUUUAUUGCUUUAUGGGCUGUUAUAUUACUUUGUGGUACCAUAUUCAUGCAUUUUCUCUCUUAUUUUGCAAGGUUUAUUUGAGGAGGGACAAUUCAGGCAGCUGGAAUUCUGGACUGAAAAAGGAGCAAAUCUUAGUCCACUAUUCUGCACAUCUCCAAAUGCCCUGAAAAGUUACAUUGAUUUUUUUGGAAUUAUAUAAAAAAUAUUGGGCGAAAGAAGUACUAGAGGAGGGCCACCAUGGCACCACAAACCCUGCCACCGCCCCUACCCCCUGGUGGCGGAGGGCAAGCUUGUGGGCUCCCUGACGGCCCACUAGCCCCCCUCUUUUGCUAUAUGAAGGGUUUCGUUCAAAAGUUACAUUGAAAUUUUUGGGAUUAUAUAAAAAAUAUUGGGUGAAAGAAGUACCAGAGGAGGGCCACCAGGGCACCACAAACCCUGCCACCGCCCCCUACCCCCUGGUGGCGGAGGGCAAGCUUGUGGGCUCCUUGACGGCCCACUAGCCCCCCUCUUUUGCUAUAUGAAGGGUUUCGUUCCAGAAAAAAUCAUUCGGGAGCUUUUUCGUGGUUUCGCCGCCGCCACGAGGCGGAAUUUGAGGAGAUCCAAUCUAGAGCUCCGGCAGGACGAUCCUGCCGGGGAAACUUCCCUCCCGGAGGGGGAAAUCGUCGCCAUCGUCAUCACCAACACUCCUCUCGUCGGAGGGGAGGCAUCUUCAUCAAAAUCUUCAUCAGCACCAUCUCCUCUCCAAUCCCUAGUUCAUCUCUUGUAACCAAUCUUCGUCUUGCAACUCCCAUUGGUACUUGUAAGGUUGCUAGUAGUGUUGAUUACUCUUUGUAGUUGAUGCUAGUUGGAUUACUUGGUGGAAGAGUUUAUGUUCAGAUCCUUGAUGUUAUUCAUUACACCUCUGAUCAUGAUUAUGAUUAUGCUUUGUGAGUAGUUACUUUUGUUCCUGAGGACAUGGGAUAAGUCAUGCUGAUAAUAGUCAUGUGAAUUUGAUAUUCGUUCGGUAUUUUGAUAUGUUGUAUGUUGUCUUUUCCUCUAGUGGUGUUAUGUGAACGUCGACUACAUAACACUUCACCAUACUUGGGCCUAGAGGAAGUCAUUGGGGAGUAGUAAGUAGAUGAUGGGUUGCUGGAGUGAGAGAAGCUUAAACCCUAGUCUAUGCGUUGCUUCGUAAGGGGCUGAUUUGGAUCCACUAGUUUAAUGCUAUGGUUAGACGUUGUCUUAAUUCUUCUUUUGUAGUUGCGGAUGCUUGAGAGGGAGGUUAAUCAUAAGUGGGAUGCUUGUCCAAGUAAGGUCAGUACCCAAGCGCCGGUCCACCCACAUAUCAAACUAUCAAAGUAACGAACGCGAAUCAUAAGAACAUGAUGAAACUAGCAUGAUAGAAAUUCCCGUGUGUCCUCGGGAGCGGUUUUCCUCCUAUAAGACUUUGUUCAGGCUUUCCCUUGCUACAAAAGGGAUUGGGCCACUUGCUGCACCGUUACUACUACUUGUUACUUGUUACUUUUUGCUUGCUACGUUUCACCUCGCUACACAAUCACUUGUUACCGCUACUUUCAGUGCUUGCAGUUAUUACCUUGCUGAAACCCGUUUAUCAGAGCCUUCUGCUCCUCGUUGGGUUCGACACUCUUACUUAUAGAAAGGACUACGAUUGAUCCCCUAUACUUGUGGGUCAUCAAGACUCUUUUCUGGCUCCGUUGCCGGGGAGUGAAGCGCCUUUGGUAAGUGGAAAUUUGUAAGGAAACAUUUAUAUACUGUGCUGAAAUUUAUUGUCACUUGUCACUAUGGAAACUGUUCCUUCGAGGAGUUUGUUCGGGGUAUCUUCACCACGAACGGAAGCGCGAGGAGUUGUUCCUCGACCUGAGGUACCUACUGAAAAUAUCUUUUAUGAAAUUCCUUCGGGUAUGCUUGAGAAACUGCUGGCUAAUCCUUUCACAGGAGAUGGAUCUUCACAUCCAGACUUGCAUCUGAUUUAUGUAGAUGAAGUUUGUGGUUUAUUUAAGCUUGCAGGUUUGCCCGAGGAUGAGGUAAAUAAGAAAGUAUUUCCUUUAUCUUUGAAGGAUAAGGCUUUGACAUGGUAUAGGCUAUGUGAUGAUACUGGAUCAUGGGGCUACAAUCGGUUGAAAUUGGAAUUUCAUCAAAAGUUCUAUCCUAUGCAUUUAGUACAUCGUGAUCGGAACUUUAUUUAUAACUUUUGGCCUCCUGACAGGGAAAGCAUAGCUCAAGCUUGGUGGAGGCUUAAAUCAAUGCUAUAUUCAUGCCCCAAUCAUGAGCUCUCGAGAGAAAUCAUCACUCAAAACUUUUAUGCUCGGCUUUCUCCUGAAGAUCGUACCAUGCUUGACACUUCUUGUACCGGUUCUUUUAUGAAGAAGGAUAUUGAUCACAAGUGGAAUUUAUUGGAAAGAAUCAAACGCAACUCUGAAGAUUGGGAGCUGGAGGAAGGUAAGGAGUCAGGUAUGAAUUUCCAGUUUGAUUGCGUUUAAUCUUUUGUGGAGACCAACACUUUUAGAGAUUUUAGCGCUAAGUAUGGACUUGACUCUGAGAUAAUAGCUUCUCUAUGUGAAUCUUUUGCUGCUCAUGUUGAUCUUCCCAAAGGGAAGUGGUUCAAAUAUCAUCCUCCUAUAGAAAUCAACAUAGCCAAAACCAAUCUAGUUGAGGAGAAAAUCAUUGCUUUUAGUGAUCCUGUUGUUCCUUGUGCUUACACUGAGAAACCACCAUACCCUGCUAGGAUAAAGGAUUAUUCUAAAGCUCCAACUGUGAUAUGUAGGGGUUACAUUAGACCACUUGCACCCCCUGAGGAGAUUAGAGUUGAACCUAAUGUUGCUAUUAUCAAAGAUCUCUUAGCCGAAGACAUAGAUGGGCAUGUUAUCAAAUUCUGUGAGGACUCCGCUAGAAUUGCUAAACCUCACGCGAAACACAAAUGCGGACCUGUAUUUGGCCUGCCCGUUGUUUCUGUCAAGAUAGGAGAUCACUGUUACCAUGUUUUAUGUGAUAUGGGAGCUAGUGUUAGUGCAAUACCCCGUUCCUUAUAUGAUGAAAUCAAAGAUGAGAUUGCACCUGCUGAGUUAGAACCCUUUGAUGUCACUAUUACGCUAGCUAAUAGAGACACUAUCUGCCCUCUGGGAACUGUGAGAGACGUAGAAGUCCUUUGUGGUAAGACGAAGUAUCCUACUAAUUUCCUCGUCCUUGGUACUGCACAAGAUAGCUUUUGUCCCAUCAUAUUUGGUAGACCCUUUCUCAAGACUUUCAAUGCUCACAUUGAUUGCAUUAAGCAGACCGUCAGAGUUAGUUUCGAGGGUGUGUCUCAUGAAUUUAACUUCUCCAAGUUUGGAAGACAACCCCAUGAAAGAGAGUCGUCUGGUAGGGAUGAAAUCAUUGCUCUUGCCUCUAUUGCCGUACCUCCUACGGAUCCUUUAGAGCAAUAUCUGCUUGAGCAUGAAAAUGAUAUGCAUAUGGAGGAGAGAGAUGAGAUAGAUAAAAUUGUCUUAGAAUAAUAUCCUAUUCUCAAGAAUAAUCUGCCUGUUGAACUGCUUGGGGAUCCUCCCCACCAAAGGGUGAUCCUGUGUUCGAGCUUAAACAGUUGCCUUAUACUCUUAAGUAUGCCUACCUUGAUGAGAAGGAGAUAUAUCCUGUCAUUAUUAGUGCUCUCCUCUCAGAGCACGAAGAAAAGAAAUUACUAAAAACUCUGAGGAAGCACCGUGCUGCUAUUGGAUAUACUCUUGAUGAUCUUAAGGGUAUUAGUCCCACUCUAUGUCAGCACAAGAUUAAAACUGAUCCUGACUUCAAACCAGUUGUUGAUCAUCAAAGGAGAUUGAAUCCUAAGAUGAAAGGGGUCGUUAGAAAAGAAAUAUUAAAGCUUCUGGAAGCAGGAAUCAUUUAUCAUGUUGCUCAUGGUGAUUGGGUAAGUCCAGUACAUUGCGUACCUAAGAAGGGAGGUAUAACUGUCGUUCCUAAUGAUAAGGAUGAACUAAUCCCACAAAGGAUUAUUACCAGCUAUAGGAUGGUGAUAGACUUCCGAAAACUGAACGAGGCAACCAGGAAAGAUGAUUAUCCUUUGCCGUUUAUCGACCAAAUGCUAGAAAGGCUAUCAAAACACACACACUUCUGCUCUCUAGACGGUUAUUCAGGUUUCUUGCAAAUACCUGUUGCACAAUCUGAUCAGGAGAAAACCACUUUCACCUGCCCCUUCGGUACCUUUGCCUAUAGACGUAUGCCUUUUUGCUUAUGCAAUGCGCCUGCCACCUUUCAAAGAUGUAUGAUGGCUAUAUUCUCUGACUUUUGUGAAAAGAUUUUCGAGGUUUUCAUGGAUGACUUCUCCGUUUACGGGUCUUCCUUUGACGAUUGCCUCAGCAAUCUUGAUCGAGUCUUACGGAGAUGCGAAGAUACCAACCUCGUCUUGAAUUGGGAGAAGUGCCACUUUAUGGUUAAUGAAGGUAUCGUUUUAGGACACAAAAUUUCUGAGAGAGGCAUUGAAGUUGAUAAGGCUAAGGUUGAUGCAAUUGAGAAAAUGCCUUGCCCCACGGAUAUCAGAGGUAUACGAAGUUUCCUAGGUCAUGCUGGUUUCUAUAGAAGGUUCAUUAAAGACUUCUCUAAGAUUUCUAGGCCUCUUACCAACCUCUUCCAGAAGGAUGUUCCGUUUGUUUUUGAUGAGGAUUGUGAGGAAGCCUUUGAAAUACUUAAGAAGGCUUUGUUAACCGCACCUAUUGUUCAACCACCUGACUGGAACUUGCCCUUUGAAAUCAUGUGUGACGCUAGUGAUUAUGUUGUUGGGGUUGUUCUAGGACAAAGAGUUGAUAGGAAGUUGAAUGUUAUUCACUACGCUAGUAAAACUCUAGACAGUGCACAAAGAAACUAUGCCACUACGGAGAAGGAAUUUUUAGCAGUCGUGUUUGCAUGUGAAAAGUUCAGAUCUUAUAUACUUGACUCCGAAGUCACUAUUCACUCUGAUCAUGCUGCUAUUAAGUACCUUAUGGAGAAGAAGGACGCUAAGCCUAGGCUGAUCAGAUGGGUUCUCCUGCUACAGGAAUUCGAUUUGCACGUCGUUGACCGAAAGGGUGCUGAUAACCCUGUAGCAGAUAACUUGUCUAGGCUAGAGAAUGUCCUUGAUGACCCACUACCUAUUGAUGACAGCUUACCUGAUGAGCAAUUAAAUGUCAUCCGCACUUCACAUAGUGCAUCGUGGUAUGCCGAUUAUGCAAACUAUAUCGUAGCCAAAUACAUACCACCCAGUUUCACCUAUCAACAAAAGAAGAAAUUCUUCUUUGAUUUGAGAUACUACUUUUGGGAUGAUCCUCACCUUUAUAAGGAAGGAGUAGAUGGUGUUAUUAGACGUUGUGUGCCUGAACAUGAACAGGGACAGAUCCUGCAGAAGUGUCAUUCUGAAGCCUACGGAGGACACCACGCUGGAGAUAGAACUGCCCAUAAGGUAUUGCAAUCAGGUAUCUAUUGGCCCACUCUCUUCAAGGAUGCCCAAAAGUUUGUCUUGUCUUGUGACGAAUGCCAAAGAAUAGGGAACAUCAUCAUAAGGUAUUGCAAUCAGGUUUCUAUUGGCCCACUCUCUUCAAGGAAGUUUGUCUUGUCUUGUGACGAAUGCCAAAGAAUAGGGAACAUCAGUAAGCAUCAAGAAAUGCCUAUGAACUAUUCACUUGUCAUUGAACCAUUUGAUGUCUGGGGCUUUGAUUAUAUGGGACCCUUCCCGAGUUCCAAUGGGUACACUCACAUCUUAGUUGUUGUCGAUUACGUUACUAAGUGGGUAGAAGCUAUCGUCACUAAAAAUUCUGAUCACCACACCUCUAUUAAGAUGCUUAAAGAAGUCAUAUUCCCAAGAUUUGGAGUCCCUAGAUAUCUGAUGACUGGUGGCGGUUCACACUUCAUUCAUGGUGUUUUCCGCAAGAUGCUCGCUAAGUAUGAUGUCAACAAUAGAGUUGCAUCUCCUUAUCAUCCUCAGUCUAGUGGUCAAGUGGAGUUGAGUAAUAGGGAGAUCAAAUUGAUCCUACAAAAGACCGUCAAUAGAUCUCGAAAGAAUUGGUCUAGCAAACUUGACGAUGCACUAUGGGCUUAUAGGACUACUUAUAAGAAUCCCAUGCGCAUGUCACCGUAUAAAAUGGUUUAUGAUAAAGCAUGUCAUUUACCACUUGAGCUGGAACACAAAGCUUAUUGGGGAAUCAAAGAGCUCAACUUUGAUUUCAAACGUGCCGAUGAGAAGCGGUUGUUUGAUAUCAGCUCGUUAGAUGAAUGGAGAGCCCAGGCAUAUGAGAAUGCCAAGUUGUUCAAGGAAAAGGUUAAGAGAUGGCAUGACAAACGAAUACAGAAACGAGAGUUCAAUGUAGGUGAUUAUGUCUUGUUAUACAAUUCUCCUUUGAGAUUCUUUGCAGGCAAGAUUCUCUCUAAACGGGAAGGUCCUGAUGUUAUCGAGGAAGUAUAUCGUUCCGGUGCCAUCAAAAUCGAUAACACGGAAGAAAAUUUUCCGAGAGUCGUAAAUAGGCAAAGAAUCAAGCAUUACAUCUCUGGUACUCCCAUAAAUGUUGAGACCAUUAUCAUCAAUGUCAUAACUCCACAGGAGUACAUAAGGGAUGUUUUGCAGCCUGUUUCAGACCCUGAAAACGAAGAGGUGUCUGUUUCGGUAAGAAAUUGGACUCCAAUGCUUUUCCAAUAGGAAAUUUCCUCCGUUUUGGAAUUUUUGGAAAAUUAGAAAAAUAAAAAGCAGUCCGGAGAGCGCACGAGGCGACCAUAAGCCCUGCCACCGCCCCCUACCCCCCUGGUGGCGGGGGGCAAGCUUGUGGGCACCUCAUGUGCCUCCCGGACUCUGUUUUCUUGCGGAGCACUCCUUCUGGUCCAGAAAAAAUCAAUAUAUACUCUCCCGAAGGUUUUGAUCUCCGCAUCGCGCAGUUUUCCUCUAUUUUCGUUUCGAGCCUGUUUCUGCCGCAAAUCUAGGUCAAGAUGUCUUCUCAAGAUUCAGAGGGGGAGAGCUAUGUGGCUGACUACCUUUCUAACCCCAAGGUCUAUGGAGACUUGGAACCAUAUGGCUGGACUACUCACGAGGAAGAGGACUAUGAGCCCAAGGGGAAGGAACAAACGAGUUCUGAGGAAGAGGAGGCUCCUCUACCUCAACCUGGACGCACUCAUGUGGAGUUCAAGAAGUCAAGCCUCCCUGACCAUAGGAAGAAGGCUAAGACCUUGUUUAUCCCUUCUCGUUUCUUGCAGGAGAGUAAGCAGGAACUUUUCCAUAGAGUGUUGAAACUUGAGGAGGAAAAUGACGACCUAAGGGAGCAGAACUUUUUGCUCAAGUGGAAGUUAGACAAGCUCAAGACUACUCCAACAAUUCCACCACCAUCACCACCAAAGGAAGACAACUAAGCAUUGGUAUGGGAAAUCCCCUUGGCUUCUGCCAAGCUUGGGGGAGUUGCCCUCGUAUCGUAUCACCUUUAUAUCUUUUGCUUUUACCUUUGUUUUAGUUCUUUCCUUUUCAAUUUUUAUUUCUUAUCUUAGAGGAAUAAAUCUUUACUGUCUAGUUUGAGUCUUUUGAUUUUGUCUCUCCCCCGAUGUAUUCGAGCUUACGAGCUAUAUAAUAAAGAGUAUCUUAGUCAAGGGCUUUGCUUUGUGCCAUGAUCAAAAGUAUGAAAAGAACGAUAGCAUGAAAGAUCAUGAGACGAUCUUAUGGAAAGUGAUAACUUCACAUAUGACACGUAUGAUGAUUGAAACUUGUUGAGAAUAAAUCAACAUAGACCUCAGUCAUUGUUGCAAUUAAUAAGAAGUAAUAAGGAAAGAGAGGUUCACAUAUAAAUAUAUCAUCUUAGACACUUUUUACAAUUGUGAGCACUCACCAAACUAUUACAUGCUUAGGAGUAGAUGUUGGACAAGGAAGACAACAUAAUGAAUUGUGUUUGCUUGGUUCCAAACAAUGUUAUAUGAUUAAAGAUCCCUUAGCAUGUGACGAUUGCUUCCACCUCAUAUUAGCCAAAACUUCCGCACCAAGUAGAGAUACUACUUGUGCAUCCAUAAACCUCCAACCCAGUUUUGCCAUGAGAGUCCACCAUACCUACCUAUGGAUUGAAUAAGAUCCUUCAAGUAAGUUCUCAUCGGUGCAAGCAAUAAAAAUUGCUCUCUAAUAUGUACGAUCUAUUAGUGUCGUGGGUAUAAGUCUGACAGUAGAAGUAUGGGGUACGAAAGUAUAUGGGCAGAGCCUUAGCUACGGCGACGAUGUAUGAGUUCAGGCCCCUCUACGGUGGAGGUAAAAGCCCUACGUNNNNNNNNNNNNNNNNNNNNNNNNNNNNNNNNNNNNNNNNNNNNNNNNNNNNNNNNNNNNNNNNNNNNNNNNNNNNNNNNNNNNNNNNNNNNNNNNNNNNCCCGCCGAGCUCCCACGAGGUUAUCACAUGUGCCCGUGAUGCUGCGGACCCACGCACUCACAGAGUCCUCGCUCACGUCUUCAGGAUGGGACCGAGUGGUAUCCGAAGGCCCCGUGUAAUGCCACAUUGCGUGGUCUCGGGCCUGGAGCGGCUGGAUGCAUCGACCCAGAAAAGUCUCCAACAGGUCCAUGCCGGUGACUCCCUUCCGGACGACGGCUAUCAGCGCGUCGAUCAAAGGCUGGAUCUAGGUUCUUUCUCCCUUAGAGAGCGCUAGCUUCCUGGGAGGGCCCGGACGGUCUAAACUGAAGGGUGGUAACCCACUCGAAGCAUUCGGGCAGGCAAUGUCCUGGCAAUAGAACCAGGACAAUUGCCAGUUCCUAACCGACUCGGAUAGCUGAAGGGAGGGAUAGCUACUUUUCGUUUUCUUCUGAAAUCCUAAACCCCCGCAGAGUGGAGGAUGUGUGUCUUGUCAUUAGACUGGCUAAGCUUCUUAACAUUUUGAGAUCUAGCGGCGAAAACAUAUUUGAAGAGCCCCCAGUGGGGAGGACAUCCUAUGAAGCACUCGCAGAGGGUGAUGAAUGCGGAAAGAUGAGCUAUCGCAUUCGGCGGAAAGUGAUGGAGGUGCGCCCCGAAGUAAUUCAUGAUACCUCGGAAGAAAGGAUGGGGAGGCAGGGAGAAACCUCUGGCCACGUGGCUGAGCAGCAGAACGCGCUCCCCUCCUUCGGCGCAGGCUCCAUCUCGCCUUCCGGCAGCCUCCAAGACUUAUUGACAACCAUGCCGUGCUCCACCAGCUCCAGCACGUCGGUCUCCCUCACCGUGGAGGGGAGGAAAUCCCCCUGAGUCGAGCCCGCCGGCAACGCCCGCUGCCGACGCUGAGUGGAGGCCGCCCCCUUCUUCUUCUUCUUCGCCUCGAGCUUGCUGGUCUGCCCCUUUGUCAUGGCGAGGGCGACGGAUCCGCAGAGGAGGAGGGGAAGGAGGUGGGCUAUAGGUGUGCAGAGAGUUGCGGGGAGGCGAGAUCGAUGGGAGGAAGACGAGCAGCGCAACAGGAAGGUCCGCCGGGAAGGCUUUAAUAGGCCUCCGACUGAAUCACCUAGAGGUGGGCCCAAGAUCUUAUCCUCCCAACCGGCUGCUGCAAGAUUAGUGGAGAGGAUCGCGGCGCGGUAAUCGAGGAGGAGAAAUCUACUCGAUGGCGAUGUCGUCAUCCCCGCUGAGCGUGCGUCAACCGAAAUUUGAGGAUCCCGGAAAAUCCGGCACUGUCAGUAUGACUGGUCACGACGAAAGAUUCCGCGGAAGAAAUCGGUCCCUCACGGCUUGUUUCACUUGCAUAUUCACUCGGAUCACUAGCCGCAAAGAUAAAAUGGAUCGAGGCAGACAACGCUAAGAUCACCUCAAUACCAGUCGGCUCCAAACUCCGCACGUCACUUCAUCGUUCCAGCACCCGAUCCAUUCGGGGACUAAUGAUGGGGUUAUAGUCCCAGGGUAGGGUCAUAGGUCUGCCCUAUAGGUCCUACCCAAGGACUACCCUUCAUAGGAGACAAGGCCCUUAGACAGUUCCGACUGAACUAAGGACGCCCCUAUCAUCCAGUCGGCGAUGAUCCACUCGGAGCAUAUCUAACGUACCGACUGGAAUCCACUCUGUACAUCGUAACCUCCCAGGAGGGCAACGGUCAUACGUUUUCACACACCAUAACUAGCAUUUAAGGCUUAUGUUAACAGUAACGCCAGCGUUUACUCGCCACUACUCCACCCCUGUCCACCGGACCAUUAUGAAGGGCAACGCACUCUAUAUAAGCCGCCCUUCAGCACUGGUACAGGGGUUGGCACUUGCUGUAAUCCCUUGAUACACUCAACACAAAGCUCCCAAGAGCACUGAGACGUAGGGCUUUUACCUCCACCGUAGAGGGGCCUGAACUCAUACANNNNNNNNNNNNNNNNNNNNNNNNNNNNNNNNNNNNNNNNNNNNNNNNNNNNNNNNNNNNNNNNNNNNNNNNNNNNNNNNNNNNNNNNNNNNNNNNNNNNGGAUGUUAUCACGAAGGCACACCAACGCCACGAAGGCUCACCCUAUUCUCCCUUUGAGAUAACUCUACGAAGGCGUUUCUCAACCACUAGUGGUAGCCUUGAGGUGGCUUCCAAACCUUCACAAACUUUCCGGGGGAAAUCACAAUGGUUUGAUUNNNNNNNNNNCACGAAGGCAUUUCUCAACCACUAGUGGUAAGCCUUGAGGUGCCUUCCAAACCUUCACAAACUUUCCGGGGGAAAUCACAAUGGUUUGAUUCCUCUCCGAAGACUCCUACCGACUAGGAGUCUCCAACCACCAAGAGUAAAAAGAUCACGGGGAUUGCUCAAAACUUGCUCAAAUCACAAAUCACUUUGGUGGGAAGGAGGAGAAGGAGACGAUCUAUCUUUUGAUUGGAACAACACUCAAAGGGACUCACAAAUGCUCUUGGGAUCUAAUAUUUGGUGUAGACAAGAGUGAGUGAGAAGAAAGGUGUUCUUGGAUGUGUUCUAGCUGUGUUGGACCCCCUCUCACGAAGUGGGAGAGUGGUAUAUAUAGUGGGGAGUGUAAAACAGCCGUUGGGGACACUUUAAGUCACACAGGGCUCGGACGUCCGGCAGUUUACGGAAGUCCGGUUGUCCGCAAGGGGUCGGACGUCCGACAGGGGUCGGUCGUCCGAGAGUUGUAGAUAUGUCUGGAAACACUGUGAGUUGAACAGGGACCGGACGUCCGGAGAAGGCCGGAAAUUCGAGUUAUUUGACUCAACUUUUUCUGGUGCAAGGUUCCGGAUUUCUGAAAGGGGACGGACGUACGGCCCUCGGACGUCCGGAGGGAGCCGGAAAUCCGAGUUAUAGAGCUCACGUUCUUCUCGUGCAGGGCUCCGGAUUUCCGAAGCUGGUCGGUCGACCGGCCCUCGGAUGUCCGGAGGGAGCGGGAAAUCCGAGUUAUAGGGCUCAAUUUCUUCUGGUGCAGAGCUCCGGAUUUCCGAAGCUUGUCGGUCGUCCGACCCUCGGACGUCCGGAGGGAGCUGGAAGUCCGAGGCAAUAGACCUAUUUUGAGAUAGGAGCAGAGUAGAGAAUAUGUGGUAUUGAGCAGAAUAGUGAAGNNNNNNNNNNUCGGAAAUCCGAGUUAUUCGACUCAACUUCUUCUGGUGCAAGGUUCCGGAUUUCCGAAAGGGGAUGAACGUCUGGCCCUCGGACGUCCGGAAGGAGCCGGAAAUUCGAGUUAUAGAGCUCACGUGCUUCUGGUGCAGGGCUCCGGAUUUCCGAAGCUGGUCGGUCGACCGGCCCUCGGAUGUCCGGAGGAAGCCGGAAAUCCGAGUUAUAGGGCUCAAUUUCUUCUCGUGCAGAGCUCCGGAUUUCCGGCGCCUGUCGGUCGUCCGACCCUCGGACAUCCGGAGGGAGCUCGAAGUCCGAGGCAAUAGACCUAUUUUUAGAUAGGAGCAGAGUAGAGAAUAUGUGGUAUUGAGCAGAAUAGUGAAGAUGUGGUAUGAGCAAGUUCAUAGCAAAACCUGUGAUCCCCUCUUAAUAGUGCGAGAUCCCUAUACUCAAGAAUAGUAAACUCAAAAUGAUAGUCUACAUCAUCUUUUCUCCAUCCUGAGCCUUCUUGACAUAUAAAUCCCGAUCUUCUCAAACCACCUUUGGCAUAUAAUUCUCAAUCUACUAAAGUACUUGCCAUCCUGAGAUACACUCAACAAAUAGGAUUAGUUUCCUAUGUAUGUGUUGUCAUUAACACCAAAAGUCGAUUAGGGGCAUAUCAUGCACUUUUAGAGGCCCUAACUGAAUUAGAGCUUUUCUUCAUACUUACAAGCAGAUUGAAAAUGCAAACACCCACUCUCAACUUCAGGAGGAUCUCAUUGAGCACCAUUGGCAAACAGCUCGGCAGUAACACAUUUCAUUUUUUCAUUCAUGUGGGAUUUGUAUACGGGACAAGUUUUGUAUUGAAUUAUUUAGUUUGCUUCGGUGAUUUGAAUAAUUAUUGUACUUUGGAUGAUUAUUGUAUUGUAAUAUUGACAUCUUUCUUAUAUUGCACAUUAGUAAUUUCAAUUUACGGGGUUUUUGAUUUGCGGGUCUACGCGGCAGCGUCUGAGGAGACCCCGCAUAGCCGACCCGUAAAAGAGCAUCUUCUCUGAAUAUCCUUUUUUACGGGUCUAUUUUGCAACGUUCGGGCGACGAAGGGGAAGUGGCUAGAAUUGUUAAUAGUCAUGUAUAUGUCAAUGAACUACAAUUUAUCUCUAUUGAAGGCGACACAAAGACGUGGAGUAUUUGAGCUCGAGCUAGAACGCACCCGUGUGAACAGUAAAAAACAUUUAAAAAAACUGUUUUUUGUGAUAAACUUUGACAAAAGUUUUAAAUGCUUGCAAAUUUUAAUUAUAAGGACACAUUUGAGUAAGCCGUGACAAAAAACGAUGCUCUCAAAAUGCUAUUUUUCAAAGCAUUUUGAAACACUAAUUUUGUUUUUUUUCACGCCUUACACAAAUAUGAUCUCAUGAUGAAAAUUUGUAAGUACUUAGAACUUUUGUCAAAGUUCAUCACAAAAAAAAAGAAUGUAUUAAAACAUUUUUUUUUCAUUUUUACUGUUCACGCGAAUAUAUUUGAGCUCGAGCUCAAAAGGGUACUUUCCGCGACACAACCGCUUCUCCAAUACUCCUUCCCAACUAUCUUUGUAAGCAUGCACCAUGGAAAGGUCGACACUUGUUAGUUAUGGUUAAUUCUCGAACGAGUCAUGCUAGAUAAUGCAUGACAAGCGAUCAUCCUAACGAAGUAUUUCCGCGUGCGAAACCACGGUAUGGGACCAAAGCCCACGAUUUUGUCGGAUAAUCAAUAUGCUUACGCUCCCGCUCGUUGUUGCAUAAAACGAGAGAUUCCUUAAUUGUGUUUGUCAUUGGCGACUAAAGUUUGAUGACCAUAAAGUUAUUUUCUCACUAUCAAUGAAUCGACGAGGCCUAGGUCGCCCAAGGGCAUGAUAAACUCAGAGAGUACGUUGCAUGGGUCGGUGUUGGUUGGCGCAAUUAUCAACACAAAUGAGGCUUUUCCCGCAAAAAAAAGAAAAAAAACAACACGGAUGAGGCUGCUGGAGAAGCCGGACACGGUUACAUAUAUGCUCAUAUGCACAGUGAUGACGACAGGGGGACCAGGGCCAUGGCCCCCCUAACAUCAGCCAUUUGAUGGUAAUUUGAUAUGAACGGUGCAAAAAUUGAUCACUAUUUGCAACUAAAAAAAUAUUAUUAUUUUUAGUUGCUUGGUGUUGGAAAUAUUCCCUAGAGGCAAUAAUAAAUUAGUUAUUAUUAUAUUUCUUUGUUCAUGAUAAUCGUUUAUUAUCCAUGCUAUAAUUGUAUUGAUUGGAUACACAGUGCAUGUGUGGAUACAUAGACAAAACACUGUCCCUAGUAAGCCUCUAGUUGACUAGCUCGUUGAUCAAAGAUGGUCAAGGUUUCCUGACCAUAGGCAAGUGUUGUCACUUGAUAAUGGGAUCACAUCAUUAGGAGAAUCAUGUGAUGGACUAGACCCAAACUAAUAGACGUAGCAUGUUGAUCGUGUCAUUUUGUUGCUACUGUUUUCUGCGUGUCAAGUAUUUGUUCCUAUGACCAUGAGAUCAUAUAACUCACUGACAACGGAGGAAUGCUUUGUGUAUCAAACGUCGCAACGUAACUGGGUGACUAUAAAGAUGCUCUACAGGUAUCUCCGAAGGUGUUCGUUGAGUUAGUAUGGAUCGAGACUGGGAUUUGUCACUCUGUGUGACGGAGAGGUAUCUCGGGGCCCACUCGGUAAUACAACAUCAUACACAAGCCUUGCAAGCAAUGUGACUUAGUGUAAGUUGCGGGAUCUUGUAUUACGGAACAAGUAAAGAGACUUGCCGGUAAACGAGAUUGAAAUAGGUAUGCGGAUACUGACGAUCGAAUCUCGGGCAAUUAACAUACCGAAGGACAAAGGGAAUGACAUACGGGAUUAUAUGAAUCCUUNNNNNNNNNNNNNNNNNNNNNNNNNNNNNNNNNNNNNNNNNNNNNNNNNNNNNNNNNNNNNNNNNNNNNNNNNNNNNNNNNNNNNNNNNNNNNNNNNNNNUAGGAUUGGAGGAGGACUCCUCCUCCCCUUGGUGGCGCAGCCCUUGGGGCUCCUUGAGCCUCAAGGCAAGCCUCCCCUCCAUCCUCCUAUAUAUAUGGAGCAAUUAGGGCUGAUUUGAGACAACUUUUUCAAGGCAGCCCGACCACAUACCUCCACGGUUUUACCUCUAGAUCGCGUCUCUGCGGAGCUCGGGCGGAGCCCUGCUGAGAUUAGAUCACCACCAACCUCCGUAGCGCCGUCACGCUGCCGGAGAACUCAUCUACCUCUCCGUCUCUCUUGCUGGAUCAAGAAGGCCGAGAUCAUCGUCGAGCUGUACGNNNNNNNNNNUUGAACGCGGAGGUGCCGUCCGUUCGGCACUAGAUCGGAGCGGAUCGUGGGACGGAUCGCGGGAUGGUUCGUGGGACAGUUCGCGGGGCGGAUCAAGGGACGUGAGGACGUUCCACUACAUCAACCACGUUCACUAACGCUUCUGCUGUGCGAUCUACAAGGGUACGUAGAUCGGAAAUCCCCUCUCGUAGAUGGACAUCACCAUGAUAGGUCUUCGUGCGCGUAGGAAAUUUUUUGUUUCCCAUGCGACGUUCCCCAACAGUGGAAUCAUGAGCUAGGUUCAUGCGUAGAUGUCUUCUCGAGUAGAACACAAAAGUUUUUGUGGGCGGUGAUGUGCGUUUUGCUGCCCUCCUUAGUCUUUUCUUAUUUCCGCGGCAUUGUUGGAUCGAAGGGGCUUGGACCGACAUUACUCGUACGCUUAGGAGAGACUGGUUUCAUCGCUAUGAGUAACUCCGUUGCUCAAAGAUGACUGGCAAGUGUCGGUUUCUCCAACUUUAGUUGAAUCGGAUUUGACCGAGGAGGUCCUUGGAUGAGGUUAAAUAGCAAUUCAUAUAUCUCCGUUGUGGUGUUUGCGUAAAUAAGAUGCGAUCCUACUAGAUACCCAUGGUCAUCACGUAAAACAUGCAACAACAAUUAGAGGACGUCUAACUUGUUUUUGCAGGGUAUGCUUGUGAUGUGAUAUGGCCAACGAUGUGAUGUGAUAUAUUGGAUGUAUGAGAUGAACAUGUUGUAAUAGUUAAUAUCGACUUGCACGUCGAUGGUACGGCAACCGGCAGGAGCCAUAGGGUUGUCUUUAAACUANNNNNNNNNNNNNNNNNNNNNNNNNNNNNNNNNNNNNNNNNNNNNNNNNNNNNNNNNNNNNNNNNNNNNNNNNNNNNNNNNNNNNNNNNNNNNNNNNNNNGAAUAUGUAGGAUUCAAUAUGGGCAUCCAGGUCCCGCUAUUGGAUAUUGACCGAGGAGUCACUCGGGUCAUGUCUACAUAGUUCUCGAACCCGCAGGGUCUGCACACUUAAGGUUCGACGUUGUUUUAUGCGUAUUUGAGUUAUAUGGUUGGUUACCGAAUGUUGUUCGGAGUUCCGGAUGAGAUCACGGACGUCACGAGGGUUUCCGUAAUGGUCUGGAAACGAAGAUUGAUAUAUAGGAUGACUUCAUUUGGUUACCGGAAGGUUUUCGGGCAUUACCGGUAAUGUACCGGGAAUGACGAAUGGGUUUCGGAUCUUCACCGGGAGGGGGGACCACCCACCCGAGAGGGCCCAAGGACCUUGGGGUGGCGCACCAAGUAGGUGGGGUCAACCCAAGGCUGUCUUGCACAAGAGAAAGAAAAAAAAACCAAAAGAAGAGAAAAAAAGGAAAGGUGGGAAAAGAGAGAAGGACUCCACCUUCCAAUCCNNNNNNNNNNAAAUGUUGUUCGGAGUCCCGGAUGAGAUCACGGACGUCACGAGGGUUUCCGGAAUGGUCCGGAAACGAAGAUUGAUAUAUAGGAUGACCUCAUUUGAUUACCGGAAGGUUUUCGGAGUUACCGGGAAUGUACCGGGAAUGAUGAAUGGGUUCCAGGAGUUCACCGGGAGGGGGCAACCCACCCCGGGGAAGCCCAUAGGCCUUGAGGGUGGUGCACCAGCCCUUAGUGGGCUGGUGGGACAGCCCAAAAGGGCCCUAUGCGCAUUGGAAGAAAAAUCAAAGAGAAAGAAAAAAAAGGAGGAGGUGGGAAGGGAAGGAAGGACUCCCACCCACCAAACCAAGUCCAACUCGGUUUGGGGGGGAGACCUUCCCCCCUUGGCUCGGCUGACCCCCUUGGGGCUCCUUGAGCCCCAAGGCAAGGCCCCCCCUCUCCCACCUAUAUAUACGGAGGUUUUACGGCUGAUUUGAGACGACUUUUCCACGGCAGCCCGACCACAUACCUCCACGGUUUUUCCUCUAGAUCGUGUUUCUGCGGAGCUCGGGCGGAGCCCUGCUGAGACGAGAUCAUCACCAACCUCCGGAGCGCCGUCACGCUGCCGGAGAACUCUUCUACCUCUCCGUCUCUCUUGCUGGAUCAAGAAGACCGAGAUCAUCUUGAGCUGUACGUGUGCUGAACGCGGAGGUGCCGUCCGUUCGGUACUAGAUCGUGGGACUGAUCGCUGGAUUGUUCGCGGGGCGGAUCGAGGGACGUGAGGACGUUCCACUACAUCAACCGCGUUCACUAAUGCUUCUGCUGUAUGAUCAACAAGGGUACGUAGAUCACUCAUCCCCUCUCGUAGAUGGACAUCACCANNNNNNNNNNNNNNNNNNNNNNNNNNNNNNNNNNNNNNNNNNNNNNNNNNNNNNNNNNNNNNNNNNNNNNNNNNNNNNNNNNNNNNNNNNNNNNNNNNNNUUCGCACAUGCAAGCGACCGAGCAGCAACGGGCCGGCCCAUAUAACUCUUCCAGCACCUCGGUUUUGGGAACCUUCUAACAGUCUCAACCGUUUUUUUUUGUUUUGUAAAACUUCUAGAAGAUUUCCUGAACCGGUUUUUUUCUUUUUUCUUUUCUUUAUUCUUUUUCCUUUUUGGUCUCUAUUUCAAACAUUGUUCUGAAUUUUCAAAAAUAUUCGGGAUUUCCAAGAACUGCUCAUAAAUUCGAAAAAAAUUACUUUGUAAAAAAAAGGUUCCGGAUUUUCAAAAAAAGUUCUGGAUUUUAAGAAAAUGUUCUGCAUUUUCGAAAACUGUUCGGGAUUUUCAAAAAUUGUUCUCAAUAUUCAAUCAAUGUUCGUGAUUUAAAAAAUUGUUCGGUUUCCAAAUUUGUUCAGAAUUUUUCAUAAUUGUUCUUGGUUACAUAAUUUGUUCUCAGUAUUCAAAAAAUCUUCAUGCUUUGAAAAAUUGUUUUGCGCUUCAAAAUUUGUUCCUGGUUUCAAAAUUUGUUCUCAAGAUUAAAAAAAUGUUCAUGCAUAAAAAUUUGUUCACGCUUUCAAAUUUUUCGGAGUUUUUCAAAAUUGUUCUCCGUUUGAAAAUUCUGUCCUCAAGAUUCAAAAAUAUUCGUGCUCUAAAACAUUGUUCGUGGUUCCAAAUUUGUUCAUGAUUUUUUAAAAUUAUUCUCAAGAUUAAAAAAAUGUUCAUGCUUUAAAAAUUUAUUCGCGCUUUCAAAUCUGUUCUCCGUUUGAAAAAAUGUUCGGGUUUUCAAGAAAUGAUGGGAAAUUCAAGAUUUGUUUGUUUUCAUAAAAAACUAAAAAAUGGGAGAAGUAAAGAAUAAACUAACAAAAAAGAAAUGAAAUAACAAAUAAAAAUAAACAGAAAAAUGGAGAAUGUUAAUUAUCAGAAUUUUGUGAGAGGAUAAAAAAACUCGGCCGGCCCAGUCGGGGCGACCCCCCUGUGCAUGCGAGGACUCCAUCGACAUGAGGACAAAAAAAACCUUUUUCCUACUUUAUAUUAUAAAGCAACCACACCAAACAUCCGAACAUCAUACAAAAGAAGUCUGAAGCGCUAAUAAAUUCAGCUGAGACACAGCACAACACACCCCACUCGGCAUGAGGGCCAGCUAUCUUACAAAUCAACGAUCAAGGGAGAAAAAAAAAGACGUCAACAGAUGCGCUCGGCUAUUUUGAUUUCCCUGUAGCAAUGGUUGACGGGAGGUGCCGCAAAGAGCGGCAGGUAGGAGCUCUCAGAAUUGAUUCUCAAAAAAAAAUGGCUGAGAAUCUGGAGACCUCCUAUUGGGCGCGUGGGGCGCUGGGAGGAGUGGCAGCGCGCAACCAUCNNNNNNNNNNNNNNNNNNNNNNNNNNNNNNNNNNNNNNNNNNNNNNNNNNNNNNNNNNNNNNNNNNNNNNNNNNNNNNNNNNNNNNNNNNNNNNNNNNNNCUGUGCAUCGUAACCUUUCAGGAGGACAACGGUCAUACGUUUUAAUACACCAUUAUUAGCAUUUAAGGCAUAUGGUUACGUGUAACGUAGGCAUUUAUUCGCCACUAUUCCACCCGUGUCCACCGGCCGUUGUGAAAGGCAGCGCACUCUAUAUAAGCCGCUCUUCCCCACUGGUGCAGGGGUUGGCAUUUACUGUAAUCCUAUAUUCCACUCGACACUAAGCUCCCAACAGCACUGAGACGUAGGGCUUUUACCUCCACCGUAGAGGGGCCUGAACUCAUACAACCUCGCCGUAGCUAAGGCUCUGCCCAUCCUUUCGUACCCUACACAUCUACUGUCGGACUUAUACCCACGACAUACAUUUAUUUUAAGACAGAGGGAAUAUGUAUGAGGAGGACCAGGUGCUGCUAAAACAGGUUGGGGAGGGCCAAGUGUUGGGGAACGUCGCAUGGGAAACAAAAAAAUUCCUACGCGCACGAAGACCUAUCAUGGUGAUGCCCAUCUACGAGAGGGGAUUUCCGAUCUACGUACCCUUGUAGAUCGCACNNNNNNNNNNAGACUUAUACCCACGACAGUUGGCGCCCACCUUGGGGCAGGCGUCUAAGCGACUUCCGGCGAGUUUGCAACUUCAUCUUUUCAUCAUGUCGUCCGGCGGAGAUUUAUGCAUGGGUCGGGAGAUCCUCUUCGGCGCACUCUCCUUCAUCGUCGACGACUCGGCAUGGCUUCGGGAUGCGUCUCUCGACGUCGAGGCGCUCCCCAGUAGCGGGGCUACCCACUUCCGUGCCGGUGCCCGCGGCGUCCUUCUUCUCCAACAGUCGGCCCCGGUGUCGACCUUCGCCCCCGUCACGCGCCGCAACAAGCGGUCCCGCCGUCCGUGGCUUCAGUGUUGGGUGCAACACGCCCAGGCGCGAUAGAGCGCGUCUUCUCAAGUGGUGGUCCUCGAGUCGGUUGUGGUCGCGCCGCCGUCCCAGUGCUUGGACUCAGUUCCGACUGAGUUACCUUCCGAGUAGUUGGGUCGCGGGCCUACAACCGAAGUUCUCAUGGCCAAUUCCCAUGAAAGUCCCCGUCGGACUGGUCGGAACGAGCACGAGGUCGGCGAGUCAUCCGGCGCUCGCCGUCAACCCCACCGUUCUGCCAGUCGACGCACUCGUCAGAGCAACGUCGAGGUGUUCCGCACACUCGUCCUCAACCUGGCUGCAGCUGCCAAGAUAGUCGAUUCCCUCCAACGACUGAUUCAGAGGCUGGUAGAGGGAUCGAGCAGAUCCGUGCCCUAUUGCACACGGCGCAGCAGCAGAAUUCGGCGGUCUCCCAGUCGCACAACAGGAUCCACAACAGUUCUGUUCACGCGAACACGCAUCAGUCGGUUUACAACCCCCACUCUCAUCAGCGACGCAGAGGGGGCAGCCGUUCCACGAAUCCCGAAGAUCGUCGCCGUUCACGCACCCCUCCGCGGGGUGGGCCUUACGGGCCCCGACAUCACGAUGAUCGGCGUUCAGUCGGUGACACGUAUGAUCCAAGGCCCGACGCAAGAGGGUACAUCGCCCAGAGGAAGGUCGACAGGAGUCGAGCCCACCGUGAUGGUCACGAUAGAGACCGUCCGAGUGGAAGCAGGACCAUCGUCUCUGGCCCCGAGUGCUUCAGUCGGGCCAUCCGUUCAGCUGACAUCCCUCCCAACUUCCGAUUGGCGACGGGGAUCAACAAGUUCACAGGAUAAUCCAAGCGAGAAACGUGGCUGGACGAUUACCGAGUGGCGGUCCAGAUCGGUGGCGGAGAUGACCAGGUCGCCAUGAAACAUCUCCCCCUGAUGCUCGACGGCUCGACACGAGCGUGGCUGAACCAGUUGGCUCCAUCAAGCAUCUACAGCUGGGCAGAUCUGUCCCGAGUGUUCAUCAGGACCUUCGAGGUUACGUGCAAACGCCCUGCUGGUCUCGUGGAGCUCCAACACUGCGUCCAGAAGCAGAAUGAGCCCCUGCGCGAUUUCAUCCAACGCUGGACGACCCUCUACCACAUGGUGGAGAACGUCACAGAGCAUCAAGCAGUCUGCCCCUUCAAGGCAGGCGUGCGGUACAGAGAUCUGUACCUGAAGUUCGGUCGGAAAGGCGACAUCUCCAUGAGCAAGAUGAUGGAGAUAGCCGCACGCUAUGCAAAUGGCGAAGAAGAGGACCGCAUACGUAGCGGCAAGCACAAGGCAGUCGCCGAUGGAGAUGGGAACAACAAUCGGAAGCAAAAGCAGAAAGCUCCGUCCACUCCGUAGGCAGAGGCAGCUGCCGUUACCAAUGCCAAGUUCAAGGGCAAGGGGAAAGCUCAGUACACCCCCAAGAAGAAGCAGUUCGGGAACUCCAUCCUGGAUCAACCAUGCCCAAUCCACACGAAGAUGGAUGAAGAAGGCAACGCCAUAUUCCCGAAGCACACCACUCGGCAAUGUCGCCUCCUGAUCCAAGGGUUCGGCGAAGGGCAACCGAGUGAAAAGGACAACGAGCAGGAUGAUGAGGACAAGGAGGAUCCGUUCCCCCAAGUCCAUGCAACAUUGAUGAUUUUUGCUGACGUGGAAAGCAAGAGUCGACUGAAGCUGGUGAACAGGGAGGUGAACAUGGCCACUCCAACCAACCCCACGUUCCUCAAAUGGUCUCAGACUGCGAUCACCUUUGAUCAGUCGGAUCAUCCAGCACACGUGCCCACCCCCGGGGAGGCAGGAUCUGGUAGUCGACCCGGUGGUGGAAGGAGUCCGACUGCGCAAAGUCCUCAUGGAUGGCGGCAGCGGCUUGAACAUCAUGUAUGCUGACACUCUCAAGGGGAUGGGCAUUCCGAUGUGCAAACUCAGCGAGAGCAGCAUGCAGUUCCACAGAGUCGUCCCAGGACGAAAGUCCAAGUCACUCGGUCAGAUCGCGUUGGACAUCGUUUUCGGCUCCGACAAGAACUUCCGCAAGGAAAAGCUGACAUUCGAGGUGGUGGACUUCCAGAGCGCAUACCAUGCGAUUCUGGGCCGUCCGGCGUAUGCGCGUUUCAUGGCCCGUCCAUGUUACGUGUAUUUGAAGCUGAAGAUGCCGGGUCCCAAAGGCGUGAUCACGAUCACAGGCAAUCGGCAGCGGGCCGAGGAGUGUCUGCAGCAGGGGUCGAGGAUUGCCGAUCAGCAGAUGGCUAUCCUCGAGCUGGAUGAGUACAAGAAAACAGCCGACCCCGCUGACUUGAUGUGUUCAAAGAAGCCAGCUUCGGAGUCCGCAUUCCAGUCGGCAGGCGAUACGAAGAAAGUCAGCAUCCACCCGACGGACGACACUGCCGCCCCGACGAACAUCUCCGCCACCCUUGAUCCAAAAUAGGAAACCGAGCUCAUCCAAUUCCUCCGUGAGAACUGGGACAUUUUCGCAUGGAAGCCCGCUGACAUGCCAGGUGUACCCAGGGAGUUGGCUGAGCACCGACUGCAUGUGGAUCCUGCUGCUUGGCCCGUCCGAGAACGCCUGCGUCGGUCCGCCGCGCACAAAAGGAAGGCAAUCGGAGAAGAGGUGGCUAAACUUUUGGCAGCCAACUUCACUCGCGAGGUACACCACUCCGAGUGGCUCGCCAAUGUUGUCAUGGUGCCCAAGAAGGACAAGUCCCUCCGUAUGUGCAUCGACCUCAAGCAUCUCAAUAAGGUCUGCCCAAAAGAUCAUUUCCCGCUCCCCCGCAUUGAUCAAAUUGUCGAUUCGACUGCGGGUUGCGAGCAUUUAUCAUUCCUUGAUGCCUAUUCGGGCUAUCAUCAGAUCCGCCUGUAUGGUCCGAAUGAAUUAAAAACAGCCUUCGUCACCCCAUUCGGGUGUUUCUGCUACAUCACUAUGCCAUUCGGUUUUCAGAAUGCAGGAGCAACUUUUAUGCGCAUGAUCCAGAAAUGCCUCCUUGACCAGAUCGGUCGAAAUGUGGAGGCAUAUAUGGACGAUAUCGUAGUCAAGUCACGCAAAGGUUCCGACCUGCUGACUGACUUGGCAGAAACAUUCGCCAACCUUCGUAGGUACGAUAUCAAGCUCAACCCUGCCAAGUGUUCAUUCGGUGUUCCCAGCGGAAAGUUACUCGGUUUCUUCGUUUCCGAACGAAGAAUCGAUGUCAACCCCGAAAAGAUCGGGACCAUCUCCGAAUGGAGCGGCCGGUCAGAAUACAUGAUGUUCAAAGGCUCACAGGUUGCCUAGCGGCUUUGAGCAGGUUUAUCGCUCGACUCGGCGAGAAGGCGUUACCUCUGUACCGACUCAUGAAGAAAUCAGAUACUUUCGAGUGGACAGACGAAGCCCAGAUUGCAUUCGACGACCUCAAAGCCCUGCUUUCCACCCAGCCGGUUCUUACUGCCCCGCUCAGUAAAGAACCCCUUCUUCUGUACAUCGCGGCUACAAAUCAAGUCGUCAGCACUAUUCUCACAGUCGAACGUGAAUAAGAAGGCAAAGCGUACAAGGUUCAGCGGCCAGUAUAUUAUGUCUCCGAAGUCCUGACUCCUUCCAAGCAGAGGUAUCCCCAUUAUCGAAAGCUUAUUUAUGGGAUCUACAUGACUGCAAAGAAGGUGGCUCACUAUUUCCAAGACCACUCGGUGUCUAUCGUUUCUGAUGCUUCGUUGUCGGAAAUCCUCCACAAGCGAGACGCAUCAGGCCGAGUGGCGAAGUGGGCUAUGGAGAUGUUAUACUGCGACAUCAAGUUCGAAGCCAAGAAGGCUAUAAAGUCUCAAGCUCUGGCUGACUUCAUAGCAGAAUGGGUAGAACAGCAGCAACCGACUCACAUCUACUCGGCUCAUUGGACUAUGUUCUUCGAUGGGUCCAAGAUGUUGAAUGGCUCCGGCGCUGGCGUAGUAAUCAUAUCGCCAAAAGGUGAUAAACUUAAGUAUGUGUUGCAGAUACAUUUCGAUUCCUCCAACAAUGAGGCAGAGUAUGAAGCUCUCCUUUAUGGAUUGCGCAUGGCCAUCUCACUCGGCGUCCGUCGCCUGAUGGUCUAUGGCGAUUCGGAUUUGGUGGUUAAUCAAGUGAUGAUGGAGUGGGAUGUCAGGAACCCCACCAUGACUGCAUACUGCAACGCAGUAAGGAAGCUCGAGAAGAAGUUUAAAGGUCUGGAACUUCACCAUGUUCCACGACUAAAAAACCAAGAUGCUGAUGAGCUGGCAAAACUCGGAUCCACUCGGAGACCAGUCCCGAGUGAUGUAUGCCUCGAGCACCUGCAUCUCCCUUCGGUGAAAGAAGAUCCUUUUACAGAGGAACCGGUACAACCGAAGAGUUCAACAGAUCCGACUGAAGUCGAGGUCCCCGCUAUGGUUGAUUUGAUCAUGGAGAUUCUUGCUAUCAUCCCCGAUUGGACAGUGACGUUCAUUGCGUACAUCCUAAGGCAAGAAUUACCAGAAGACGAAGUCCAAGCAAGGCAGAUCGUCCGCAGGUCGAAGUCCUUCACCGUCAUUGACGACCAGUUGUACAAAGAAAGUGUUUCAGGAGUCCUUCAGCGAUGCAUCUCCCCUGAGGAGGGACAGUUAAUCCUGGAAGAAAUUCACUCGGGAACCUGCGGUCAUCAUGCCUCUUCAAGAGCAAUCGUUGCCAAAACAUUCAGAGCCGGUUUCUUCUGGCUGUAGGCGAAUGAAAUGGCAAAGGAUAUGGUCGACCGAUGCGAAGGCUGUCAGUUCUAUUCGAACAAGUCCCACAAGCCAACAUCUGCGCUGAAGACAAUCCCUCUUGUUUGGCCGUUCGCAGUGUGGGGAUUAGAUACGGUCGGUCCAUUCAGAACAGGCCAAGGGGGAUUCACUCAUCUGUUGGUGGCAGUCGAUAAGUUCACCAAGUGGAUUGAAGCUAAGCCCAUCAAGAAGCUCGACGCCCUUACGGCCAUCAAAUUUGUCAGAGACAUCAUCUCUAGAUUCGGAGUCCCGCACAACAUAAUCACUGACAAUGGCACAAACUUUGACUCGGACAGAUUCAAAGGUUUUUGCACAGGCCAAGGUAUCCGAGUGGAUUUUGCAUCUGUGGCGCACCCCCAAACCAACGGGCAAGCAGAGCGGGUGAAAGGACUUAUUCUUCAAGGGUUGAAGCCUCGACUCCUACGAGAAGUUGGACAUGCCGCCGGCGCAUGGGUCACCGAGCUGCCUUCAGUGUUGUGGGGCCUCCGCACAACUCCGAAUAGAUCUACAGGGCGAUCCCCGUUCUUUCUCGUUUAUGGAGCAGAGGCGGUCCUUUCGAGUGACUUGCUUCACAACUCUCCACGAGUCGAACUCUUCUCUGAAGCCGAAGCAGAGCAAGCCAGGCAAGACGGAGUGGAUCUACUGGAAGAAGAGCGCGAGAUGGCACUGACUCGCUCAACUAUUUAUCAACAAGAUCUGCGGCGAUUUCACGCGUGACACGUCAGGAGUCGCACAUUCCAAGCAGGCGACCUCGUGCUCCGAGUGGACCAGCAGAGGCCUCACAAGUUGGCUCCCGCCUCGGAAGGACCCUUCAUCAUCUCUAAGGUGCUAAACAACGGAGCAUAUCGACUCUACAACCUCGACAGGGAAACGGACGAGCCGCGAGCAUGGAACGGAGAUCUCCUGAAGCGCUUCUACACGUGACCGCCGACGGAGGAAAUGUGAAGAACAAGUAUCAUUGAAGUAAUACAAAGCAGACUGAUUUUUUGCAGGUCCAAAAUUCUUCCGCGUUUGCAGACUCCGGUCUAAAAAACUCUCUCCGAGUGUGCGCUAACAGCCGCACUCGGGGACUUAGCUGCGACCCAGAGUCGCCUAAGUAAAAAACUCUCUCCGAGUGUGCGCUAACAGCCACACUCGGGGACUUAGCUGCGACCCAGAGUCGCCUAAGUACAAACUCGCUCCGAGUGCGCACCAAAAGCCGCACUCGGGGACUUAGCUGCGAUCCAGAAUCGCCUAAGUACAAACUCGCUCCGAGUGUGCACUAACAGCCGCACUCCGGGACUUAGCUGCGAUUCAGAAUCGCCUAAGUACAAAACUCGCUCCGAGUGCGCACUAAAAGCCGCACUCGGAGACUUAGCUGCGAUCCAGAAUCGCCUAAGUAAAAAAGCUUCCUUCGAGUGUAUCCUCGAGAUCCACUCGGAGGCUUAGCAGACUCUCAUUGAGGCUCAUGUGGAUGUGAAGACAACUGACAACUACAUGAGUAUCNNNNNNNNNNNNNNNNNNNNNNNNNNNNNNNNNNNNNNNNNNNNNNNNNNNNNNNNNNNNNNNNNNNNNNNNNNNNNNNNNNNNNNNNNNNNNNNNNNNNAGUUAGGAUAGCAUCUUAGACUAGCAUCUUAGCAGCAUCUUAGACUAGCAUCUUAGCAUAUGCUUGGCUGGCUAGCAGGCUAUAAAUAUGUAUCCCCAACCCCUCAGGUUGGCAUGGCAUUGUGUGAGAAAUAAACCAACGAAAAUUGUUCCAACUCUCCUAGUGUCAUCCACAACUAUCAAUCCUCAGGCUGAAAGGUCUAACAAGUGGUAUCAGAGCCUCGUUAUCUUGUACCCUGAGCAUUUCCUGCUCACCUCUCUCACCGGCAGCUGAGCAGCCUAAGCCGGUAGCAGCAGCUGCUCCGACUGCCCCUAGUUACCUCCCUCCCUCCGGACUGUCGAGCAGCAACUCGUCAGCAACAGCCUCCUCUUCACGCAACAGCCCCCCUGCAGCGAGCCAUGUCUGCAGGUCGCUCUUAGCACACGGCUACCUCGAGCAUACGGCGCCGGCAGGAGGCCGAGCGCGCCGUGGCAGAGGAGCGUGAGCGAGCAGCUGUAGCAGCAGCUGCUGCGGCAGCAAGGGUGUCGAGGCUGGCUGCAGCGGAGCUGGCAGCAGCCAAGGUGGAGGUAGAAGCAGUAGCAGCAGCGGAGGCAGCACGUGAGGCUACGGCGGAUGCCAAGGCACUCCGCGUCGGCUCCGGCAGCUCCAACGGCUCCGCGCCUGCGGACGACGGCGCCGACGCAGACCGAGCCAAAGUGGCGCAAGAGCAGACGGCGCAGUGGGCAGCCGAGCACGCCCGCGCUCCAGGUGGAGGUGCGCACGGCGACGGCGGCUGCAACGACCAGGACCGCGGCCUCUACGAGGUUCGGACUGUGGUCAGGGAUGUUGGUCCCAGUGUUGGGUGGCCUACCCUCACUAAAACCAACUACGUCGAGUGGGCCGCGAUCAUGAAGAUCAGGCUCCAGGUGCGGCGGCUGUGGGAGGCAGUCCAGGACAGCAACGUCGACCACCAAGAGGAUCGACAGGCGCUGGACGCCCUCAUCGCCGCAGUCCCGCUCGAGAUGCAGUUCUCGCUUUCCAACAAGCGGACUGCCAAGGAGGCUUGGGACGCCAUCGCCACGGCACGCAUCGGCAGCGACCGUGCUCGCAAGUCCACACUGCAGGCACUUCGUAAGGAGUGGGAGAGCCUGGCCUUCAAGCCAGGUGAGGACGUUGAUGACUUUGCUCUCCGUCUCAACACUCUGCUGCAGAAGAUGGUGAAGUUCGGCGAUGCCACCUACACCAAGGAGAGAGCUGUCGAGAAGCUUUUCCGGUGCAUUCCCGAGAAGUACAAGCAGAUGGCUCACUCGAUCGAGUCUUUGCUGGACCUCUCCACGAUGACGAUCGAGGAGGCGAUAGGUCGCCUCAAGGUCGUCGACACCGACGAGCCACAACCUCCCUCGGGAGCAGUGGGAUGCCAGUCUUGGUGACAGGAAGAAGGGGGAGCCUUCUUCCACGACGGGCGGCCGCAAGCGUGGCAAGCAGCGCAAGGCGCGAAGAGGCCCCCCGGGCAAGGCACAAGGACGUGCCGAAGGUGACGCCCGCGGAGGCGCCAAGGACGGCGUCGCUGGCAAGCCCAAGCCGGCACAGGACAACAGUUGCCACAACUGUGGCCGGCUUGGCCAUUGGGCCAAUGAGUGUUGACAACCACGACAAGGCCGGGCUCACGUCGCACAGGCGGAGGAGACGGCUCUGUUCAUGGCGCAUGCAAGCAUCGAGCUACCUUCAGCGACACCAGUCGCAAAGGCUCUCCUCCACCUCGAUGAGCCAAAAGCACACGCUCUUCUCGGCGAUGGCUCCGGGAAGGACUAGACUGCGGGAUGGUGCCUCGAUACCGGCGCCACCCACCACAUGACCGGUCGAAGGGAAUUCUUCGCCGAGCUCGACUCCGACGCGCGAGGCUCCGUCAAGUUUGGGGAUGCCUCAGCUGUGGAAAUUAAGGGCGUCGGCUCCGUCAUCUUCACCACCAAGACGGGAGAGCAUCGGCUGCUCACCGGUGUCUACUACAUCCCCGCGCUAAGGAACUCCAUCAUCAGCUUGGGACAGCUGAAUGAGAACGGCUCACGCGUGCUGAUUGAGCAUGGGGUCCUACGCAUCUAGGAUCGCCAGCGUCGCCUUCUCGCCAAGGUACCCAGAGGUGAAAAUCGACUCUACGUCCUUGAUGCGCAGGUGGCACAAUCGGUCUGUCUCGCUGUCUGUCGGGACGACGAGGUGUGGCAAUGGCAUGAGCGCUUUGGGCACCUUCAUUUUGAGGCCCUGAAGCGUCUAAGUGCCAAGGAGAUGGUGCGAGGCCUGCCAUGCCUCGACCAUGUGGAGCAGUUUUGCGACAUCUGUGUGCUGACGAAGCAGAGACGACUCCCCUUUCCCUAGCAGGUGAGUUUUCGGGCCAAGGAGAGGCUGGAGCUCGUGCACGGAGAUCUGUGCGGCCCGAUGACGCCAACCACACCAGGAGGUCGACGCUACUUCCUGCUGCUCGUCGACGACCUCUCUCGCUACAUGUGGGUGAUGGUCCUCGGCAGUAAGGGAGAGGCGGCAGACGCCAUCAGGCGCGCGCAGGUUGCUGUGGAGGCGGAGAGCGGCCGCAAACUGCGCGUGUUGCGCACUGACAACGGCGGCUGAAUUCGCGUCAUACUGCGCUGAUGAGGGCAUCCAGCGCCACUACUCCGCGCCGUACAGCCCGCAGCAAAACGGCAUCGUCGAGCGGCGCAACCAGACGGUUGUGGGGAUGGCUCGGGCUCUCCUCAAGCAGAGAGGGAUGUCGGCUGUUUUCUGGGGAGAGGCGGUGCUAACGGCCGUCUACAUCCUCAACCGCUCGCCUACUAAGGCACUCGACGGCAGGACGCCUUAUGAGGCCUGGCAUGGGCGGAAGCCGACGGUCUCCCACUUGCGGGUCUUUGGCAGCCUUGCGUUCGCCAAAGAGCUCGGCCACAUCGGCAAGCUCGACGACAGGAGUACUCCGGGAGUCUUCAUCGGCUAUGCGGAGGGCUCAAAGGACUACCGCAUCCUCGACCCAGAGACACAACGUGUGCGCACGGCGCGAGACAUCGUGUUCAACGAAGGGCGAGGGUGGAAAUGGGACAAGGCGGUGGACGACGGCUCGACGCCGACGUAUGACGACUUCAUUGUCGAGUACGUCCACUUCAAGGAAGCUGGGGGAGCAAGCAGCUCCUCUUCGCCGAGCACGUCUACCUCAGCCCCCAAAACUACAUCGACUCCGGUGCCUGCUACGCCGACGACACCACAACCGGCGAUGCCGCAUACUCCAGCCCCGGCAGUCACCACUCCGGGCUUGUCUUCAUCAGCACCAGCUCACGCAGAGCACAACCCGAUGAAGUUCGCUUCCCCGCUCACCCACGACGAGGAGCGCAUCGACGCGUAUCAUAGCGGCGAACCGCUGCGGUAUCGUACGAUGGAUAAUCUACUCGGCGACCAGCCGGUGCCGGGACUGGUGCCACGCGACCUGGAGGCGCAGCUACAACUCGCGUGUGAGGACGGCGAACCUCGGUCCUUUGCAGAGGCCGAGAGAGACGCGGCAUAGUGCGCCGCGAUGCAGUUGGAGAUGGAUGCGGUCGAGCAGAACCGCACCUGGGAGCUCGCUGACCUCCCAUGUGGUCACCGCGCAAUCACCCUUAAGUGGGUGUUCAAGCUGAAGAGGGAUGGAGCCGGCGCCAUCAUCAAGAACAAGGCUCGCUUGGUGGCCCGAGGCUUCUUGCAGCAGGAAGGAGUCGACUUUGACGACGCUUUCGCUCCCGUGGCACGGAUGGAGUCCGUGCGACUUCUCCUUGCGCUAGCUGCCCAGGAGGGCUGGCGUGUCCAUCACAUGGAUGUCAAGUCGGCAUUCCUCAACGGCGACUUGAAGGAGGAAGUCUAUGUGCAUCAGCCAUCGGGAUUUGCGAUCCCCGGCCAGGAGGGCAAGGUACUCCGCCUGCGUAAGGCUCUCUACGGCCUACGACAGGCACCUAGGGCGUGGAACGCCAAGCUGGACCCCACGCUAAAGAAGAUGGGCUUCGAGCAAAGCCCGCAUGAGGCGGCCGUCUACCGACGGGGCAGUGGAGGAAAUGCCCUGCUGGUGGGCGUCUAUGUUGACGACUUGGUGAUCACCGGCAUCAAAGAUGCAGAGGUGGCGGCGUUCAAGGAAGACAUGAAGGCCACCUUCCAGAUGAGUGAUGUGGGGCUCCUCUCCUUCUAUCUAGGGAUCGAGGUGCACCAGGAUCACUCCGGGAUCGCGCUUCGACAGUCCGCCUACGCCAAGCGCAUCGUUGAGCUAGCUGGGCUCACCGACUGCCACCCAGCUCUCACUCCGAUGGAGGAGAGGCUGAAACUGAGCCGCGACAGCACGACGGAGGAAGUGGACGCUACGCAGUACCGACGCCUUGUGGGGAGCCUUCGCUACCUCGCCCACACGCGGCCGGACUUGGCAUUCUCCGUGGGCUAUGUUAGUCGGUUCAUGGAGCGACCGACGUCGGAGCACCAGCAGGCAGUGAAGAGGAUCGUCCGCUACGUGGCAGGGACACUCGACCACGGCCUCCACUACCCUAGGUGUCCGGGGGCGGCACACUUCGUCGGGUACAGCAACCACGCCGGCGACAUCGACACCAGCAAGAGCACGAGCGGGAUCCUCUUCUUCCUCGGCAAGUGUCUCGUGAGCUGGCAAUCGGUCAUGCAGCAGGUGGUGGCCCUGUCCAGCUGUGAGGCCGAGUACAUAGCGGCCUCCACCGCCUGCACUCAGGCGCUCUGGCUCGCUCGACUGCUUGGUGAUCUCCUCGUCCGAGACACCAGAACGGUGCAGCUCCUGGUGGACAGCAAGUCCGCCCUGGCCCUGGCAAAGAACCCCGUUUUCCACGAACGGAGCAAGCACAUUCGACUGAGGUAUCACUUCAUCCGCAGCUGUUUGGAAGAAGGGAGCAUCGNNNNNNNNNNNNNNNNNNNNNNNNNNNNNNNNNNNNNNNNNNNNNNNNNNNNNNNNNNNNNNNNNNNNNNNNNNNNNNNNNNNNNNNNNNNNNNNNNNNNCUAGGCCUUCUCAACCAAUCCCUAAAGAAUCAACAAGUUUGAUUGGCUAGGGAGAGAGAUCGGGCACUUUUGAGCUUGGGGCGCAACAAUGGAGCUUAGAGAGGUAAGAGAGGGGAGUUCCUCAGCUAGAAGAACCCUUUAUAUAGUGGGGGGAAAAAUCAGACUGUUUUCCCACUCUCUGCCCGAGCUCCAGCGGUACUACCGCUGAACAGGGGCGAUACUACCGCUGGGACUCCAGCGGUACUACUGCUGGGACUCCAGCGGUACUACCGCCGACACCAGCGGUACUACCGCUGGCCCCUUGGUAGUGCANNNNNNNNNNGCGGUACUACCGCUGUCUGCAGCGGUACUACCGCUGGCACUCCAGCGGUACUACCGCUGAACAGGGGCGGUACUACCGCCGCCUGGCGGUACUACCGCUGGAUGCAGCGGUACUACCGCUGGGACUCCAGCGCUACUACCGCCGACACCAGCGGUACUACCGCUGGCCCCUUGGUAGUGCAAAAGCACUACUACCGCCAAGAAAGUCUUCGCAAAAAGGUCCGUCCACGAACUACCACUAGGCAGGUGGAACAAAGCUCCUGGAGCGGUACUACCGCUGACUAGGGGCGGUACUACCGCCAGCUAGCGGUACUACCGCGGGCUGCAGCGGUACUACCGCUAGCAAUCCAGCGGUACUACCGCUAGAGCCAACGGUACUACCGUUGGGGACCAUUUUGCAAAGAUGCGAGAAACAAAGUGGCGGGGGGGGGGNNNNNNNNNNUCACUACUACCGCCAAGAAAGUUUUCGCAAAAAGGUCCGUCCACGAACUACCGCUAGGCAGGUGGAACAAAGCUCCUGGAGCGGUACUACCGCUGACCAGGGGCGGUAUUACCGCUGGCUGCAGCGGUACUACCGCUAGAGCCAGCGAUACUACCGCUGGGGACCAUUUUGCAAAGAUGCGAGAAACAAAGUGGCGGGGGGGGGGCCCAAAGAUGAAGGAAAGGGAGAAUGUGAAGUGUGUGCGUGCAAAGAUAGAUUCCACCCAAACCUUUCCACUACGGAUCCCCUCUUAACAGUACGGCUUUCCUAUGACUCAAAUAAAGAGAAUCUUAGAGAGCGCCGUGCUUCCGUUCCAUGUAUGAGGAGACGUGUCGUCUUGUGCCGUUGACGUGUGUUAUCUGAAACCUUAACACACACGGUUAGUCCUGUACGNNNNNNNNNNUAGUACGGCUUUCCUAUGACUCAAAUAAAGAGAAUCGUAGAGAGCGCCGUGCUUCCGUUCCAUGUAUGAGGAGACGUGUCGUCUUNNNNNNNNNNNNNNNNNNNNNNNNNNNNNNNNNNNNNNNNNNNNNNNNNNNNNNNNNNNNNNNNNNNNNNNNNNNNNNNNNNNNNNNNNNNNNNNNNNNNCGCGUGGACAUUCCAUGAGCCCACAUGGAUGACAUCAAGAUAUGAUUAACUAUCAUUAGCAAUAAGAUAUGUUGAACUAAAAACUGCCAUAACUCGGUUAUUCCAGCUUGCAUGCUCAUUUCCUUUUAUGGAUUUCCGUAGACAUAUGAUGAAAAUAUCCCCAUUCUAUGAGAUGUAUUAUUUACAUUAUUUUUGAUUUUUUUUGUUCCUUUGCCCUUUUCUGUAGGGGGGAGGGGGCAUCAAAUAUUUGGAUUUUGAUGACCGCAAUGAUUUGCAUCCAGAGAAGGUCAAAUGUAAGUAGUGAUUGAUUACUAGUAUAAGAGGCCGACAUUGUACUACUCCCUCCGUUCCUAAAUAUAAGUCUUUUUAGACAUUUCACUAGUAGACUACAUACGGAUGUAUAUAGACAUAUUUUAGAAUGUAGAUUCACUCAUUUUGCUCCGUAUGUAGACUCCUAAUGAAAUCUCUUAAAAGACUUAUAUUUAGGAACGGAGGGAGUAUAAAACAUGAGUUGACUAGUAGGAUGUUAAGGGUGAACAUGCAAGGNNNNNNNNNNNNNNNNNNNNNNNNNNNNNNNNNNNNNNNNNNNNNNNNNNNNNNNNNNNNNNNNNNNNNNNNNNNNNNNNNNNNNNNNNNNNNNNNNNNNUCCAGAGAAGGUGAAAUGUAAGUAGUGAUUGAUUACCAGUAUAAGAGGCCGGCAUUGUACUAUAAAACAUUAGUUGACUAGUAGGACAUUAAGAGUGAACAUGCAAGGGUUGACACUGAUGACCAUAAAAAAUACAUCUCUCUUUAUCAUCAAUAGAAAAAGGUGAAAAUAUAUGAUUCAUGUGUCCCAACAGUAAAAACUCAUGACUGAAUGCAUGAGUCUUUAACUUCAUGAAACACAACCAUGAGUUAGUUUGUCUUUAACAUAUGUGUGAGAAAAAAAAAUUAGAUGCAUAUGCAAUGGCAAAUGAAAAAUACGCACAAAAAGAUUUUCAUGAUUCUUUAGUGGUACACUCAAGACGAGUUUAUUUGUAAAAUUUUGGAAAAGAAAAACAUCCAACAUAUCCAUUAAGUCUGUCUCUCGGGACUUGAAUCUACCUAGCCGAGAGAAAUCAAAUUUCCUUUUUUGAAGAAUCAUGUGCCCAAUUAUUAUACUUUAUAUCAUAUAUAGAAGUAUUUGUUUUAGCUGUAAAUAGAAAGUGGAAGUCAGAUGGAUCUUUUUCACAAGACAAAAAACAAUAUUCUCUUGAGAAUAUCUAUAGGGGAUGUGGUUACUUAUUCAUAAUUCGUGCUUAUUAGCACGAGAUAUUACAAGAGACAUAGAUUUUCACACAAAUGACAUACUUGUACAUUCCCUUACUUGGGAGGGAUUCAAGACAUGGCAUAUCAUGGCAUGGCAGGCAUAUAUAAUAAUUCUGCCAGCUAACAAAGGUGUCCCUGAUUUAUUUCACCAACACACAAUAAUAGUAGUAGCACGUAGGCCUCACGGGCUACUCCUUAUAGCGGAAGCAACUCGAUGCAUGAUGAUGGAUCAUGGAAGAACAUAGAUUCCAAUGGCGUCAAUGAGAUCCCCAACACGUCCAAAGAAACCGGUGAUCUGGCCGCCAUGAGUCNNNNNNNNNNNNNNNNNNNNNNNNNNNNNNNNNNNNNNNNNNNNNNNNNNNNNNNNNNNNNNNNNNNNNNNNNNNNNNNNNNNNNNNNNNNNNNNNNNNNUGUCACAUCCCUAACCCUUAAGCAAGAUAGCAUUGUGCUCAUGUCUUCUUUGCAUUUGCAUCUAAGAAGUUUCAACAAAAGCAACAAAGUGGCAAAGGAAAAACUCAAAACCCUAGCCACCAUUUCAAUUAAAGGAAAUCUCAAAUUAGUUCAAAAUCAAUGAACCCAAAAUGGCCUCAAGAAAUGUUCAAACUUUCUGAUAAAUCAUGAAAGUAAAUGAGCAUUGGAGAAAACUAUUUUCUUGACACCUUAAGCUUUUUGAAUAAAUGAAAAAGGCUACUGGUUUCAAGUUUUAAAUUUGAAAUCAGAAACUAUAAAUUUCCAAAAAUGUCGAAAAGCUUGAAAAUGGUUGGGGAUAUUAUAAGAAAUAUUUCAGGAGGUCUAAAAUAGUUUUUAAUUUUUGUUUUGGAGCUGAAUUAAUUAGCAAAACAGAAAAACAAAAACAGAAAAAAUGGAAAAACCUUACCUGUCGCCUAAGCCUGGCCCGGCCCAUCCCUGGCUCGUCCCCUCCCUUGCGCCAGUAGGCAGCAGGAGGUGACCGCCACCCCCUCCGGCACGGCCACGCACCUGCGUGCCUGCCUGGCCGCCGCCUCGCGCUGGCGACGACGGGGAUAAGCUCCCCAGAGCCUCCCCUAUCCAUUCCCCGCCUCGGUUCUCUUCCUCCUCCCGGAUCUCCUCCUCCUCCUUGCUGCCGCCAUUAGAGCCGAGCUCGAGCUCGAGCUGGCCGUGCCCCUGGCCAUAGGAUUCCCUCCCAGAGCACGCCAUUAACUCCGCCUCGUCGCCCUGGUCAUCUCUGCAGAAGCCGAAGCUUCCUCGAGCCCUGCAACGCCCGCAACGCCGUCGUCUUCCACCUCCGGCCGCCAGACCUCUCCCGUCGAUUCGCUUCCUCCGGCGCAUCCCCGAGCCCCUCUUCAGCGCCAUCGGAACCGCCGUGAGCUCGUCGUCGUUUUCCCUCUCGCCCCACGCUCUCCCGUGCAUCGUAUCCUAGUUCCCCACCAAGGCCGAGAGCUUCUCGCCGCCGGCCAUGUCGCUGUCGUCGCUGUGAUGACCGAUCCACGCGCCCGAGCUAGGAUUCGAGCUCCUGGAGCCUCCAGGAGCGUGUCGAGCCCUCCACCUGCCCUCCCCGUGCCCUAGAACCGCCCCUCAUAGAAGGCCGAGCUUCGGCCGCCGCUCCGGCUCAUCGCCGACGCCUCUUCCGGCGACCCUAGCCUCCCAGAUGAUCCUGCCAGAUCGGCCACUUCGCGAGCAUGCUGUAGUUGCAAACCGCGUGCGUUUUGGUGCUGUGCAGCGCCGUCUAGGUCGCCUCCGGCGAGCCCUCCGCCGCGGGCCUGGUCGCGGGCGACCACCCUCCGGUGGGGGUCGACGUGGCAAGCUAACCCAGCCGCUUAGUGACCUAAUCACUCGCUGACAAGUGGGCCCAAGGCCAAGUCANNNNNNNNNNUGGGGAGCCCUCCGCGGCGGGCCUGGUCGCCGGCGACCACCCUACGGUGGGGGUCGACGUGGCAAGCUAACCCAGUAGCUUAGUGACCUAAUCACUCGCUGACAAGUGGGCCCAAGGCCAAGUCAAACCUCAGUUAGGGCUGGUCAGCGCGGGAUUAGUCCCAGAGAGGCUGACCAGUGGGGCCCCCCUGUUAGGUUUGACCUGAACAGGUCGGCUGACCUGCUGACGUCAGCCUGAUGCAAUAAUUAGAAUUUCCAGUAUAAAACUAAUUCAGGAAAUUGCUAAAAAUUGUAAAAAUCAUAGAAUUAAUCUGUAACUCCAAUGAAAAUAAUUUAUAUAUGAAAAAGUAUCAGAAAAAUUCAAAGAUUCUGAUUAUGCUAUUUUCAACUANNNNNNNNNNGAAAUUAAUCUAUAACUCCAAUGAAAAUAAUUUAUAUAUGGAAAAGUAUCAGAAAAAUUCAAAGAUUCUGAUUAUGCUAUUUUCAACUAUGUUUGAAAAAGUUACAGAACCCUAAAUUGUGGAAUAAGGAAUAAUUCAAUUCUUAUAAUUACUUUUAAAAUGGAAUUUGAAAAAUUAUUCAAAUUUCAUUAUGAAUACAAUGAUCACACACUGUCCUACUUACAAAUCAGUACCAUAACAUGACAUUUCAUGCAUGCUAACAUCAAGUUGAUCUGAGCAUCAGGUCGAAUCAAUUAAAACGGUAUCCGAGAAUACCCCGUUUGAAUUGCUAUUUGAAUGUGAUUCAAAUCUACUCUAAACCUAAUACAUGUUGAAAAUAAUAACUUAUCACCUUGCAUUCUCAUGCCAUGCUCAUGCAUCAUUUUGAGUGCAUAUGAUUGUUAUUGAAUGUUGCCAUUCAUUUCGGUAGGCUCCGCACCCUCGGAUUCCAUCGAAUAUCCGUCUGACGGAUAUCGUUCCUCCUCUGAGCAACAAGGCAAGCAACCCUUUUGAUCAUCCCGAUAAAUCCCAUGUUCUCGCUCCUGCACCUAUUUAUUGCAUUUAAGAUCAAAUGCUUCAACUGCUUUUGCCACGAUAGUUGAACCCAUUUCCUUUGCAUGACUUAACCUUGUCACAGUAAAUAGCCGAACCUUGCAACCUAGCAUACCUGGUAGUUGCUUGAACUAUGAUGUGCCUUAUCCUGCUAUGCAUGCUAUGCUUAGAGUUGUGUAUGGUCCGUCAUCUGGGAUAUGAACAGAAAUGUGGAAUGUGUUCGGUGAGCAAAGGUUGUGUGUUGAACUUGAUUUGGUAAAGGUACCGGUGAAAGGCUGUGUAGGAGUACAUGGCGGGUUGUUUCAUUGGAACCGUCCUUAGGAACUGAGUUCCGUGUAUGCAUUCCAAGACUAGAUACUACCACAUACUGGGCCCUGAAAUAUGACCCCGCUCGGCCUAUUAAUCGCGUAGUACCCGGUCCAGGAAUUGCAAGUAGUUUCUGGUGUUUAUAGUAAUGCUGGAGGCCGUGCAUGGUGCUGACCUGAGAGGUGGGCCGUGAUGCGGUAGGCAGUGGCACGGUGUACCAAGUGGCACCCGGAUGGUGGGCUUGGGAACCCUGCGCACAUCGUUUGAGGCCGUGGCGGAAACCUCGGCCGGACUUCCGUACGGGUUACUCUCAGAUAGGCGAUAAACCUGGACUAGGUACUAGUGUGGUUAACGGUCGUGGCCGACUCCCUCGCUGGGCUUCCUCUUGAAGGUUGCCGAGGUGCAUGACGUGCACAUGGCGAUAAGUGGCGAGAGCGUGUGUGACGAAGUACACCCCAGCAGGGUUAUGAUCUAUUCGAAUAGCCGCGUCCGCGGAUAUGGACUACUUGGAGACAUAUGUUGUUCAUAGAUAACUUCAAUGGCUACUCAUAAAAUUGUCAAGAUAAGCGUGAGUGUCGUGGACGGCAUUUCCGUACGGAAACGGAAUGAUUCCACGAUAGUGUAUUGUUGUGGUGUUAGCGGACUCGUGUGCGAGAAAUCAAGUUGUCAAAAUAAUUUAAAAAUGCAAGUUGUCUAGCCACGAGUCAAAUGCUGGCUUUCCGCAUGAAACCCCACAAUACCUUUUGAUACCUUGCAUGAGUAGUUAGUUCUCCUAAAGUCUUGCUGAGUACCUUCGUACUCAUGUUUGCUUAAUAAAUGUUGCAGAGGUUGCUAAUGACCCUAAUGGAGGGUUCUUCGUAGACAUCGACGACGACGAGUAGCUGGUGUCCGAGCUACGAUCUGGCCCUACGUCGGCUCUGUAGUAUAGUCAGGCCAUGUGCCUUCUAGUUGCACUGCCUGUUCCGAGACAGUUUAUAACUCUUCCGCUGGCUUGUAUUGUAUGACUGCUAUUAUGGGUCGAGAGACCUUAAUGUGUNNNNNNNNNNUUUCCAGCUACGAUCUGGCCCUACUCCGGCUGUGUAGUAUAGUCAGUGCAUGUGCCUUCUAGUUGCACUGCCUGUUCCCAGACAGUUUAUAACUCUUUCGCGGGCUUGUAUUGUAUGACUGCUAUUAUGGGUCGAGAGACCUUAAUGUGUAAUAUUAUGUGUGUGGCUCUUCCGAGCCUCUUAAAUAAAGCUUGUAUGUUUAUGGUUAUGUUGUGAUGCCAUCGAUGUAUCUAUACAUAUUGAUAUGCCAUGCGUACGUGUGUCAUGCUUGAUAUGUAUGGGGUUCGAUUACCUAGUCGUGAUCUUUAGUAGCACUCCUUACAAGGAAAUGCCCCUUUGUGAUCCAACGAGCCUUGCUAGUUCGCUACUGCUCCGGACGCAUUGGUUUCCCGGCAUGUGUCCUUCUCAGCUGCUGUGUCUGUCCCCUUUGGGGAAAUGUCACGCGAUGUAAUGGAGUCCUUGUAGCUUGCUACGACUCGUCUACAUUCGCUGAUGACCGACACCUGCUUUGUUGGGUCAUGUAUGCCUGUCCUUGUGUGGUACUGCCACUUUGGUUUAUGACUAGACAUGUCGAUCCGGGUUCUUUGACAUUGGAUUGCUAGCGACACUAUCGCAUACGUGAGUCAAAAGACGCAAACGGUCCCGGCUAAGGUAAGGCUGCAGCCGUGGAGUUAACCGUGCGUGAGACCACAAAGGGAUGCGAUGUGUUACAGGCUGGAAUCCUAUGGCUUAGGAUCGGGGUCCCGACAUUUUGUAGGAAAACAAUUCAAUAAUGAAGUGUGCACGCGUGGACAUUNNNNNNNNNNCUGAGACCACAAAGGGAUGCGAUGUGUUACAGGCUGGAUUCCUAUGGCUUAGGAUCGGGGUCCCGACAGCGUUGGUAUCAGAGCCUGACUGACUGUAGGAUUACUAAGCCAAACUGGUCGAAGUUGAGUUUAGAAUUUCUUUAGUUAUAUAUAAGGGAAUUGUUUGUGGAAGGGAACGUCAGACUCUUGUUCUCUUCUCAAGUCAUUCUAUUCUGGUCAUCCUUGUCUUUUCUGCGGGAAUUAAGGACUAGGUUACUCAUCUUCUCCUAGGCUCGUGUUUCUCAUCGGUAGAUUAUAGGACUACGGGUCGAGAGAUAUUGGGUUUAUUUUAUUCCUAGGAAGCAUGAAGUAAGUUUGAUGAUCAAAAAGUGGAACUUGAUAGUUGAGUGGUUACGCUAUUCCAUUUUUGGGUUGUCUCAAAUUUGUUUUGAGCAUUUACAACCGUUAUGCUGCCCAAUUUUGCAUUCAGAGCUCUAAUGCUUUUGCAUUACUCUCUAUUUACAGAUGCCUGGCCGUCCUUCUCGUCAGGUGGUACGUCUGACCAGGUGCAUUGAUGUGCCGGGUCAUACGGCCAUGCUGGUCAGGGUGAUGUCGGUGUGCGGUUACCGCUGGUACCCCAAGUACACGGUAGAGGAACAGUACCGAGACUUCAACCAGAGCCAGUACAUCUACACUGUUAGGGUAUUUCCAGACUACCCUGGAACUGAGAAGCCAAUCCAUUGGUCCUAUGGGUUGGGGGUCACCGUUGACAUGGCAGUUCAGGAUGCUGCGUAUUCAAUGCUGACUAUUAUGAGAGCAAGACAUGCACUGCUGCAGAAUUCAGAGUUCUGCUAUGUUCCGGCCUCUCAGUCUGGUGAAGAGGGAUACCUCAGUGGAGUCUAUUUUGAUUCUUCUAUGGAGGAUCCACUUCUGCAGUCCACUGUUGAGAUGCUAGAGAACAGAGACAGGGAUGCUCGUGCUCUCCGCAUGGAGCUUUAUGCUACCCGUGCCCGUCUGUGGACAGCUUUGACGCAGCUGGCACCGGUAGUGCAGAGAGGGUAUGGAGAGAUGGAGAUGCUGAACCCUGUUAGAACCCAUCUUCCGGCCCACGUUGACUGGCCAGCUAUAGGAGGAGUCACACCUCUUCGGGGACCCCUCUUACCACCAGUCAGGGGACCAAGGCCACAUCCGUGUCCUUAUGGAUCCCAGGGAUCUCAGGCUAGAGUGUUUCCUGAUCCGCAGGUUGAGCUUCCAGGUCAUGGAGGUAAUCUCUAUGAGAUGUUCUAUGCGGAUGCCUGAGCUGUGAGCGGAAGGAUAGUAUGGUAGUAGUCGUACGUUCACAGUCCUGCGUGACUUGUGAAGUAUGGUAGUAAUGUGAAAUGAAUUCCGGAGGCCUAGAUAAAUAAUGUAUAGGAAGCCUGUAAGCCUCUAAUGAGUAGUUUCAUAAUUUCAGUAGUUUGCUCUUCGUUUAAGGUUGUACUGAACUAUGUAAGGGUGUGUAUGAACCAUGGUGUAUAUAUAGCAGUUGCUUGUUACCAUGCUGUUCGGAUAUUAAUUUCCGCAUUCCGUCUGUUCAGUACAUUCUUAAUCCAUAGCUAGUAUUGAUAUGAUGUUGGUCUAAGCUAUGAGUUUGUUUGUUAGGAUGGUGUUCACCAGGUUGAACCGUGCCCCUGCUCAUGAGCAAGGUGAGGGUAGUCAAGCGUCGCAGGAAGACCUGCCUCACCCACCUUCUCUGGUAGAAGUGAUGCUUGAGGCAGAAAGAAACAAAAGGGAGACCAACCGACUGCUAGAGCGUAUUGAGCAGAAUACGGCUCGACAGCCUAGGAAUGCUGCAGUGUCCCUCAAUGACUUUGUGAAGCUGAANNNNNNNNNNNNNNNNNNNNNNNNNNNNNNNNNNNNNNNNNNNNNNNNNNNNNNNNNNNNNNNNNNNNNNNNNNNNNNNNNNNNNNNNNNNNNNNNNNNNAAUUCUCAAAUAUGCAAAAAGAAUUUUUAAUAAACAUAGUUUUUAAUUCAAAAUACCAAAAUAGAUAAUAGUUUGGAUAGUCAAAAUUAUUAGUUAUGAAAAUAAAAAAUAGUUUUGCAUUAUUUAUUCAAUUUGAAACACUUCUCAUUAUCAUAGUUUUGUCAAAUUCUCAAAUAUGCAAAAAGAAUUUUUAAUAAACAUGGUUUUUAAUUGAAAAUAACAAAAUAGAUAAUAGUUUGGAUAGUCAAAAUUAUUAAUUAUGAAAAUAAAAAAUAGUUUUGCAUUAUUUAUUCAAUUUGAAACACUUCUCAUUAUCAUAGUUUUGUCAAAUUCUCAAAUAUGCAAAAAGAAUUUUUAAUAAACAUGGUUUUUAAUUGAAAAUAACAAAAUAGAUAAUAGUUUGGAUAGUCAAAAUUAUUAAUUAUGAAAAUAAAAAAUAGUUUGCAUUAUUUAUUCAAUUUGAAAGACUUUUCAUUAUCAUAGUUUUGUCAAAUUCUCAAAUAUGCAAAAANNNNNNNNNNNNNNNNNNNNNNNNNNNNNNNNNNNNNNNNNNNNNNNNNNNNNNNNNNNNNNNNNNNNNNNNNNNNNNNNNNNNNNNNNNNNNNNNNNNNAACUGAUGUUCAACCAUUCGUGUGUACCAUCUUUCGCGAAUAAUAUAUGACCUGCGACGUCAUGUGGAGGGCUUGGAGGUAAUGGAGGUGUAGGUGACCUGCGACGACUUGGAGGCGGUGUUGUCCUUGGGGCCGAGUCUGGAAGCUUGAUGUAGUUCUUGUCCCAUAGGAUGACUCCACCCAGUACUUCUCCGAGUGUCCUCUCAUCUUCGGGUCCAGCUAUGUCGAGCUCCAUAUCAUUGAACCCCGUCAUGAUUUCAUCCACCCCGACUUCAGCAAAGCCAGCUGGAAUCUCAUGGCCAUGCCAGCGUGCAUCAGGGCCAGAAGGUAAAGCUUGUCCGACGGCCACCUUCAUGGAUAUGUUCUUGAAUUUCUGAUGGAGUUCACAUGAUGUUGACUCCUUGAUUCCAUCCACGCGGUAUCCGGGACCACCCUCUAUCAUUCUUCGUUCAUCGUCGGGCGGGGCCUCAGAUUCAGCCACGCUGCUUUUCCGCUUAGAUGGGGCGCCGGUAAUAUCAAGUGCAGGAUCUUCCUGGCGCGGUACUCCUCUAAGCUCAUCAAUCUGCUUCUGUUGCUCGUUAAUCCUGGCAAGCAACUGGUUGAACUUGUCAUUCUCCUCAUCCUGCUGCCGCUUCUUUGCUCUCUCUCGGCUUCUGUAAGUGUCUUUGUCUCUGGCAAACCCAAGCCACCACGGGUAAGAAGGACCGAAGCCUCGCGUUCGUCCUCCAUGUUUGUCAUUGCCGAGGACCAGUGUAAGAAAAUCUUUAUCUCUAUCUGCAGAGAACUUUCUUUGUCCCUCCUUAAUUUCUUUCACUAUCCUUUUCCAAUUCUCCCUGGGUAUCCUAAGAUCGUCAUUGCAGAUGAGGUCCCCUGUUGUUUCGUCGUACGACCCACCAUGCGCAAGGAACCAAUUUCUUGCUCUCCAUUCCCACUCAUCACGGAGUGGUUCAGGUAUGAUGACUUUAUCUAUCAGAUCUUGCUCUUUCUUAUCCCACUUUGGGAUGGCAGUCUCAUAGCCCCCUGGCCCCAGCUUGUGGUGAUAUUUCUUCUUGUCGGCAUUUAUCUUGUUCUUUUUUGAUAAUGCCUGGGCAUCUUCUGACUCCUUGUACUCUUGAAAUGCCUUCCAGUGAUUCGCAUGCUUGGCUAGAUACCCCUCAAAUACUGACACUUUCUGUGUCUUCAGAUAGUUUUUCCAUAGCUUCUUCUUCCAGCUACGGAAUAGUUCGGCCAUCUUCUUCAGAGUCCACUGCUUGACUUUGUCCCUCAGUUUGUCUGCGGCGUCUUCAUUCUCACAUUCUGGCAGGUUGAAAUGUGACAUGAGAUCAUUCCAAAGAUUAUCUUUGUACCUUUUGGCGACAUAGUCACUAUCGGCUGCCCCUUUGCGCUUGUUCCACUCCCGAACGCUGAUCGGGACGUGAUCCCUAACGAGAACUCCGCAUUGCUUCUUGAAUGUGUCAGCAACAUUCUUAGGAAGCUUGGGUUCGCCCGUAGGCAAUAUCACCUCAAAGGUGUAAUGCGUCCGUGCAUCCAACUUUCUAGUCGGGCCUUGUUUCGUAGCUUUGCUCGAUGUGGAGGCCUAAGAGGGAGAAACAUUCGUCAAAUGAAUGUAUAUGUAUACAAUAUAGAGCUAUCUCCAAUAUUUUUCACAUAUUACAAGUGAUUGUCGAACUUCAUAUGUAUACCUCGCCGGACUUUAUUAUUUCUUCACCGGCUUCUCCAUCAGUGGAGCUAUCACCUUCUCUGUCAUUGGACCUAUCUCCUGCCCCAUCGGCUUCAUCUUCGUGUCGCUCGACCUCCAUUCCAACGUCCUGGUUUAGAUAUGACGACGGAGAUUCAGCUGGUUCAACGUCGGGGCCGUCUUUGAUUAUAUCUUCGAAAAGUUCUUCCUCUUCGAGGUUCUUGAUAUGUGGAUCCAUAGUUCUAUGAGGAACUCCGUUCCAAAACAACUUGAUAUGUGGAUCCAUAGUUCUAUCAGGAACUCCGUUCCAAAAAAAUGGAUUCUCUUAACGUUUGUACCAAAAAAGAAUUAUUCUAUCAGGAACUCCGUUCCAAAACAACUUAAGUCCCGGGUCAUGGCUCCACCCGGGACUCCUAGAUUUCUGCAUAGUAUUCAAAGUAGGAGUACUUUUCCAAUUUGAGCAUUCAAUAAGCAAAACCAAAUCGUAAAAUAAAGUAGUAUUCAAAUUAGCAUGCAUUCAAUUAUAAGCUAAUACAUCAUCACUUUUGUCCGUACACCAUCGAAUAUUAUCACUAAUACUCCUCGAAUACUAUCAUACAUAUAGCAUCACUAAUACAUCUAGAACCGUAGCGCCCGACGGGUAUCGGCGCGGGCGGUGGACACCCAAAGAGAAGGAACCAUCACAGGAUCAUAGCUCCAGUGAGAUCCCCGAAGAACCUGCCAGGUAUGCUCGAACCUGCCCUCCAACGCAACCAUGUAGCUGUUGGAAAUAUGCCCUAGAGGCAAUAAUAAAAUGGUUAUUAUCAUAUNNNNNNNNNNGGUCAUCAGUGUCAACCCUUGCAUGUCCACCCUUAAUGUCCUACUGGUCAAUUAAUGUUUUAUAGUACAAUGCCGACCUCUUAUACUUGUUGGAAAUAUGCCCUAGAGGCAAUAAUAAAAUGGUUAUUAUCAUAUUUCCUUGUUCAUGAUAAUCGUCUAUCGUUCAUGCUAUAAUUGUAUUAACAGGAAACAGUAAUACAUGUGUGAAUGAAUAGAUCACAAUAUGUCCCUAGCAAGCCUCUAGUUGGCUAGCUCGUUGGUCAAUAGAUGAUCAUGGUUUCCUGAUCAUGGACAUUGGAUGUCAUUGAUAACGGGAUCACAUCAUUGGGAGAAUGAUGUGGUGGACAAGACCCAAUCCUAAGCCUAGCACUAGAUCGUAUUGUUCGUAUGCUAAUGCUUUUCUAAUGUCAAGUAUAUUUUCCUUCGACCGUGAGAUUGUGCAACUCCCGGAUACCGUAGGAGUGCUUUGGGUGUAUCAAACGUCACAACGUAACNNNNNNNNNNNNNNNNNNNNNNNNNNNNNNNNNNNNNNNNNNNNNNNNNNNNNNNNNNNNNNNNNNNNNNNNNNNNNNNNNNNNNNNNNNNNNNNNNNNNGUGCUCCUCUCUGCAUGGUGUCCAUAAGUCCCUCAUACUCCAUAUAUAUAUACAUUUGUACUACUACCACCACUUCAACUUUCAUUUGUGUUGAACUAGCUUCAUCAUGGUACACACUUACACACACUCAUGCACAUUAUUCUUACUUCCAAUUUUCCAUUACAUGCAUGUAUGUAUACAUUCCAUACUUUGUGUGAUUUUACAUCUGUGUGAUGAUGCUUGCAGAGCAAGCCUGUGAAGAUUGGUCUAUGGGGUGGAGUAGGAGGCCAGCCUCGUGACGUCAGACACGCUCCCCACCGACUAACCCGGGUGGAAAUUUCUGGUGCAGACGCAAUCCACUCCACCAAGUUUACAUAUGAGGAUCAUGCAGGGGAUCAACAUGUAGAUGGUGUAUGGGGAGCUCCUAGUGGGAACAAGCACACGGUGNNNNNNNNNNCGGUGCAGACGCAAUCCACUCCAUCAAGUUUACAUAUGAGGAUCAUGCAGGGGAUCAGCAUGUAGAUGGUGUAUGGGGAGCUCCUAGUGGGAACAAGCACACGGUGUGUGAAUCAACUUAACCUUAUAAAAUACCUAAUAUAUACAAUUUAUAUAUGUAAGUAACCCUUAUCGCCAUAUGAAGUCCUAACUAUAGGUUAUAAAAAUGCAUGAUUGUUGUUUUACACAGUUGGACCUUGAAGACACGGAAUAUGUGACNNNNNNNNNNNNNNNNNNNNNNNNNNNNNNNNNNNNNNNNNNNNNNNNNNNNNNNNNNNNNNNNNNNNNNNNNNNNNNNNNNNNNNNNNNNNNNNNNNNNACAUCACAAAAUUUCAACAAUUUCUGACUUCAUUUGGUAUAUUUCAUGCAUUUACUUGUUUUUUGAGCUAGUUGACCCUAAAAUUGAAAAGCACUACAAAUGAACUCUGAAAAUGUUGAAAGUUGGCAUGCUAUCAUCAUUUCACCCACAUAGCAUGUGUUAAAAAGUUGAGAGGGCUACGACAAAAACUGGAUGCAGUUCGUGUACAAAACGGACAAUCUCUCUCGAAGUAGCAGGGUUUCGAAUGAGAACUCAUCUCUUACAAAGGGAUUUCAGUGUUUUGAACUUAUUUGAACUCCAUACUUUUUGUGUGUUCAAAAUGCACCAUUCAAAGGCACAUCACAAAAUUUCAACAAUUUCUGACUUCAUUUGGUAUAUUUCAUGGAUUUACUUAUUUUUUUUGAGCUAGUUGACCCUGAAAUUGAAAAGCACUACAAAUGAAUUCUGAAAAUGUUGAAAGUUGGCAUGCUAUCAUCAUUUCACCCACAUAGCAUGUGUUAAAAAGUUGAGAGGGCUACGACAAAAACUGGUGCAGUUCGUGUACAAAACGGACAAUCUCUCUCGAAGUAGCAGGGUUUUGAACGAGAACUCAUCUCUUACAAAGGGAUUUCAAUUUUUUGAAAUUAUUUGAACUCCAUAAUUUUUGUGUGUUCAAAAUGCACCAUUCAAAGGCACAUCACAAAAUUUCNNNNNNNNNNGAAAUUAUUUGAACUCCAUACUUUUUGUGUGUUCAAAAUGCACCAUUCAAAGNNNNNNNNNNNNNNNNNNNNNNNNNNNNNNNNNNNNNNNNNNNNNNNNNNNNNNNNNNNNNNNNNNNNNNNNNNNNNNNNNNNNNNNNNNNNNNNNNNNNGUUGACAUCACAAAAUGCUUCAAUCUAUAUCAUGCAUCUAUAAAACAGUGUUGAGAUUAAUUUUGUAGUACAAUAAUUCAAUAAUGAAGUGUGCACGCGUGGACAUUCCAUGAGCCUACAUGGAUGACAUCAAGAUAUGAUUACCUAUCAUUAGCAAUAAGAUACCUCCUCAACCCAACGAAACUUUUCACUGCCUUCCGAUUCCACAUGGCUAUGCUGUUGUGAUGAUGGAUCAAGUAAUGGAGGAAUUUGAGCAGCUCGAGCUUGACCACCCUACAGGUGAAGGGGAGAUUCAGUUGGUUCGUGCUCUGGGGAGUACAUGUCUAUGGCAGAAGGAGUUCAUCAAGCUUCCAAACUGGACGCCUCCGCCUCCUCCGACGACGACGACGAGUCAGGGCACUCUGCCUCCUCCGGCGAGUGAUCAGGGCACUUCGCCUCCUUCUCGAGCUCCUNNNNNNNNNNCACGAGUCAGGGCACUCUGCCUCCUCCCCCUCCUCCUCCUCCGGCGAGUGAUCAGGGCACUUCGCCUCCUUCUCGAGCUCCUUCGACGCGUGAGGGCACUUCGCCUCCUCCUUCGCCUCGUCGACGCGUCAGAGCAGUCCGCCUCCUUCUCUCAAGCAGAAGAGAUACACCUCCUUCUCUCCGGCGGCUAGCAGUACAAGCAGAGGCGGGAAAUACGGUCCAUCUAUCAAGCUGAAAAGUUACCAUAUGAGAGGACCAAGGAGGAAAACGAGGACAUAUGUCGUGCCAAAUUGAGGGCCCAUUUUGCAAAGAAAACUCCACCUCCGAAGGAGAAGCUAGAUCCGGUGAAAGUGGAGCACACUAUCAAUCAACUGCAGCGACCACCUGCGCCUCUGUCGGAUUCCAACUAUGACCGCAUUCUUAAAAAGACAUAUGCACAAGCGGUGCGGUCGGGAACUACUUCUAGUGAUGCAAGGUUAGCAGAACGAAGAAGUGAGAAAACAAUUCCCGAGCUCGAUAUCGUCGUCGCUAAUCAUUCGGAGAUGGUGCCUAGUACCAAUCAUGAUGAUUACUUGGGGGGCGAUGUAACAAAAGAAUAAUAUAAAUACGUGCAUGGGAAGCCUCUCAUCAAACCUGGUCAUCCUGCCCUAACAACGAUGAUGCACAGAUUGCAUGAGUGGUAUAUGAAAACCUGCAGGGAGUCCAGGAAAAACGCUAUGUAUGUGGCAGUGAAACGAGAGCACGAAUUCAUUGGACUUCCCGUGAUUACUAUUCAAUUUGAGGAGUUAUUUCAGUUAUACAAUCAACUGGCCCUUGACAAACAACUCAUGGCUUCCUACUGUCUGUAAGUAUUACUUCUAUAGUUAAGUCUCUAGCUCAACUCGUUCAUUGCAUGUAUAUAUUAGUUAUCCUCACUAUAUAUAUUAUGCAGAUUGAAGAUCGUCGAAUUAAAAAAACAGGAAUCGUCGACGUUGGGUUCAUUAGCCAAGAUGUCUUAAAUGAAUUGACGAUACGAAUCUCAAUCAAAGAGACCGAGGAGAACUUGCUAAACUCGUUCCUUAUACAUAAAAAAAGAGGAAAUAAUCUUUCCUUACAACUUCAAGUGAGUGUUGUUGUCUUAUUUGUAAACUCGGCUUCGCUUACUCGAGGUUAAUUAAGUAAUGUAAUUGAUGAGUUAUAUAUGCGUGCGCAGAGACCACUUUAUUCGGCUAUCCAUUGAUGUUGGCAGGGCAUUAGUAAAUGUAUUAGACUCGAGACGUAAAGCCGAAGAGGAUUAUGAGGACAUUACUGCAAUGCUCAAGAAGUAAGUUCAGUCAAUAUAUCGAGACCAUAUCGGCAUGCAACUUUCGUUAAUUUCCUGAUAUCAAGUAAUCAUUUUUCUUUGCCUGUUAGGGUUUGGACGAAGUUCGCCAAUAAGGUUUCCGGUAUAAACAAAGAGUUGCGAUUUACGCACCCCAAAGUAAGUAGUACUAUCUAGUUCCGCGCAUCUCUAAUUGAUUCAAAUUUUUAUCAAUAUAUCAUUACCAUGCUUGCUUAUCAAUUAAUUGAACUCUAUUCUUGUAAAGUGUAUGUACCAGAAAGAAGACAGUGUUUUAUGUGCAUACUACGUAUGCAAGUUCAUUCGCCACUCGAUCUCUGAGCGGGUCUUCUCUGAGAAACAAUUGCAAGUACGUAAAUAUUAUUCACAAUUCUAUUGAGUUUUAUUCAUAUAUAUGCAUGUAUUGACCCCUUCUUUAAAUUAGAUCUCGGAGAUGCGGGAUGAACUCGUACCAUAUGAUCGCAUACGAGCAAUUCAAGAGGAAUUGACGGGAUUCUUUCUUGAUCACGUCAUACCUAAAGACGGAGAAUGCCAUGUGGAUUUGUCAUUGGAUCUUAUUAGAUGAUGUUUUGGAUUAAUUAUAAAAGAUGUUAUAUUGUAUAUAUGUAAUAGCGUAGGAUAGAUGUACGAAAACUUGUUGUUCGACCAAGCACGGAGAGAGAGAGGACACUUCUCUCUAUUAACUAGCUAACACAAUAUGAAACCACUAAAUUAACCCUCCAACCCCCCCCCCCCAAUUUGGUCCCGGUUGGUGUGACUUACCGGGACUAAAGUUCCUCCUGCCUAGGCUCCCCGCAGCGGCCACGUGAAGCUUCUUUAGGCCCGGUCCAUAAGCCAACCGGGACUAAAGGUUUGGGCCUUUAGUCCCGACCCUUUAGUCUCGGUUCAAAAACCGGGGCUAAUGGGUCUCUGAAACUAGAACAAAUCAGCCUUUUUCUACUAGUGGAUACACGGGUUGACGACUAGUAACAAAUGUUUUUUGUCUUUUUCGCUGUAAAGUCAAUGUUGGUUUAUUUAUUGAAAAUUUAUAUACUAUAGUACAAAAGUAAGUCAAGUGUAUUUCCCCGGCUCCAAGGCCAGAAACUGGUGAAUCACAAACUUAAGUUUCAAGCUCUGAAUUUGAGACAAGAGAUAACACAAAUACAGAUUGCUUUUACUCCUUCCGAAUUCAGCUACGGAACAACAAGUAACAAUUCGAGAUGGCAAAACUAAACAAAUGUUUUAGUUGAGCAGCGAGUUGUGCACCACAGAAUAUUUCCCUCUCUGUCGAUUAGCCAGGAGCGAAAAUUCAGUAGCCGAAAAUAAAAAUGCAGGAACGAGCUUGAUAUAAAACUGCAGCAAAUUUUACCAACAUUAAGCAUACGGAAGCUGCACAUAACUAACGUACUGAUCAUGUCUGAUCAUACUAGUCAGGAGUCACAUAGGAAAGGUCCAACACUAGUACAUCAAAUUAGGACGACCACAAUCUAUACUCUAUACUCUUAUCUUAUACUAAUUAAAGACUCCCUAGAAAUUACCACGUUAAUUAGUAAAUAGGAGCCGUUAAUCUUGAUGGGACCGAGUUAUAACGGCCAGAUUUAAUCUAAUUAAUUGAAGAAAAAGAAAAAAAUCACAACCGUCAAUUUUAUGGGUCGAAACUAGAACGACUCAGAUUGAAAACCAUUGAACAAUAGUUAUAAAGAUUAAACAUUGAACAAUACGUACAUAUCCUCGGAAAAAAGAACAAUACCUACAAGUCACGACCAUUAAAUCUCUGAGUUAUUCAUAAACCUGCCCUGAAAAACUGCCCUAUCCCUAAUCAUUGGAAAAGAAAAGAAAAACUUUCUACUAAUCUCUCAUUCGCCGCCACACGAUACUCUCCUGCUCGAGUGAUACUCAUGCCAUCAAAUCCCACGUCGCCGGCUAUCCUCGCGCUGUUCUUGCCGGUGACCUUCAGGCAUCUUGCCGAAUCCAGUGAAAUCCACGCCGUCAACCAUCUUCACGCUGCUCUUGGCGGUGAUCUUCAGUCAAGAUACGGAAGUAUACAGGCUCAACACUUGAUUGAUCUCCCCGCCAGAUCUGAAAGUACACAAACCUGGCGGCUUAUCUGUCAUCCUCGGAUGCAGGCGCACAAAGGUGAUAACACCCGCACAUGGGAAACCUGUACAUGUGGAAACCUAUACUCAGAAGCUCUAUGCCCCUGAUCUCAGUUAUAUGCCCAGCCAACUCUCAGACUGAAAGAGAAAAGAUUCUUGUGGUUCUACCUGUACAUGUGGUCGUCAGUGCGGGAGGCAUCAAGGUCAGGUUUAAAGUAAUUAAGCAACUAUGUCAAGGAUGCUGCCAAGGGUUUCUGGAUAACCUUCAAGGCUGUAACCCCUUCUCCUAACGUUAAUCGAUAUUUUCUUCGAUGGCCUUUUCAUAAAGAAAGACAUUGAUGCCUAUCUUGCAUGAGGUUUUCGACUAAUUUCUCAUCUUUAGCAAAACUAUAUGUUGAUAUGAUUUCUUUUCUUUUUCUUUUUGAAUCUAUGGAGGGGGCAUGGAGAUCGGUUGCGAAUAUUUUUCUCCUUUUUGUAUAUCAAAUAAUCUUUCAGUAGAGGGCUAUUUCUUGGUUGAGGUGUGAAAGAUCUGAUUGUUGUCAUACAAUCUGUAUAUGGUAUGUGUCGUUGAAUAUGUUCUUAUUAUUCUUGCAUGUCUGGAAUAUAUACUCAUUAUGCUUAAACGCAUAUAAAGUGUAGGCAUAUCCAUAGAUUAUUUGUUAUUCAUCCUUUAGCUGCAGAUUGAGCAAUUUGUUCAUGAGUGAGAAAUAACAGUUAGUAUGCCUCAUUUCCUAUCGUAUUAUUGUUGAUAUUUCUUAAGGUAAUUAGAGACAAGAUUACCUAAGUUUCUCAAAAUCAUAUUUAAAAACUGAUGUUUGUUUCAGGUGAAUACAUAUCUUGUGAGACUCCUCGAGAAGAGAGAUUGCUCGGUUAAUAUAUCUUACAUUUGUUUGAUUCCUGUUUUUCUCGACUAGAUGCUGCCACCUGCUGGUCAUAUACAUAGCAAUGGUAAUUUAUGCCACAAAACCAUCGCUCAGUGUGGUGUAUUCUCUCCUUAGUCGACAUAACAAAAAUUGAGCCCCGACACUAGAAACAGAAAGUUCGUCGAUGAAGAGAUAAAAGAUGAUGCUGACAAAGGACCAUGGUGGAUAAUGCAGAGGUUUCAAACGGUCAAACUGGGCCAUGGGAGAAAGACAUGUGUGGCCAAUAGGCAUGCCCUAUAAACAACACGGCUUGAACCUCAUCAGCAAACACAUGGCCAAGGACGAGAUUGAUCUUUUACUAAGGCACAAACACUUGCGUUUGCUGCAUCCACUGAAAUAGGGAUCCAAUAUUUUUGUAAACUAAAGAGACUGCAGUACAUGUUUAUUUGUAACAAAAACUGAUAAGUACAGAUGCAGUAGACUAUUAUUUAGGGUUGUAAACUGCAGGUGCAGGCAUGUACACUAGAGGAAAUGAGGAAUAUUCGUAACUGUUAGUAAUAAAUAUACUUGCAUGUUACUAAUUUAUUCUCUUACACAGGUUUGUCAGGCUAUAUGGACCUAGGUUGUUGCACUUACCAUUAGCACUAUGCAAGUUUUCGGCAUGAUAGCCCUUUCCUUGCUUCAAACUGAUUGAAGUAUUUGGUGGAAGUGCCAAAAAAUUGUUCAUAUUAUAUCCAGCCGUCUAUCUCCUCAAUGACACAAUACAGAUGUUCCUCGCUAGAUUACGGGAAAGAAACUGCCAUGAAGAGGACCAUCCAAUUGGCUGUUCUUGAUCGUCAUUUUUAUGGGGUUUCGACAAAGCCACAGAAACAUGGGAAAUGCCGUACCAACAAGUAAUUUCUUGAUUUGUCAUUUAUUUGUCCCAUAUCUUCCAUGAUUUGAUUUGAUUUGAUUUUUUUCGUAUGUUCAGUCGGGUUCUUCUUUUUGAUAACAGCAGCCAUGCCCAUCAUAUCAUGUGACAAAUCAGUUGCAGAGCUUGGAUGAUGAUAUAUACCACCUGAUGUAUUUAUUCAUCACUGUGUUGUAUUCAUUUAUUUCUCUGUAUACACACUCAUGUACUGAUUGGGUUCCAUUUCUUCACAGUUUUAUACCCCAAUUUGCUUGCUGUUGUUCAGGUCUUCAUGUUCUAAUCAGUGGUGGAAGGAAAUUUGCACAUUCUUAAUACUAAGGAGUGAAAAUCACACCAAUGCCGGUUAGAGUAGCUAUCUAUUUAAAAUUUUGUUCAGUACAGUUUAGUUAUGCAGUUGGUACCAAAGAAAAAGAUAGACACUAUAAGGCACUUCAAAAACUUUGAAGUCCGUCUGCAAUAGCAACAUCAUUUCAGAGAUAUUUUAUAUGGUCUUCCUUUAACACAGUCUACAGCAAAAUAGAAAUGGAAACAACCUGCUAUUGUUUUUUUUAUCUAAUAAAUUUCAUGAGAAGGACGAGUGGAAAGUUUAGGUCUGAUCAAGCUUGUGUUUGGUUGACAUUACUAUUGAGACACUCUGCUGAAAUUCCACGUACAACAGAGAUAAACAAAUAGUAUAUUGUGACAAUUAUCCAGUAAGACUGAGUUACAAUGCCUUAUACAAAAAGGUUUCUUCUUUCAUUGCGACAUCAUAACAACUUAGAUCGAUUUGCAUUGAGGAAAAUGUUAACACAUAGAUGCAUUGAGGAUAAUUUACAGCUCAAGGACGAAGCCUACCAUACCAUUGGAUACACUGUAUACACUAGUGGAAAACGGGCCUUUGGCCGGGACCAUUUAGUACCGGCCUGCCUCUGGGACGGGACUAAAGGCCCGGCCACGUCGCCCCAAUUCUCAAUGCCUCCCUCGAGGCUUUAGUCCCGGCCCGUAAGGAGCCUUUAGUCCCGGUUCGUUUCCCAAACCGGGACUAAAGGGCUACGCGGUGGGCAGUGGUGGUGGCAACCGUUCGUAUCCCCCUUUAGUCCCGGUCGGUGGCUCAACCCGGGACUAAAGGACUAACACGUGGCCCGCCGUAGUGGUGGAGACCGUUGGUAUACCUCUUUAGUCCCGGUUGGUGGCUCAACCCGGGACUAAAGGCCUAACACGUGCCCUGUUGUAGUGGUGGCAACCGUUUGGUAUACCUCUUUAGUCCCGGUUGGUGGCUCAACCCGGGACUAAAGGCCCAAACGGUUUGCAUCCCGCGUCGUUUCGAGUGAUGAAAAGCACGAACCGAAGCGUACAAUCGCCAUUUCUCUGUUUCUUCUUCUCUCUCGCGUCGCCCUCUCUGUUCUUCUCCUCUCUUCUUCCCUUCUCUUCUUCCACCAUGCCAACUAGCUUUCAUGAGGUGCUCGCACAUGGCACGACCAAGCUCCGUGUCAUGUACACGAACCUGAGCAGGGAGGUGCCGUUUUUUCUUCAACAGUUGAAGGAACGAUGGUUUGACCACGUAGUGGAUCAUGAGAAGUUCUUGGGGCUUGAUCUGGAGUACACGACCGAUCAACGCGGUGUUGCCGUCAUCCAACUAUGCUUCGCACGCCAUGUCUUGAUCUUUCAAUGGGCGAGGUAAGUUUUGAGGCUUUCUUUGAUCCAAGAUAAUGGCAUUGUAAGUUUAUUUGUUUCAAUCAUAGUUGGUUCCCUUCAAAUAGUUGUAGUGAAACAAUUUUGAUUNNNNNNNNNNNNNNNNNNNNNNNNNNNNNNNNNNNNNNNNNNNNNNNNNNNNNNNNNNNNNNNNNNNNNNNNNNNNNNNNNNNNNNNNNNNNNNNNNNNNUAUAUGCGUAUUGCUAUCGAGAUUCAAUAUGAACAAUCCUCUCACAUUCGGUGCAUGACCAUAAAAGAUGUUACUCAUAGAAAUAGAACAACCAUUAUUCUCAGACUUAAAAGAGUAACCGUCUCGCAAUAAACAAGAUCCAGAUAUAAUGUUCAUGCUCAACGCAGGCACUAAAUAACAAUGAUUUAAGUUCAUCACUAAUCCCGAUGGUAGCUGAAGUGACACUGUGCCGACGGCGAUUGCAUCAACCUUGGAACCAUUUCCUACGCGCAUCAUCACUUCGUCUUUCGCCAGCCUUCGUCUAUUCCGCAGUUCCUGUUUCGAGUUGCAAAUGUGACCAACAGAACCGAUAUCGAAUACCCAGGCACUACUACGAGAGCCGGUUAAGUACACAUCAAUAACAUGUAUAUCAAAUAUACCUGAUUUUUCUUUGCCCGCCUUCUUAUCUGCCAGAUACUUGGGGCAAAUGCGCUUCGAGUGACCCAUACCCUUGCAAUAGAAGCACUCUGUUUCAGGCUUAGGUCCAGCCUUGGGUUUCUUCGGCGGAUUGGCAACAGGCUUGCCGCUCUUCUUCGAAUUGCCCUUCUUGCCUUUGCCGUUUCUCUUGAAACUAGUGGUCUUGCUCACCAUCAACACUUGAUUCUCUUUACGGAGUUCAGACUCUGCGACUUUCAGCAUCACAAACAACUCGCCGGGAGACUUGUUCAUCCCUUGCAUGUUGUAGUUCAACACAAAGCCUUUAUAGCUUGGCGGCAGUGAUUGAAGGAUUCUGUCAAUGAUAGCUUCUUGCGGGAGUUCAAUCCCCAGUUCAGCCAGACGGUUUGAGUACCCAGACAUUUUGAGCACAUGUUCACUGACAGACGAGUUUUCCUCCAUCUUGCAAGCAUAGAAUUUAUCGGAGGUCUCAUACCUCUCGAUCCGGGCGUUCUUCUGAAAGAUAAACUCCAACUCCUGGAACAUCUCAAAUGCUCCAUGACGCUCAAAGCGACGUUGAAGUCCCGGUUCUAAGCCGUACAAGACUGCACAUUGAACUAUUGAGUAGUCCUCCUUACGCGCUAACCAAGCGUUCUUAACAUCCUGAUCAGCCGUAGCGGGUGGUACAUCUCCUAGCGCAGCAUUAAGGACAUAAUCCUUCUUCCCAGCUUGUANNNNNNNNNNAUACAAGACUGCACAUUGAAUUAUUGAGUAGUCCUCCUUACGUGCUAACCAAGCGUUCUUAACAUCCUGAUCAGCCGUAGCGGGUGGUUCAUCUCCUAGCGCAGCAUUAAGGACAUAAUCCUUCUUCCCAGCUUGUAAGAUUAGCUUAAGAUUACGAGCCCAGUCUACAAAGUUGCUUCCAUCAUCUUUCAACUUAGCUUUCUCUAGGAACGUAUUAAAAUUCAGGAUGACUGUUGCAUGAGCCAUGAUCUACAACACAAAUAUAUUCAAAGUGGACUUAGACUAUGUUCAAGAUAAUUAGAGUUCAACUUAAUCAAAUUAUAUGCUAAACUCCCACUCAAAAAGUACAUCUCUCUAGUCAUUUGAGUGGUUCAUGAUCCACUUACACUAUCCCAAGUCCGAUCAUCACGUGAGUCGAGAGUAGUUUCAGUGGUAAGCAUCCCUAUGCUAAUCAUAUCAACUAUAUGAUUCAUGAUCGACCUUUCGGUCUCAUGUGUUCCGAGGCCAUGUAUGCACAUGCUAGGCUUGUCAAGCUUAACCCGAGUGUUCCGCGUGCGCAACUGUUUUGCACCCGUUGUAUGUGAACGUUGAGUCUAUCACAUCCGAUCAUCACGUGGUGUCUCGAAAUGACGAACUGUAGCAACGGUGCACAGUCGGGGAGAACACAAUUUCGUCUUGAAAUUUUAGUGAGAGAUCACCUCAUAAUGCUACCGUCGUUCUAAGCAAAAUAAGGUGCAUAAAAGGAUUAACAUCACAUGCAAUUCAUAAGUGACAUGAUAUGGCCAUCAUCUCGUGCUUCUUGAUCUCCAUCACCAAAGCACCGGCACGAUCUUCUUGUCACCGGCGCCACACCAUGAUCAUCCAUCAACGUGUUGCCAUCGGGGUUGUCGUGCUACUUAUGCUAUUACUACNNNNNNNNNNNNNNNNNNNNNNNNNNNNNNNNNNNNNNNNNNNNNNNNNNNNNNNNNNNNNNNNNNNNNNNNNNNNNNNNNNNNNNNNNNNNNNNNNNNNGGGUCUACACACUUAAGGUUCGAUGACGCUAGGGUUAUAGGGAAUUGUUAUACGAGAUUACCGAAAGUUGUUCGGAGUCCCGGAUGAGAUCCCGGACGUCACGAGGAGCUCCGGAAUGGUCCGGAGGUAAAGAUUGAUAUAUAGGACGGAUGGUUUCGGACACCGGAAGUGUUUCGGGCAUCACCGGUAACGUACCGGGACCACCGGGACCACCGGAGGUGGUCCCGGUGGACCACCGAAGGGGGGCUGCGACCCCAAGAGGUAAGAUGGGCUAAGUGGGGGUGGGAACCAGCCCCUAGUUGGGCUGGUGCGCCUCUCCACUCAGCCCAUGGCGCAGGGGAAAGAAAAAGAGGGGGGAACCCUAACUUAGGUGGGCCUUAGGCCCACCAGAGGGGUGCGCCACCCCCUCCUCCCCAUCUGGCCGCCACACCCCCCAUCUGGGAGGGCUGCCGCACCCCCUAGGGUGGGAACCCUAGGGGUGGCACCCCCUCUCCCCUUCCCCUAUAUAUAGUGGGCACUUUUGGCCUUUGGAGGACACAGUUUUCCUUCUCCCUCGGCGCAACCCCGCACUUCUCCCUCCUCCUCUCUGCCGGCGCUUGGCGAAGCCCUGCCGGGAGACCUCGNNNNNNNNNNGUGCGCCACCCCCUCCUCCCCAUCUGGCCGCCACUCCCCCCAUUUGGGAGGGCUGCCGCACCCCCUUGGGUGGGAACCCUAGGGGUGGCACCCCCUCUCCCCUUCCCCUAUAUAUAGUGGGCACUUUUGGCCUUUGGAGGAUACAGUUUUCCCUCUCCCUCGGCGCAGCCCUGCACUUCUUCCUCCUCCUCUCUGCCGGCGCUUGGCGAAGCCCUGCCGGGAGACCUCGUCUCUCCACCAACACCACGCCGUCGUGUUGCUGGUCUUCUUCCCCAACCUCUCCCUCCUUGCUGGAUCAAGGUGCGGGAGGCGUCACCGGGCUGCACGUGUGUUGAACGCGGAGGUGCCGUUGUUCGGCACUAGAUCGGAAUCGCUGCGAGUACGACUCCAUCAACNNNNNNNNNNCCUUGCUGGAUCAAGGUGCGGGAGACGUCACCGGGCUGCACGUGUGUUGAACGCGGAGGUGUCGUUGUUCGGCACUAGAUCGGAAUCGCUGCGAGUACGACUCCAUCAACCGCGUUCUAGCAAACGCUUCCGCUUAGCGAUCUUCAAAGGUAUGAAGAUGCUCUUACCCCUCUCUCGUUGCUGGUCUCUCCAUAGGAAGAUCUGAACAUGCGUANNNNNNNNNNNNNNNNNNNNNNNNNNNNNNNNNNNNNNNNNNNNNNNNNNNNNNNNNNNNNNNNNNNNNNNNNNNNNNNNNNNNNNNNNNNNNNNNNNNNGAAAUCAUAGAGAAAAUUCAAUCUAAAUUCUCAUUUGAAUUUAGAUUGAAUUUUCCCUAUAAUUUAUAAUAUAGUUACAAUUGUCAGUAAGUUUAGGCCCGUAAGCCUGCUUUAGAGAGGAGCUCGAUGGAGAAGCUGCAACGGGGCUUAUAAACAAGUGUUAGUCCCCCUCGNNNNNNNNNNNNNNNNNNNNNNNNNNNNNNNNNNNNNNNNNNNNNNNNNNNNNNNNNNNNNNNNNNNNNNNNNNNNNNNNNNNNNNNNNNNNNNNNNNNNNNNNNNNNNNNNNNNNNNNNNNNNNNNNNNNNNNNNNNNNNNNNNNNNNNNNNNNNNNNNNNNNNNNNNNNNNNNNNNNNNNNNNNNNNNNNNNNNNNNNNNNNNNNNNNNNNNNNNNNNNNNNNNNNCACCCCUUUUCGGCAGGCGAGGAGGCGGGAAAUGAGGGGCUUUAGUCCCUGGCCGUGGCUCCAACCGGGACUAAAGGGGGUCUUUAGUCCCGGUUCGAGCCACGCACCGGGACUAAAGUUCCACCUAUAUAAGCAGGACUUCAAAAAAUUCCAACCCAAAUCAUCCAUUUCUCUUCUUCUUCCUCUCGUUCUCCUACCCGGCGCGGCACAGCGACGAACUCGACGACGCCGUCAGGCAGCCCGACGUCCUGCUCGCCGCCGCCUGCCGUNNNNNNNNNNNNNNNNNNNNNNNNNNNNNNNNNNNNNNNNNNNNNNNNNNNNNNNNNNNNNNNNNNNNNNNNNNNNNNNNNNNNNNNNNNNGUCGUCCUCCUCGCCGCCGCCGUCCUCCUCGCCGCGCGCCGCCGUCAUCCUCGCCGCGCGCCGUCGACACCUCCGACCGGUAAGCCCCCCGCCCCGUCCUCCCCAACACUCCGGCUAGUAGAAGAAAAGAAGAAAAUGUGGGGGAACGUCGCAUGGGAAACAAAAAUUUUCCUACGCGCACGAAGACCUANNNNNNNNNNACAGGUGGUAUAUAUCUGAUGAGGAACGUCGCAUGGGAAACAAAAUUUUUCCUACGCGCACGAAGACCUAUCAUGGUGAUGUCCAUCUACGAGAGGGGAUGAGUGAUCUACGUACCCUUGUAGAUCGUACAGCAGAAGCGUUAGAGAACGCGGUUGAUGUAGUGGAACGUCCUCACGUCCAUCGAUCCGCCCCGCGAACAAUCCCGCGAUCAGUCCCACGAUCUAGUACCGAACGGACGGCACCUCCGCGUUCAGCACACGUACAGCUCGACGAUGAUCUCGGCCUUCUUGAUCCAGCAAGAGAGAUGGAGAGGUAGAAGAGUUCUCCGGCAGUGUGACGGCGUUCCGGAGGUUGGUGAUGAUCUCGUCUCAGUAGGGCUCCGCCCGAGCUCCGCAGAAACGCGAUCUAGAGGAAAAACUAUGGAGGUAUGUGGUCGAGCAGACGUGAGAAAGUCGUCUCAAAUCUGCCCUAAAAGCCCCAUAUAUAUAGGAGGAGGGAGGGGGACCUUGCCUUGGGGUCCAAGGGACCCUCAAGGGGUCGGCCGAGCCAAGGGGGGGAGGACUCCCCCCCCCCAAACCGAGUUGNNNNNNNNNNGGCAGCCGUGAGAAAGUCGUCUCAAAUCAGCCCUAAUUGCUCCAUAUAUAUAGGAGGAGGGAGGGGGGGGGCCUUGCCUUGGGGUCCAAGGACCCCCAAGGAGUCGGCCGAGCCAAGGGGGGGAGGACUCCCCCCCAAACCGAGUUGGACUUGGUUUGGUGGGAGGAGUCCCCCUCCCUUCCCACCUCCUUCCUUUUUUUCUUUCCUCUUGAUUUUUCUUCUCUUGGCGCAUUGGGCACUUGUGGGCUGUCCCACCAGCCCACUAAAGGCUGGUGUGGCUCCCCCAAUGCCUAUGGGCUUCCCCGGGGUGGGUUGCCCCCCCCCCGGUGAACUCCCGGAACCCAUUCGUCAUUCCCGGUACAUUCCGGGUAACUCCGAAAACCUUCCGGUAAUCAAAUGAGGUCAUCCUAUAUAUCAAUCUUCGUUUCCGGACCAUUCCGGAAAACCUCGUGACGUCCGUGAUCUCAUCUGGGACUCCGAACAACAUUCGGUAACCAACCAUAUAACUCAAAUACGCAUAAAACAACAUCGAACCUUAAGUGUGCAGACCCUGCGGGUUCGAGAACUAUGUAAACAUGACCCUAGAGACUCCUCGGUCAAUAUCCAAUAGCGGGACCUGGAUGCCCAUAUUGGAUCCUACAUAUUCUACGAAGAUCUUAUCGUUUGAACCUCAGUGCCAAGGAUUCGUAUAAUCCCGUAUGUCAUUCCCUUUGUCCUUCGGUAUGUUACUUGCCCGAGAUUCGAUCGUUAGUAACCGCAUACCUAUUUCAAUCUCGUUUACCGGCAAGUCUCUUUACUCGUUCCGUAAUACAACAUCCCGCAACUUAUACUAAGUUACAUUGCUUGCAAGGCUUGUGUGUGAUGUUGUAUUACCGAGUGGGCCCCGAGAUACCUCUCCGUCACACGGAGUGACAAAUCCCAGUCUUGGUCCAUACUAACUCAACUAACACCUUCGGAGAUACCUGUAGAGCAUCUUUAUAGUCACCCAGUUACGUUGCGACGUUUGAUACACACAAACCAUUCCUCCGGUGUCAGUGAGUUAUAUGAUCUCAUGGUCAUAGGAAUAAAUACUUGACACGCAGAAAACAGUAGCAACAAAAUGACACAAUCAACAUGCUACGUCUAUUAGUUUGGGUCUAGUCCAUCACGUGAUUCUCCCAAUGACGUGAUCCAGUUAUCAAGCAACAACACCUUGUUCAUAAUCAAAAGACACUGACUAUCAUUGAUCAACUGACUAGCCAACUAGAGGCAUGCUAGGGACGGUGUUUUGUCUAUGUAUCUACACAUGUAAAUGAGUCUUCAUUCAAUACAAUUAUAGCAUGGAUAAUANNNNNNNNNNCUUAUCCAGUUAUCAAGCAACAACACCUGGUUCAUAAUCAGAAGACACUGACUAUCAUUGAUCAACUGGCUAGCCAACUAGAGGCAUGCUAGGGACGGUGUUUUGUCUAUGUAUCCACACAUGUAAAUGAGUCUUCAUUCAAUACAAUUAUAGCAUGGAUAAUAAACUAUUAUCUUGAUACAGGAAUUAUAAUAAUAACUAUACUUUUAUUAUUGCCUCUAGGGCAUAAUUCCAACAGUCUCCCACUUGCACUAGAGUCAAUAAUCUAGCCCUCACAUCACCAUGUGAAUUACAUUGUAAUAAAUCUAACACCCAUACAGUUCUGGUGUCGAUCAUGUUUUGGCCGUGGAAGAGGUUUAGUCAGCGGGUCUGCUACAUUCAGAUCCGUGUCCACCUUGCAUAUAUUUACGUCCUCCUCCUCGACGUAGUCGCGGAUGAGGUUGAAGCGUCGUUUGAUGUGUCUGGUCUUCUUGUGAAAUCGUGGUUCCUUUGCUAAGGCAAUGGCACCCGUGUUGUCACAGAACAAGGUUAUUGGAUCCAGUGCACUUGGCACCACUCCAGGAUCCGNNNNNNNNNNGGGUCUUCUUGUGAAACCUUGGUUCCUUUGCUAAGGCAAUGGCACCAGUGUUGUCAUAGAACAAGGUUAUUGGAUCCAGUGCACUUGGCACCACUCCAAGAUCCGUCAUGAACUGCUUCAUCCAGACACCCUCCUUAGCCGCCUCCGAGGCAGCCAUGUACUCUGCUUCACAUGUAGAAUCUUUCAUGGCAGUUUCUUUCCCGUAAUCUAGCGAGGAACAUGUGUAUUGUGUCAUUGAGGAGAUAGACGGCUGGAAAUAAUAUGAACAAUUUUUUGGCACUUCCACCAAAUACAUCAAUCAGUUUGAAGCAAGGAAAGGGCUAUCAUGCCGAAAACUUGCAUNNNNNNNNNNGGAUCUGUGUCAAAGCUUGCAUCGACGUAACCUUUUAUGGCGAUCUCUUCGUCACCUCCAUACACGAGAAACAUCUCCUUAGUCCUUUUCAGNNNNNNNNNNUGAUCUGUGUCAAAGCUUGCAUCAACGUAACCCUUUACGGCGAGCUCUUCGUCACCUCCAUACACGAGAAACAUCUCCUUAGUCCUUUUCAGGUGCUUCAGGAUAUUCUUGACCGCUGUCCAGUGAUCCACUCCUGGAUUACUCUGGAGCCUGCCUGCCAUACUUAUGGCCAGGCUAACAUCCGGUCUAGUGCACAGCAUCGCAUACAUGAUAGAACCUAUGGCUGAAGCAUAGGGGACGGAGNNNNNNNNNNAUGGAACCUACCUGCCAUACAUAUGGCCAGGCUAACAUCCGGUCUAGUGCAUAGCAUCGCAUACAUGAUAGAACCUAUGGCUGAAGCAUAGGGGACGGAGNNNNNNNNNNNNNNNNNNNNNNNNNNNNNNNNNNNNNNNNNNNNNNNNNCACUGGCAAGAACCCUUUCUUGGACUGUUCCAUUUUGGACCUCUUCAAAACUUUAUCAAGUAUGUGCUUUGUGAAAGUCCUAUCAGGCGUUUUGAUCUAUCCCUAUANNNNNNNNNNCGCAUAUGCUCUCUAUCUUCAUCAGUUGCUGGGCACUGAGUUUUACUCAAUCUCAUACCUUGUAAAACUGGCAAGAACCCUUUCUUGGACUGUUCCAUUUUGAACCUCUUCAAAACUUUAUCAAGGUAUGUGCUUUGUGAAAGUCCUAUCAGGCGUUUUGAUCUAUCCCUAUAGAUCUUAAUGCCUAGAAUGUAAGGAGCUUCUCCUAGGUCCUUCAUAGAGAAACUUUUAUUCAAGUAACCUUUUAUGCUCUCCAAAAACUCUACGUUGUUUCCAAUCGGUAAUAUGUCAUCCACAUAUAAUAUUAGAAACGCCACAGAGAUCCCACUCACUUUCUUGUAAAUACAAGAUUCUCCAACCACUUGUAUAAACCCAAAUGCUUUGAUCACCUCAUCAAAACGUUUGUUCCAACUCCGAGAUGCUUGCACCAGUCCAUAAAUGGAUCGCUGGAGCUUGCACACCUNNNNNNNNNNGCUCUACGUUGUUUCCAAUCAGUAAUAUGUCAUCCACAUAUAAUAUUAGAAACGCCACAGAGCUCCCACUCACUUUCUUGUAGAUACAAGGUUCUCCAACCACUUGUACAAACCCAAAUGCUUUGAUCACCUCAUCAAAGCGUUUGUUCCAACUCUGAGAUGCUUGCACCAGUCCAUAAAUGGAUCGCUGGAGCUUGCACACCUUGUCAGCAUUUUUAGGAUCGACAAAACCUUCGGGUUGCAUCAUAUACAACUCUUCCUUAAGGAAACCGUUAAGGAACGCUGUUUUGACAUCCAUCUGCCAGAUUUCAUAAUUGAAAAAUGCAGCUAUUGCUAACAUAAUUCUGACGGACUUAAGCAUCGCUACGGGUGAGAAAGUCUCAUCGUAGUCAACUCCUGGAACUUGUGAAAAACCCUUUGCCACAAGUCGAGCUUUAUAAACGGUCACAUUACCGUCAGCAUCCGUCUUCUUCUUAAAGAUCCAUUUGUUCUGAAUAGCCUUGCGGCCCUCAGGUAGUAUCUCCAAAGUCCACACUUUGUUCUCAUACAUGGAUCCUAUCUCGGAUUUCAUGGCUUCUAGCCAUUUGUUGGAAUCUGGGCCCACCAUUGCUUCUUCAUAAUUUGCAGGUUCAUUGUUGUCUAACAACAUGAUUGAUAAUACGGGAUUACCGUACCACGCUGGAGCAGCGCGUGAUCUCGUCGACUUGCGUGGUUCAACAGAAACUUGAACUGGAGUUUCAUGAUCAUCAUCAUUAACUUCCUCCUCAACNNNNNNNNNNUCUGGAACAGCGCGUGAUCUCGUCGACCUGCGUGGUUCAAUAGCAACUUGAACUGGAGUUUCAUGAUCAUCAUCAUUAACUUCCUCCUCAACCGGCGUCGCAACGACAGAGGUUUCCCCUUGCCCUGCGCCACCAUCCAGAGGGAUAAGAGGUUCGACAACCUCGUCAAGUUCUAUCUUCCUCCCACUCAAUUCUCUCGAGAGAAACUCCUUCUCGAGAAAAGUUCCGUUCUUAGCAACAAACACUUUGCCCUCGGAUUUGAGAUAGAAGGUGUACCCAACUGUCUCUUUUGGGUAACCUAUGAAGACGCACUUUUCCGCUUUGGGUUCCAGCUUUUCAGGCUGAAGCUUUUUGACAUAAGCAUCACAUCCCCAAACUUUAAGAAACGACAACUUUGGCCUCUUGCCAUACCACAAUUCGUAUGGUGUCGUCUCAACGGAUUUUGAUGGUGCCCUAUUUAAAGUGNNNNNNNNNNACAUCCCCAAACUUUAAGAAACGACAACUUUGGCCUUUUGCCAUACCACAGCUCGUAUGGUGUCGUCUCAACGGAUUUUGAUGGUGCCCUAUUUAAAGUGAAUGCAGUUGUUUCUAAUGCAUAACCCCAAAAUGAUAACGACAAAUCAGUAAGAGACAUCAUAGAUCGCACCAUCUCUAACAAAGUACGAUUACGACGUUCGGACACACCAUUACGCUUUGGUGUACCAGGCGGUGUUAACUGCGAAACAAUUCCACAUUGUCUUAAGUGAGCACCAAACUCGAAACUCAGAUAUUCACCCCCACGAUCAGACCGUAGGAACUUGAUCUUCUUGUUACGAUGAUUUUCCACUUCACUCUGAAAUUGCUNNNNNNNNNNGUGGUGUUCCAGGCGGUGUUAACUGCGAAACAAUUCCACAUUGUCUUAAGUGAGUACCAAACUCGAAACUCAGAUAUUCACCCCCACAAUCAGACCGUAGGACUUGAUCUUCUUGUUACGAUGAUUUUCCACUUCACUCUGAAAUUGCUUGAACUUUUCAAAUGUUUCAGACUUGUGUUUCAUCAAGUAGACAUAACCAUAUCUACUUAAAUCGUCAGUGAAGGUGAGCAAAUAACGAUAUCCGCCGCGUGCCUCUACGCUCAUUGGACCACACACAUAGGUAUGUAUGAUUUCCAACAAGUCACUUGCACGCUCCAUUGUUCCGGAGAACGGAGUCUUAGUCAUCUUGCCCAUGAGGCAUGGUUCGCACGUGUCAAGUGAAUCAAAGUCAAGUGACUCCAAAAGUCCAUCAGCAUGGAGUUUCUUCAUGCGCUUUACACCAAUAUGACCUAAACGGCAGUGCCACAAAAAUAUGGCGCUAUCAUUGUUUACUNNNNNNNNNNNNNNNNNNNNNNNNNNNNNNNNNNNNNNNNNNNNNNNNNNNNNNNNNNNNNNNNNNNNNNNNNNNNNNNNNNNNNNNNNNNNNNNNNNNNUGAAGAAUCCAGCGCCCAUUUCUUAUACUUUAUAUCACAUAAAGAUGUUUUUGUUGUACAAUGUAAAAAAUGGACCUUUUUCACAAGCCAAAAAUAGGAUUCCCUAGAGAACAACUCAGGGGAUGUGGUUAACAAUUGCAUGCUAGCUAGUUUUAGUAAAUAAUAACACAAGGUGAAGUGUGAAUUCAAAAGACGAGAUAUAGCAUGCCAAAUUCUUUAAGGGUGGGUUAGUUAGCCAGUACACUGGUUGACAAUUGGAGUUGUGGGUUAGUUAGCCAGUACACUGGUUGACAAUUGGAGUUGUUACACGUCGACAUCUAGUGAGCUCACAUUGUUUACCUGACAAAAUGUUUCUAUCUAUAUCGUGCAUGUAUAAAAAAAUGUUGAGAUAAAUUUUGUAGGACUACAAUUCAAUAAUGAUGUGUGCACGCAUGGACAUUCUAUGAGCCCCACGCAUGACAACAAGAUAUGAUUACCUCUCAUUAGCAAUAAGAUAUGUCGAACUAAAAAGUACCAUACUUCUGUUAUUCCAGUUUGCGUGCCCAUUCGGUUUUGUGGAUUUCCAUACACAUAUGAUGGAAAUAUCCCCAUUCGACCCAUUCGGUUUUGUUGAUUUCCAUACACAUAUGAUGGAAAUAUCCCCAUUCGUCGAUGCCAUGUAUUCUGUACAUUCUUUUGAAAAAAUGACUUUUUUUCCUUUUGCCCAAAUUUCUAGGGGGCGGGGCAUCAAAUAUUUGGAUUUCGAUGUCCGGAAUAAUUUUGAUGUGUGGAAGGACUCGAAGAAUACCAUAACUGUUAUUACGGACGAUCAUGUUAGUUACCCGUGUGCAAUAGUCUAAUAGGCUAAUUAAUCCCAAUAUGGCGAUUCACUAAAAGGAUGGCACAUUUUGCAAACGAUAAUCCCAUUAGUAUUCAAUGCGACCGCAAUGAGUUGCAUCCAGAGAAGGUGAAAUGUAAGUAGUGAUUGAUUACCAGUAUAAGAGGUCGGCGUUGUACUACAAAACAUUAGUUGACUAGUAGGACAUUAAGGGUAGACAUGCAAGGGUUGACACUGAUGACCUUAAAAAACACAUCUCUCGUUAUCAUCAAUAGAAAAAGGUGAAAAUAUAUGAUUCAUGAGUCCCAACAGUAAACACUCAUGACUGAAUGCCUGAUUCCUUAACUUCAUGAUACACAACCAUCAGUUAGUUUCUCUUUAACAUACGUGCGAGAAAACAAAUUACAUGCAUAUGCAAUGUCAAAAUAAAAAGUACGCACGAAAAUAUUUUCAUAAUUCUUUAGUGGUACACUCAAGACGAGUUUAUUUGUAAAAGUUUGGAAAAGAAAAACAUCCAACAUAUCCAUUAAGUCUGUCUCUCGGGACUUGAAUCUACCUAGCCGAGAGAAAUCAAAUUUCCUUUUUUGAAGAAUCAUGUGCCCAAUUAUUAUACUUUAUAUCAUAUAUAGAAGUAUUUGUUUUAACUGUUAUAUCCAUUAAGUCUGUCUUUUAGGACUUGAAUAGCCGAGAGAAAUCAAAUUCCUUUCUUGGAAGAAUCCUGUGCCCAAUUAUUAUACUUUAUAUCAUAUAUAGAAGUAUUUGNNNNNNNNNNNNNNNNNNNNNNNNNNNNNNNNNNNNNNNNNNNNNNNNNNNNNNNNNNNNNNNNNNNNNNNNNNNNNNNNNNNNNNNNNNNNNNNNNNNNCAAAUCUAGAAAAAUGAGUUACCUUGCGGGCCUCCAAUAAGUGAGGGAUGUUAGUUUUGUAGUGUGGCAUCUCACAUCGAUGAUGAAAAAUAAUAGUUUUUGGAUGUCUUAAGUGUGGUCCCAAAAUAUGUGCACGUAUCGCCACACCAUUAGCUAUUAUUUUUACGUUUUUCUAUUGAUGAUAACGAGAGAUGUAUUUUUAAAGGUCAUCAAUGUCAACUCUUGCAUGUUCACCCUUAAUGUCCUACUGGUCAACUGAUGUUUAAUAGUACAAUACAGGCCUCUUAUACUAGUAAUCAAUCACUAAUCAAUACAGGCCCCAACUGAUGUUCAACCAUUCGUGUGUACCAUAUUUCGCGAAUAACAUAUUCUUUCUCAUGCAAGACAUAAAAGGAAUCACAUUCGAGAUGUGGGUCGUGUGUCGACGAAAAGUACUAGUUUUAAAUUUAUUCCAUUUGUACCAUUAAAGAAACUGAAUUUUAUCGGUGUACGUGUUUAUUUCGUGGUUGGUUAUGNNNNNNNNNNNNNNNNNNNNNNNNNNNNNNNNNNNNNNNNNNNNNNNNNNNNNNNNNNNNNNNNNNNNNNNNNNNNNNNNNNNNNNNNNNNNNNNNNNNNNNNNNNNNNNNNNNNNNNNNNNNNNNNNNNNNNNNUUUUUUGCUUUUGGAAGAGCCUCAUAAAGGUCAAGAACCAUUUACUGAAUUACAAAUAAAUUAGAUUUUGUAAGUUAAUAUAUUUCAUGUAAAAAAGGAUGAAGGGAGUGCAUGGCAUAGAUUUAGCUCACGAUGUUCUUCUAACACAACUGUCGAAAUCCAAAAAAUGAGUUAGCUUGUCGGACUCGACCAAGUGAGAGAUGUUAGUUUUAUAGUGUGGGAUGUCACAUCGAUAAUGAAAAAUAAUAGUUUCUUGAUGUCAUAAGUGUGGGCUCAAAUUAUGUUCACGCAUCCCCACAACAUUUGUUAUUAUUUUCACCUUUUCCUAUUGAUGAUAACGAGAAAUGUAUUUUUUAGGUCGUCAGUCUCAACCCUUGCAUGUUCACCCUUAACAUCCUACUAGUCAACUCAUGUUUUAUAGUACAAUGUCGGCCUCUUAUACUAGUAAUCAAUCACUACUUACAUUUGACCUUCUCUGGAUGCAACUCAUUGCGGUCAUCAAAAUCCAAAUAUUUGAUGCCCCCCUCCCCCUACAGAAAAGGGCAAAGGAACAAAAAAAUCAAAAAUAAUGUAAAUAAUACAUCUCGUAGAAUGGGGAUAUUUUCAUCAUAUGUCUACGGAAAUCCAUAAAAGCGAAUGAGCAUGAAAGCUGGAAUAACUGAAUUAUGGCAGUUUUUAGUUCAACAUAUCUUAUUGCUAAUGAUAGGUAAUCAUAUCUUGAUGUCAUCCAUGUGGGCUCAUGGAAUGUCCACGCGUGCACACUUCAUUAUUGAAUUGUUUUCCUACAAAAUUAAUCUCAACCCUUUUUUAUAGAUGCAUGAUAUAGAUUGAAGCAUUUUGUGAUGUCAACAAUGUGAGCUCACUAGAUGUGCACAUGUAACAACUCCAAUUGACAACUGGUGUGCUGGCUAACUAACUCAUUCUUAAGGAAUUUGGCAUGCUAUAUCUCGUCUUUAGCAUUCACACUUCGCCUUGUUUUAGUACUUACUAAAACCUAGGUANNNNNNNNNNNNNNNNNNNNNNNNNNNNNNNNNNNNNNNNNNNNNNNNNNNNNNNNNNNNNNNNNNNNNNNNNNNNNNNNNNNNNNNNNNNNNNNNNNNNUAUCUUAUUGCUAAUGAGAGGUAAUCAUAUCUUGUUGUCAUGCAUCGGGGCUCAUAGAAUGUCCAUGCGUGCACACAUCAUUAUUGAAUUUAUGUCCUACAAAAUUUAUCUCAACCUUUUUUUAUAGACGCACGAUAUAGAUAGAAACAUUUUGUCAUGUAAACAAUGUGAGCUCACUAGAUGUCCACGUGUAACAACUCCAAUUGUCAACCGGUGUACUAGCUAACUAACCCACUCUUAAAGAAUUUGGCAUGCUAUAUCUCGUCUUUGGAAUUCACACUUCGCCUUAUGUUAUUAUUUACUAAAACUAGCUAGCAUGCAAUUGUUAACCACAUCCCCCUGAGUUGUUCUUUAAGGAAUCCUAUUUUUGUCUUGUGAAAAAGGUCCAUUUUUUACAUUGUACAACAAUUAACCACAUUCCCCUGAGUUGUUCUCUAGGGAAUCCUAUUUUUGUCUUGUGAAAAAGGUCCAUUUUUUACAUUGUACAACAAAAACUUCUUUAUGUGUUAUAAAGUAUAAGAAAUGGGCGCUGGAUUCUUCAAAUAAAGAAAUUCAUUUUUUUCUUGACUAGGUAGAUUCUAGAGCCGAAAGACGGAAUUAAUGGAUAUGUUGGAUGUUUGUCUUGUCCAAAGUUUUGCAAAUAAACUCGUCCUGAGUGUACCACUAAAAAAUCAUGAAAAUAUUUUUUUCCGUACUUUUUUGUUUUGUCAUUGCAUAUGCAUGUAAUUUUUUUUCACGCAUCGCAUGUUAAAGACAAACUAACAUAUGGUUGUGUUUCAUGAAGUUAAGGGCUCGUGCAUUCAGUCAUGAUUCUUUACUGUUGGGACUCGUGAAUCAUAUAUUCCAUUUCCAACUGCACGUACAUACCAUCUACAAGAUGCUCAUGAUUUGACAUGUCUUUCGGAUGCAAGAUCGGUAAGAUGACCCAUCCAUGAUGUUCAUUGUGCGUGUUGCGUAAAAUAGUACAAACGAUACUGUCACGGGUGUAUGCCUAGAGAAUAUGUUUUUUCAUGUAAUCGUUUUGUUCAUUGUGCGGGUUGUGUAAAAUAGAACAAACGAUACCGUCAUGGGUGUAUCCCUAGAGAAUAUGUUUUUUCAUGUAAUCGUUUCGACUAUGGUUAGAUUUGAAUUUAAAUUUAUUUUUUCUUUCACAUAUGCCACACCGACACAAAAUGAUUUGCACUUUUGUGAGAUCCGCAUUAAGAUUGAGAACACUUUCAUUCAAGUUGUAGUGUUCACUAUUGGGAAUAAUCAAUCGGUUAGAUUUUUGUGUGAUAAUAUAUGUCCUUUAUAAGAAGCAUUCUAUGAGGAAAAAUAGACUGCGGAUAGGAGGCUUUCGGGUGUAAAAUGGGGUUUUAAUACUUCUCGUAGCUUUAUAACCAUACGUAUGUACCAUCUGUCGGCAAUAAUAUAUUAUUGAUGUGCCCUUGCUUUCGCAUACAAGACAAAAAAGGAAGACCAUCCUGUCGGCAAUAAUAUAGCGCAUCUCUGUAUCAACUGAAUAACUCUAUCUAAGAGUGACGUCGAUGGAACCGGUGAACCACGCGAGCUGGAUAGAUGCGUGGGGCAGUGCAUCCCUCUCGGUCUCAGGGCUUGCUCAAUCAACCAGAAAAGAAGGCUGAGGAAAGUUGUUUGAUUGACCAUUGGUUUAAAAAAUGCGUAGAUGGUUUGCUAUGAUGAGGUCCCGGACCAGAUACAAAGCUGCAUAAAAUAGCUACUUCUUACUAGCCCGACUCGGCUCUGCGAGAAAACGGCUGCAGUCCUUGGUUUCCUAAACGGCGGCUACUUAUUGAUGUGCCCUUGCUUUCGCAUGCAAGACACAAAAGGAAGANNNNNNNNNNNNNNNNNNNNNNNNNNNNNNNNNNNNNNNNNNNNNNNNNNNNNNNNNNNNNNNNNNNNNNNNNNNNNNNNNNNNNNNNNNNNNNNNNNNNAACUGAAUUUUAUCGGUGUACGUGUUUAUUUCGUGGUUGGUUAUGGAUGUAAAUUUCUUACUUUGAUGUUCGUGAAAGAAAACUAAACGAAUCGAUACUUUGCUUUUGGAAGAGCCUCAUAAAGGUCAAGAACCAUUUACUGAAUUACAAAUCAAUUAGAUUUUGUAAGUUAAUAUAUUUCAUGUAAAAAAGGAUGAAGGGAGUGCAUGGCAUAGAUUUAGCUCACGAUGUUCUUCUAACACAACUGUCGAAAUCUAAAAAAUGAGUUAGCUUGUGGGACUCGACCAAGUGAGAGAUGUUAGUUUUAUAGUGUGGGAUGUCACAUCGAUAAUGAAAAAUAAUAGUUUCUUGAUGUCAUAAGUGUGGGCUCAAAUUAUGUCCACGCACCCCCACACCAUUUGCUAUUAUUUUCACCUUUUCCUAUUGAUGAUAACGAGAAAUGUAUUUUUUAGGUCGUCAGUCUCAACCCUUGCAUGUUCACCCUUAACAUCCUACUAGUCAACUCAUGUUUUAUAGUACAAUGUCGGCCUCUUAUACUAGUAAUCAAUCACUAAUCAAUACAGGCCCCAACCGAUGUUCAACCAUUCGUGUGUACCAUAUUUCGCGAAUAACAUAUUCUUUCUCAUGCAAGACAUAAAAGGAAUCACAUUCGAGAUGUGGGUCGUGUGUCGACGAAAAGUACUAGUAAUAAAUUUAUUCCAUUUGUACCAUUAAAGAAACUGAAUUUUAUCGGUGUACGUGUUUAUUUCGUGGUUGGUUAUGAAUGUAAAUUUGUUACUUUGAUGUUCGCGAAAGAAAACUAAACGAAUCAAUAUUUUUUGCUUUUGGAAGAGCCUCAUAAAGGUCAAGAACCAUUUACUGAAUUACAAAUAAAUUAGAUUUUGUAAGUUAAUAUAUUUCAUGUAAAAAAGGAUGAAGGGAGUGCAUGGCAUAGAUUUAGCUCACGAUGUUCUUCUAACACAACUGUUGAAAUCCAAAAAAUUAGUUAGCUUGUCGGACUCGACCAAGUGAGAGAUGUUAGUUUUAUAGUGUGGGAUGUCACAUCGAUAAUGAAAAAUAAUAGUUUCUUGAUGUCAUAAGUGUGGGCUCAAAUUAUGUCCACGCACCCCCACACCAUUUGCUAUUAUUUUCACCUUUUCCUAUUGAUGAUAACGAGAAAUGUAUUUUUUAGGUCGUCAGUCUCAACCCUUGCAUGUUCACCCUUAACAUCCUACUAGUCAGGUCAUGUUUUAUAGUACAAUGUCGGCCUCUUAUACUAGUAAUCAAUCGCUACUUACAUUUGACCUUCUCUGGAUGCAAAUCAUUGCGGUCAUCAAUAUCCAAAUAUUUGAUGCCCCCUCCCCCUACAAAAAAGGGCAAACGAACAAAAAAAUCAAAAAUAAUGUAAAUAAUACAUGUAGUAGAAUGGGGAUAUUUUCAUCAUUUGUCUACGGAAAUCCACAAAAGCGAAUGAGCAUGCAAACUAGAAUAACUGAAUUAUGGCAGUUUUUAGUUCAACAUAUCUCAUUGCUAAUGAUAGGUAAUCAUAUCUUGAUGUCAUCCAUGUGGGCUCAGGGAAUGUCCACACGUGCACACUUCAUUAUUGAAUUGUGGAACUACAAAAUUAAUCUCAACCUUUUUUUAUAGAUGCAUGAUAUAGAUUGAAGCAUUUUGUGAUGUCANNNNNNNNNNNNNNNNNNNNNNNNNNNNNNNNNNNNNNNNNNNNNNNNNNNNNNNNNNNNNNNNNNNNNNNNNNNNNNNNNNNNNNNNNNNNNNNNNNNNCAAACGGAAUACAUUUGUAAGCAGUACUUUUCGUCGACGCACGACAAACAUGUCGGAUGUUCUUCCUUUUGUGUCUAGCAUGCGAAAGCAAGGGCACAUCAAUAAUAUAUUAUUGCCGACAGAUGGUACAUACGUAUGGUUAUAAAGCUACGAGAAGUAUUAAAACCCCAUUUUACACCCGAAAGCCUCCUAUCCGCAGUCUAUUUUUCCUCAUAGAAUGCUUCUUAUAAAGGACAUAUAUUAUCACACAAAAAUCUAACCGAUUGAUUAUUCCCAAUAGUCAACACUACAACUUGAAUGAAAGUGUUCUCAAUCUUAAUGCGGAUCUCACAAAAGUGCAAAUCAUUUUGUCUCGGUGUGGCAUAUUUGAAAGAAAAAAAAAUAAAUUCAAAUCUAACCACACUCAAAACGAUUACAUGAAAAAACAUAUUCUCUAGGGAUACACCUGUGACGGUAUCGUUUGUACUAUUUUACACAACCCGCACAAUGAACAUCCUGGAUGGGUCAUCUUACCGAUCUUGCAUCUGAAAGACAUGUCAAAUCAUGAGCAUCUUGUAGAUGGUAUGUACGUGCAGUUGGAAAUGGAAUAUAUGAUUCACGAGUCCCAACAGUAAAGAAUCAUGACUGAAUGCACGAGCCCUUAACUUCAUGAAACACAACCAUAUGUUAGUUUGUCUUUAACAUGCGAUGCGUGAAAAAAAAUUACAUGCAUAUGCAAUGACAAAACAAAAAAGUACGGAAAAAAAUAUUUUCAUGAUUUUUUAGUGGUACACUCAGGACGAGUUUAUUUGCAGAACAAGACAAACAUCCAACAUAUCCAUUAAGUCCGUCUUUCGGAUCUAGAAUCUACCUAGUCAAGAAAAAAAUGAAUUUCUUUAUUUGAAGAAUAAAGCGCCCAUUUCUUAUACUUUAUAUCACAUAAAGAAGUUUUUGUUGUACAAUGUAAAAAAUGGACCUUUUUUCACAAGACAAAAAUAGGAUUCCCUAGAGAACAACUCAGGGGAAUGUGGUUAAUAAUUGCAUGCUAGCUAGUUUUAGUAAAUAAUAACACAAGGCGAAGUGUGAAUUCCAAAAACGAGAUAUAGCAUGCCAAAUUCUUUAAGAGUGGGUUAGUUAGCCAGCACACCGGUUGACAAUUGGAGUUGUUACACGUGGACAUCUGGUGAGCUCACAUUGUUUACAUGACAAAAAUUUUCUAUCUAUAUCGUGCAUCUAUAAAAAAAGGUUGAGAUAAAUUUUGUAGGACAUAAAUUCAAUAAUGAUGUGUGCACGUAUAGACAUUCUAUGAGCCCCCAUGCAUGACAACAAGAUAUGAUUACCUCUCAUUAGCAAUAAGAUAUGUCGAACUAAAAAGUACCAUACUUCUGUUAUUCCAGUUUGCGUGCCCAUUCGGUUUUGUGGAUUUCCAUAGACAUAUGAUGGAAAUAUCCCCAUUCGUCUAUGCCAUGUAUUCUGUACAUUCUUUUGAAAAAAUGACUUUUUUUCUUUUGCCCUAAUUUGUAGGGGGCGGGGCAUCAAAUAUUUGGAUGUCGAUGUCCGAUUUUUUUUCCUUUUGCCCUAUUUUGUAGGGGGCGGGGCAUCAAAUAUUUAGAUUUCGAUGUCCGGAAUAAUUUUAUGUGUGGAAGGACUCGAAGAAUACCAUCGCUGUUAUUACACACGGUCAUGUUAGUUACCCGCGUGCAAUAGUCUAAUAGGAUAAUUAAUCCAAAAAUGGCGAUUCACUAAAAGGAUCACAUAUUUUGCAAACGAUAAUCCCAUUAGUAGUCAAUGCGACCGCAGUGAGUUGCAUCCAGAGAAGGUGAAAUGUAAGUAGUGAUUGAUUACCAGUAUAAGAGGUCGGCAUUGUACUAUAAAACAUUAGUUGACUAGUAGGACAUUAAGGGUGGACAUGCAAGGGUUGACACUCAUGACCUUAAAAAAUACAUCUCUCGUUAUCAUCAAUAGAAAAAGGUGAAAACUUAUGACCUUAAAAAUACAUCUCUCGUUAUCAUCAAUAGAAAAAGGUGAAAAAUAUAUGAUUCAUGAGUCCCAACAGUAAAAACUCAUGACUGAAUGCAUGAGCCAUUAACUUCAUGAAACACAACCAUCAGUUAGUUUGUCUUUAACAAACGUGUGAGAAAGAAAAUACAUGCAUAUGCAAUGUAAAAUAAAAAGUACGCACGAAAAGAUUUUCAUGAUUCUUUAGUGGUACACUCAGGAUGAGUUUAUUUGUUAAAGUUUGGAAAAGAUAAACAUCCAACAUAUCCAUUAAGUCUGUCUCUCGGGAUUUGAAUCUACCUAGCCGAGAGAAAUCAAAUUUGUUUCUUUGAAGAAUCAUGUGCCCAAUUAUUAUACUUUAUAUCAUAUAUAGAAGUAUUUGUUUUAGCUGUAAACACAAAGUGAAAGUCAGAUGGAUCUUUUUCACAAGACAAAAAAAAUAUUCUCUUGAGAACAACUAUAGGGGAUGUGGUUACUUAUUCAUAAGUCGUGCUUAUUAGCACGAGAUAUUACAAGUGACAUAGAUUUUCACACAAAUGACAUACUUGUAGAAUCCCUUACUUGGGAGGGAUUCAAGACAUGGCAUAUCAUGGCAUGGCAGGCAUAUAUAAUAAUUCUGCCAGCUAACAAAGGUGUCCCUGAUUUAUUUCAACAACACACAAUAAUAGUAGUAGCACGUAGGCCUCACGGGCUAGUCCUUAUAGCGGAAGUAACUCGAUGGAUUAUGAUGGAUCAUGGAAGAACAUAGAUACCAAUGGCAUCAAUGAGANNNNNNNNNNNNNNNNNNNNNNNNNNNNNNNNNNNNNNNNNNNNNNNNNNNNNNNNNNNNNNNNNNNNNNNNNNNNNNNNNNNNNNNNNNNNNNNNNNNNACAUAUUCCGUGUCUUCAAGGUCCAACUGUGUAAAACAACAAUCAUGCAUUUUUAUAACCUAUAGUUAGGACUUCAUAUGGCGAUAAGGGUUACUUACAUAUAUAAAUUGUAUAUAUUAGGUAUUUUAUAAGGUUAAGUUGAUUCACACACCGUGUGCUUGUUCCCACUAGGAGCUCCCCAUACACCAUCUACAUGUUGAUCCCCUGCAUGAUCCUCAUAUGUAAACUUGGUGGAGUGGAUUGCGUCUGCACCAGAAAUUUCCACCCGGGUUAGUCGGUGGGGAGCGUGUCUGACGUCACGAGGCUGGCCUCCUACUCCACCCCAUAGACCAAUCUUCACAGGCUUGCUCUGCAAGCAUCAUCACACAGAUGUAAAAUCACACAAAGUAUGGAAUGUAUACAUACAUGCAUGUAAUGGAAAAUUGGAAGUAAGAAUAAUGUGCAUGAGUGUGUGUAAGUGUGUACCAUGAUGAAGCUAGUUCAACACAAAUGAAAGUUGAAGUGGUGGUAGUAGUACAAAUGUAUAUAUAUAUGGAGUAUGAGGGACUUAUGGACACCAUGCAGAGAGGAGCACCCUAUAUAUAGUCAAGCGCAUGAACAAUCCACUACCUAGCAUGGUUCACAAUUGCAUGCUAGCUAGGUUUUAGUAAGUACUAAAACAAGGCGAAGUGUGAAUGCCAAAGACGAGAUAUAGCAUGAGUUAGUUAGCCAGCACACCAGUUGUCAAUUGGAGUUGUUACAUGUGCACAUCUAGUGAGCUCACAUUGUUGACAUCACAAAAUGCUUCAAUCUAUAUCAUGCAUCUAUAAAAAAGUGUUGAGAUUAAUUUUGUAGUACAAUAAUUCAAUAAUGAAGUGUGCACGCGUGGACAUUCCAUGAGCCUACAUGGAUGACAUCAAGAUAUGAUUACCUAUCAUUAGCAAUAAGAUACCUCCUCAACCCAACGGAACUUUUCACUGCCUUCCGAUUCCACAUGGCUAUGCUGUUGUGAUGGUGGAUCAAGUAAUGGAGGAAUUUGAGCAGCUCGAGCUUGACCACCCUACAGGUGAAGGGGAGAUUCAGUUGGUUCGUGCUCUGGGGAGUACAUGUCUAUGGCAGAAGGAGUUCAUCAAGCUUCCAAACUGGACGCCUCCGCCUCCUCCGACGACGACGACGAGUCAGGGCACUCUGNNNNNNNNNNNNNNNNNNNNNNNNNNNNNNNNNNNNNNNNNNNNNNNNNNNNNNNNNNNNNNNNNNNNNNNNNNNNNNNNNNNNNNNNNNNNNNNNNNNNCGUCUUUUGACUCACGUAUGCGAUAGUGUCGCUAGCAAUCCAAUGUCAAAGAACCCGGAUCGACAUGUCUAGUCAUAAACCAAAGUGGCAGUACCACACAAGGACAGGCAUACAUGACCCAACAAAGCAGGUGUCGGUCAUCAGCGAAUGUAGACGAGUCGUAGCAAGCUACAAGGACUCCAUUACAUCGCGUGACAUUUCCCCAAAGGGGACAGACACAGCAGAUGAGAAGGACACAUGCCGGUCAACCAAUGCGUCCGGAGCAGUAGCGAACUACCAAGGCUCGUUGGAUCACAAAGGGGCAUUUCCUUGUAAGGAGUGCUACUAAAGAUCACGACUAGGUAAUCGAACCCCAUACAUAUCAAGCAUGACACACGUACGCAUGGCAUAUCAAUAUGUAUAGAUACAUCGAUGGCAUCACAACAUAACCAUAAACAUACAAGCUUUAUUUAAGAGGCUCGGAAGANNNNNNNNNNNNNNNNNNNNNNNNNNNNNNNNNNNNNNNNNNNNNNCGGAAGAGCCACACACAUAAUAUUACACAUUAAGGUCUCUCGACCCAUAAUAGCAGUCAUACAAUACAAGCCCGCGAAAGAGUUAUAAACUGUCUGGGAACAGGCAGUGCAACUAGAAGGCACAUGCACUGACUAUACUACACAGCCGGAGUAGGGCCAGAUCGUAGCUGGAAAACCAGCUACUCGUCGUCGUCGAUGUCUACGAAGAACCCUCCAUUAGGGUCAUUAGCAACCUCUGCAACAUUUAUUAAGCAAACAUGAGUACGAAGGUACUCAGCAAGACUUUAGGAGAACUAACUACUCAUGCAAGGUAUCAAAAGGUAUUGUGGGGUUUCAUGCGGAAAGCCAGCAUUUGACUCGUGGCUAGACAACUUGCAUUUUUAAAUUAUUUUGACAACUUGAUUUCUCGCACACGAGUCCGCUAACACCACAACAAUACACUAUCGUGGAAUCAUUCCGUCUCCGUACGGAAAUGCCGUCCACGACACUCACGCUUAUCUUGACAAUUUUAUGAGUAGCCAUUGAAGUUAUCUAUGAACAACAUAUGUCUCCAAGUAGUCCAUAUCCGCGGACGCGGCUAUUCGAAUAGAUCAUAACCCUGCUGGGGUGUACUUCGUCACACACGCUCUCGCCACUUAUCGCCAUGUGCACGUCAUGCACCUCGGCAACCUUCAAGAGGAAGCCCAGCGAGGGAGUCGGCCACGACCGUUAACCACACUAGUACCUAGUCCAGGUUUAUCGCCUAUCUGAGAGUAACCCGUACGGAAGUCCGGCCGAGGUUUCCGCCACGGCCUCAAACGAUGUGCGCAGGGUUCCCAAGCCCACCAUCCGGGUGCCACUUGGUACACCGUGCCACUGCCUACCGCAUCACGGCCCACCUCUCAGGUCAGCACCAUGCACGGCCUCCAGCAUUACUAUAAACACCAGAAACUACUUGCAACUCCUGGACCGGGUACUACGCGAUUAAUAGGCCGAGCGGGGUCAUAUUUCAGGGCCCAGUAUGUGGUAGUAUCUAGUCUUGGAAUGCAUACACGGAACUCAGUUCCUAAGGACGGUUCCAAUGAAACAACCCGCCAUGUACUCCUACACAGNNNNNNNNNNNNNNNNNNNNNNNNNNNNNNNNNNNNNNNNNNNNNNNNNNNNNNNNNNNNNNNNNNNNNNNNNNNNNNNNNNNNNNNNNNNNNNNNNNNNUAACCUUGUCACAGUAAAUAGCCGAACCUUGCAACCUAGCAUACCUGGUAGUUGCUUGAGCCUUGAUGUGCCUUAUCCUGCUAUGCAUGCUAUGCUUAGAGUUGUGUAUGGUCUGUCAUCUGGGAGAUGAACAUAAUUGUGAGAAUGUGUUCGGUAAGCAAAGGUUGUGUGUUGAACCUGAUUUGGUAAAGGUACCGGUGAAAGGCUGUGUAGGAGUACAUGGCGGGUUGUUUCAUUGGAACCGUCCUUAGGAACUGAGUUCCAUGUAUGUAAUGCAACACUAGAUACUACCACACGAUGGGAUACUUAAUUGACCCUCUCGACUUAUUAAUCGCUUAGUACUCGGUCCAGGAGUUGCAAGUAGUUUCUAGUGUUUAUAGUAAUGCUGGAGGCCGUGCAUGGUGCUGACCUGAGAGGUGGGCCGUGAUGCGGUAGGAAGUGGCAUGGUGUACCAAGUGGCACCCGGAUGGUGGGCUUGGGAACCCUGCGCGCAUCGUUUGAGGCCGUGGCGGAAACCUCGGCCGGACUUCCGUACGGGUUACUCUCAGAUAGGCGAUAAAUCUGGACUAGGUACUAGUGUGGUUAACGGUCGUGGCCGACUCCCCCGCUGGGCUUCUGCUUGAAGGUUGCCGAGGUACAUCACGUGCACAUGGCGAUAAGUGGCGAGAGCGUGUGUGACGAAGCACACCCCUGCAGGGUUAUGAUCUAUUCGAAUAGCCGCGUCCGCGGAUAUGGACUACUUGGAGACAUAUGUUGUUCAUAGAUAACUUCAAUGGCUACUCAUAAAAUUGCCAAGAUAAGCGUGAGUGUCGUGGACGGCAUUUCCGUAUGGAGACGGAAUGAUUCCACGAUAGUGUAUUGUUGUGGUGUUAGUGGACUCGUGUGCGAGAAAUCAAGUUGUCAAAAUAAUUUAAAAAUGCAAGUUGUCUAGCCACGAGUCAAAUGCUGGCUUUACGCAUGAAACCCCGCAAUACCCCUUUUGAUACCUUGCAUGAGUAGUUAGUUAUCCUAAAGUCUUGCUGAGUACCUUCGUACUCAUGUUUGCUUAAUAAAUGUUGCAGAGGUUCCUAAUGACCCUAAUGGAGGGUUCUUCGUAGACAUCGACGACGACGAGUAGCUGGUGUCCCAGCUACGAUCUGGCCCUACGUUGGGUCUGUAGUAUAGUCAGGCCAUGUGCCUUCUAGUUGCCCUGUCUGUACUCAGACAGUUUAAACUCUUCCGCUGGCUUGUAACUGAAUUACUGCUAUUAUGGGUCGUGAGACCCUUAAUGUGUAAUAUUAUGUGUGUGGCUCUUCCAAGCCNNNNNNNNNNNNNNNNNNNNNNNNNNNNNNNNNNNNNNNNNNNNNNNNNNNNNNNNNNNNNNNNNNNNNNNNNNNNNNNNNNNNNNNNNNNNNNNNNNNNUUGUUUUGCUAAUUCAUUCAGCUCCAAAACAAAAAGUAAAAACUAUUUUAGACCUCCUGAAAUAUUUUUUAUAAUAUCCCCAACCAUUUUCAAGCUUUUCAACAUUUUGGAAAUUUAUAGUUUCUGAUUUCAAAUUUAAAACUUGAAACCAGUAGCCUUUUUCAUUUAUUCAAAAAGCUUAAGGUGUCAAGAAAAUAGUUUUCUCCAAUGCUCAUUUACUUUCAUGAUUUAUCAGAAAGUUUGAACAUUUCUUGAGGCCAUUUUGGGUUCAUUGAUUUUAACUAGUUUGAGAUUUCCUUUGUUUAAAGAAGUGGCUAGGGUUUGAGUUUUUCCUUCACCUCUUUCUUUCGAUUUUGAACUAGUUUGAGAUUUCCUUUAAUUGAAAUGGUGGCUAGGGUUUUGAGUUUUUCCUUUGCCACUUUGUUGCUUUUGUUGAAACUUCUUAGAUGCAAAUGCAAAGAAGACAUGAGCACAAUGCUAUCUUGCUUAAGGGUUAGGGAUGUGACACAAAAUUAAUCUCAACCCUUUUUUAUAGAUGCUUGAUAUAGAUUGAAGCAUUUUGUGAUGUCAACAAUGUGAGCUCACUAGAUGUGCACAUGUAACAACUCCAAUUGACAACUGGUGUGCUGGCUAACUAACUCAUUCUUAAGGAAUUUGGCAUGCUAUAUGUCGUCUUUGGCAUUCACACUUCGCCUUGUUUUAGUACUUACUAAAACCUAGCUAGCAUGCAAUUGUUAACCAUGCUAGGUAGUGGAUUAUUCAUUCGCUUGACUCUAUAUAGGGUGCUCCUCUCUGCAUGGUGUCCAUAAGUCCCUCAUANNNNNNNNNNNNNNNNNNNNNNNNNNNNNNNNNNNNNNNNNNNNNNNNNNNNNNNNNNNNNNNNNNNNNNNNNNNNNNNNNNNNNNNNNNNNNNNNNNNNAUAUUUUUUUUGCGUACUUUUUUGUUUUGUCAUUGCAUAUGCAUGUAGUUUGUUUUCACGCAUGGUAUGUUAAAGACAAACUAACAUAUGGUUGUGUUUCAUGAAGUUAAGGGCUCGUGCAUUGAGUCAUGAUUCUUUACUGUUGGGACUCGUGAAUCAUAUAUUCCAUUUCCAACUGCACGUACAUACCAUCUACAAGAUGCUCAUGAUUUGACAUGUCUUUCGGAUGCAAGAUCGGUAAGAUGACCUAUCCAGGAUGUUCAUUGUGCGGGUUGUGUAAAAUCGAUACCGUCACGGGUGUAUCCCUAGAGAAUAUGUUUUUUCAUGUAAUCGUUUGGACUAUGGUUAGAUUUGAAUUUAAAUUUAUUUUUUCUUUCACAUAUGCCACACCGAGACAAAAUGAUUUGCACUUUUGUGACAUAUGGUUAGAUUUGAAAUUUUUUUCUUUCAAAUAUGCCACACCGAGACAAAAUGAUUUGCACUUUUGUGACAUCCGCAUUAAGAUUUAGAACACUUUUAUUCAAGUUGUAGUGUUGACUAUUGGGAAUAAUCAAUCGGUUAGAUUUUUUUGUGAUAAUAUAUGUCCUUUAUAAGAAGCAUUCUAUGAGGAAAAAUAGACUGCGGAUAGGAGGCUUUCGGGUGUAAAAUGGGGUUUUAAUACUUCUCGUAGCUUUAUAACCAUACGUAUGUACCAUCUGUCGGCAAUAAUAUAUUAUUGAUGUGCCCUUGCUUUCGCAUGCAAGACACAAAAGGAAGACCAUCCGACAUGUUGGUCGUGCGUCGACGAAAAGUACUGCUUACAAAUGUAUUCCNNNNNNNNNNNNNNNNNNNNNNNNNNNNNNNNNNNNNNNNNNNNNNNNNNNNNNNNNNNNNNNNNNNNNNNNNNNNNNNNNNNNNNNNNNNNNNNNNNNNNNNNNNNNNNNNNNNNNNNNNNNNNNNNNNNNNNNCGUUACUUCAAUGUGUGUGAAAGAAUAAUGAAUGGAUUAAUUUUAUUUUCUUUUGUAAGAGCCUCCUAAAUGUCAAGAACCAUUAAAUGAAUUACAAAGCAAUUAGAUGUUGCAUAUUGAUAUAUUUCAUGUAAAAAAGAAUGAAUGGACUACAUGACAUAGAUUUACCUCAUGAUGUUCUUCUAAUACGUUUGUUCAAAUCUAGAAAAAUGAGUUAUCUUGCGGUCCUCCAAUAAGUGAGAGAUGUUAGUUUUGCAGUGUGGCAUGUCACAUCGAUGAUGAAAAAUAAUAGUUUUUGGAUGUCUUAAGUGUGGUCCCAAAAUAUGUGCACGUAUCGCCACACCAUUAGCUAUUAUUUUUACGUUUUUCUAUUGAUGAUAACGAGAGAUGUAUUUUUAAAGGUCAUCNNNNNNNNNNNNNNNNNNNNNNNNNNNNNNNNNNNNNNNNNNNNNNNNNNNNNNNNNNNNNNNNNNNNNNNNNNNNNNNNNNNNNNNNNNNNNNNNNNNNCCCUCUUGUGGGCCUAAGGCCCACCUAAGUUAGGGCCCCCCCCCCCCCUCUUUUUCUUUCCCCUGCGCCAUGGGCUGAGUGGGGAGGCGCACCAGCCCAACUAGGGGCUGGUUCCCACCCCCACAUAGCCCAUCUUACCUCUUGGGGUCGCAGCCCCCCUUCGGUGGUCCCCCGGGACCACCUCCGGUGGUCCCGGUGGUCCCGGUACGUUACCGGUGAUGCCCGAAACACUUCCGGUGUCCGAAACCAUCCGUCCUAUAUAUCAAUCUUUACCUCCGGACCAUUCCGGAGCUCCUCGUGACGUCCGGGAUCUCAUCCGGGACUCCGAACAACUUUCGGUAAUCUCGUAUAACAAUUCCCUAUAACCCUAGCGUCAUCGAACCUUAAGUGUGUAGACCCUACGGGUUCGGGAGACAGGCAGACAUGACCGAGACACCUCUCUGGCCAAUAACCAUCAGCGGGGUCUGGAUACCCAUGGUGGCUCCCACUAGCUCCACGAUGAUCUCAUUGGAUGAACCACGAUGUCAAGGAUUCAAUCAAUCCCGUAUACGAUUCCCUUUGUGUGUCGGUAUAGAACUUGCCCGAGAUUCGAUCGUCGGUAUACCUAUACCUUGUUCAAUCUCGUUACCGGUAAGUCUCUUUAAUCGUUCCGUAGCACGUCAUCGUGUGACUAACUCCUUAGUCACAUUGAGCUCAUGAUGAUGUUCUACCGAGUGGGCCCAGAGAUACCUCUCCGUCACACGGAGUGACAAAUCCCGAUCUCGAUUCGUGCCAACCCAACAAACACUUUCGGAGGUACCCGUAGUGCACCUUUAUAGUCACCCAGUUACGUUGUGACGUUUGAUACACCCAAAGCACUCCUACGGUAUCCGGGAGUUGCACAAUCUCACGGUCGAAGGAAAAUAUACUUGACAUUAGAAAAGCAUUAGCAUACGAACAAUACGAUCUAGUGCUAGGCUUAGGAUUGGGUCUUGUCCACCACAUCAUUCUCCCAAUGAUGUGAUCCCGUUAUCAAUGACAUCCAAUGUCCAUGAUCAGGAAACCAUGAUCAUCUAUUGACCAACGAGCUAGCCAACUAGAGGCUUGCUAGGGACAUAUUGUGAUCUAUUCAUUCACACAUGUAUUACUGUUUCCUGUUAAUACAAUUAUAGCAUGAAUGAUAGACGAUUACCAUGAACAAGGAAAUAUGAUAAUAACCAUUUUAUUAUUGCCUCUAGGGCAUAUUUCCAACAAGUAUAAGAGGUCGGCAUUGUACUAUAAAACAUUAAUUGACCAGUAGGACAUUAAGGGUGGACAUGCAAGGGUUGACACUGAUGACCUUAGAAAAUACAUCUCUCGUUAUCAUCAAUAGAAAAAGGUGAAAAUAUAUGAUUCAUGAGUCCCAACAGUAAACACUCAUGACUGAAUGCAUGAUUCCUUAACUUCAUGAUACACAACCGUCAGUUAGUUUGUAUUUAACAUACGUGCGAGAAAACAAAUUACAUGCAUAUGCAAUGUCAAAAUAAAAAGUACGCACGAAAAGAUUAUUAUGAUUCUUUAGUGGUACACUCACGACGAGUUUAUUUGUAAAAGUUUGGAAAAGGCAAACAUCCAACAUAUCCAUUAAGUUUGUCUUUUAGGACUUGAAUAGCCGAGAGAAAUCAAAUUUCUUUCUUGGAAGAAUCCCGUGCCCAAUUAUUAUACUUUAUAUCAUAUACAGAAGUAUUUGUUUUAACUGUAAAUACAAUGUGAAAGUCAGAUGGNNNNNNNNNNNNNNNNNNNNNNNNNNNNNNNNNNNNNNNNNNNNNNNNNNNNNNNNNNNNNNNNNNNNNNNNNNNNNNNNNNNNNNNNNNNNNNNNNNNNAAGUACUGCUUACAAAUGUAUUCCGUUUGUACCGCUAAAGAAACUUAAUUUUCCCGGUGUGCUAGUUUAUUUUGUGGUUGGUUAUGAAUGUAAAUUUGUUACUUCAAUGUGUCUGAAAGAAUAAUGAAUGGAUCAAUUUUAUUUUCUUUUGGAAGCGCCUCCUAAAGGUCAAGAACCAUUUAAUGAAUUACAAAGCAAUUAGAUGUUGUAUAUUGAUAUAUUUCAUGUAAAAAAGAAUGAAUGGACUACAUGGCAUAGAUUUACCUCAUGAUGUUCUUCUAAUACGUUUGUUCAAAUCUAGAAAAAUGAGUUAGCUUGCGGGCCUCCAAUAAAUGAGAGAUGUUAGUUUUGCAGUGUGGCAUGUCACAUCGAUGAUGAAAAAUAAUAGUUUUUGGAUGUCUUAAGUGUGGGCUCAAAAUAUGUCCACGUAUCGCCACACGAUUAGCUAUUAUUUUUACAUUUUUCUAUUGAUGAUAACAAGAGAUGUAUUUUUAAAGGUCAUCAAUGUCAACUCUUGCAUGUUCACCCUUAAUGUCCUACUGGUCAACUGAUGUUUAAUAGUACAAUACAGGCCUCUUAUACUAGUAAUCAAUCACUAAUCAAUACAGGCCCCAACUGAUGUCCAACCAUUGGUGUGUACCAUCUUUCGCGAAUAAUAUAUUCUUGAUCUAGCCUUGCUUUCUCAUGGAAGACAUAAAAGUAAUCACAUUCGAGAUGUGGGUCGUGUGUCGACGAAAAGUGCUAGUAAUAAAUUUUAUCCGUUUGUACCAUUAAUGAAACUGAAUUUUAUCGGUGUACGUGUUUAUUUCGUGGUUGGUUAUGAAUGUAAAUUUGUUACUUCAAUGUGUCUGAAAGAAUAAUGAAUGGAUCAAUUUUAUUUUCUUUUGGAAGCGCCUCCUAAAGGUCAAGAACCAUUUAAUGAAUUACAAAGCAAUUAGAUGUUGUAUAUUGAUAUAUUUCAUGUAAAAAAGAAUGAAUGGACUACAUGACAUAGAUUUACCUCAUGAUGUUCUUCUAAUACGUUUGUUCAAAUCUAGAAAAAUGAGUUAGCUUGCGGGCCUCCAAUAAGUGAGAGAUGUUAGUUUUGCAGUGUGGCAUGUCACAUCAAAAAAUGAGUUAGCUUGUGGGACUCGACCAAGUGAGACAUGUUAGUUUUAUAGUGUGGGAUGUCACAUCGAUAAUGAAAAAUAAUAGUUUCUUGAUGUCAUCAGUGUGGGCUCAAAUUAUGUUCACGCAUCCCCACACCAUUUGCUAUUAUUUUCACCUUUUCCUAUUGAUGAUAACGAGAAAUGUAUUUUUUAGGUAGUCAGUCUCAACCCUGCCAUGUUCACCCUUAACAUCCUACUAGUAAACUCAUGUUUUAUAGUACAAUGUCGGCCUCUUAUACUAGUAAUCAAUCACUACUUACAUUUGACCUUCUCUGGAUGCAAAUCAUUGCGGUCAUCAAAAUCCAAAUAUUUGAUGCCCCCCUCCCCCCUACAAAAAAGGGCAAAGGAACAAAAAAAAUUCAAAAAUAAUGUAAAUAAUACAUGUCAUAGAAUGGGGAUAUUUUCAUCAUAUUUCUACGCAAAUCCACAAAAGCGAAUGACCAUGCAAACUGGAAUAACUGAAUUAUGGCAGUUUUUAGUUCAACAUAUCUUAUUGCUAAUGAUAGGUAAUCAUAUCUUGAUGUCAUCCAUGUGGGCUCAUGGAAUGUCCACGCGUGCACACUUCAUUAUUGAAUUGUUUUCCUACAAAAUUAAUCUCAACCCUUUUUUAUAGAUGCAUGAUAUAGAUUGAAGCAUUUUGUGAUGUCAACAAUGUGAGCUCACUAGAUGUGCACAUGUAACAACUCCAAUUGACAACUAGGGUGCUGGCUAACUAACUCAUUCUUAAGGAAUUUGGCAUGCUAUAUNNNNNNNNNNNNNNNNNNNNNNNNNNNNNNNNNNNNNNNNNNNNNNNNNNNNNNNNNNNNNNNNNNNNNNNNNNNNNNNNNNNNNNNNNNNNNNNNNNNNUCAUAACCAACCACGAAAUAAACACGUACACCGAUAAAAUUCAGUUUCAUUAAUGGUACAAACGGAUAAAAUUUAUUACUAGCACUUUUCGUCGACACACGACCCACAUCUCGAAUGUGAUUCCUUUUAUGUCUUGCAUGAGAAAGCAAGGCUAGAUCAAGAAUAUAUUAUUCGCGAAAGAUGGUACACACGAAUGGUUGAACAUCAGUUGGGGCCUGUAUUGAUUAGUGAUUGAUUACUAGUAUAAGAGGCCUGUAUUGUACUAUUAAACAUCAGUUGACCAGUAGGACAUUAAGGGUGAACAUGCAAGAGUUGACAUUGAUGACCUUUGGAAAUACAUCUCUUGUUAUCAUCAAUAGAAAAAUGUAAAAAUAAUAGCUAAUCGUGUGGCGAUACGUGGACAUAUUUUGAGCCCACACUUAAGACAUCCAAAAACUAUUAUUUUUCAUCAUCGAUGUGACAUGCCACACUACAAAACUAACAUCUCUCACUUAUUGGAGGCCCGCAAGCUAACUCAUUUUUCUAGAUUUGAACAAACGUAUUAGAAGAACAUCAUGAGGUAAAUCUAUGUCAUGUAGUCCAUUCAUUCUUUUUUACAUGAAAUAUAUCAAUAUACAACAUCUAAUUGCUUUGUAAUUCAUUAAAUGGUUCUUGACCUUUAGGAGGCGCUUCCAAAAGAAAAUAAAAUUGAUCCAUUCAUUAUUCUUUCAGACACAUUGAAGUAACAAAUUUACAUUCAUAACCAACCACAAAAUAAACUAGUACACCGAGAAAAUUCAGUUUCUUUAGCGGUACAAACGGAAUACAUUUGUAAGCAGUACUUUUCGUCGACGCACGACAAACAUGUCGGAUGUUCUUCCUUUUGUGUCUAGCAUGCGAAAGCAAGGGCACAUCAAUAAUAUAUUAUUGCCGACAGAUGNNNNNNNNNNNNNNNNNNNNNNNNNNNNNNNNNNNNNNNNNNNNNNNNNNNNNNNNNNNNNNNNNNNNNNNNNNNNNNNNNNNNNNNNNNNNNNNNNNNNUCCAGAGAAGGUGAAAUGUAAGUAGUGAUUGAUUACCAGUAUAAGAGGCCGGCAUUGUACUAUAAAACAUUAGUUGACUAGUAGGACAUUAAGGGUGAACAUGCAAGGGUUGACACUGAUGACCAUAAAAAAUACAUCUGUCUUUAUCAUCAAUAGAAAAAGGUGAAAAUAUAUGAUUCAUGUGUCCCAACAGUAAAAACUCAUGACUGAAUGCAUGAGUCUUUAACUUCAUGAAACACAACCAUGAGUUAGUUUGUCUUUAACAUAUGUGUGAGAAAAAAAAAUUAGAUGCAUAUGCAAUGGCAAAUGAAAAAUACGCACAAANNNNNNNNNNCCAGUUAGUUUGUCUUUAACAUAUGUGUGAGAAAAAAAAUUAGAUGCAUAUGCAAUGGCAAAUAAAAAAUACGCACAAAAAGAUUUUCAUGAUUCUUUAGUGGUACACUCAAGACGAGUUUAUUUGUAAAAUUUUGGAAAAGAAAAACAUCCAACAUAUCCAUUAAGUCUGUCUCUCGGGACUUGAAUCUACCUAGCCGAGAGAAAUCAAAUUUCCUUUUUUGAAGAAUCAUGUGCCCAAUUAUUAUACUUUAUAUCAUAUAUAGAAGUAUUUGUUUUAGCUGUAAAUAGAAAGUGGAAGUCAGAUGGAUCUUUUUCACAAGACAAAAAACAAUAUUCUCUUGAGAACAACUAUAGGGGAUGUGGUUACUUAUUCAUAAUUCGUGCUUAUUAGCACGAGAUAUUACAAGAGACAUAGAUUUUCACACAAAUGACAUACUUGUACAUUCCCUUACUUGGGAGGGAUUCAAGACAUGGCAUAUCAUGGCANNNNNNNNNNUAUCUAUAGGGGAUGUGGUUACUUAUUCAUAAUUCGUGCUUAUUAGCACGANNNNNNNNNNNNNNNNNNNNNNNNNNNNNNNNNNNNNNNNNNNNNNNNNNNNNNNNNNNNNNNNNNNNNNNNNNNNNNNNNNNNNNNNNNNNNNNNNNNNGAUAUGUCGAACUAAAAAGUACCAUACUUCUGUUAUUCCAGUUUGCGUACCCAUUCGGUUUUGUUGAUUUCCAUACACAUAUGAUGGAAAUAUCCCCAUUCGUCGAUGCCAUGUAUUCUGUACAUUCUUUUGAAAAAAUGACUUUUUUUCCUUUGCCCUAAUUUGUAGGGGGCGGGGCAUCAAAUAUUUGGAUGUCGAUGUCCGGAAUAAUUUUGAUGUGUGGAAGGACUCGAAGAAUACCAUAACUGUUAUUACGGACGAUCAUGUUAGUUACCCGUGUGCAAUAGUCUAAUAGGCUAAUUAAUCCCAAUAUGGCGAUUCACUAGAAGGAUCGCACAUUUUGCAAACGAUAAUCCCAUUAGUAUUCAAUGCGACCGCAAUGAGUUGCAUCCAGAGAAGGUGAAAUGUAAGUAGUGAUUGAUUACCAGUAUAAGAGGUCGGCGUUGUACUACAAAACAUUAGUUGACUAGUAGGACAUUAAGGGUAGACAUGCAAGGGUUGACACUCAUGACCUUAAAAAAUACAUCUCUCGUUAUCAUCAAUAGAAAAAGGUGAAAAUAUAUGAUUCAUGAGUCCCAACAGUAAACACUCAUGACUGAAUGCCUGAUUCCUUAACUUCAUGAUACACAACCAUCAGUUAGUUUCUCUUUAACAUACGUGCGAGAAAACAAAUUACAUGCAUAUGCAAUGUCAAAAUAAAAAGUACGCACGAAAAGAUUUUCAUGAUUCUUUAGUGGUACACUCAGGACGAGUUUAUUUGUAAAAGUUUGGAAAAGACAAACAUCCAAUAUAUCCAUUAAGUCUGUCUUUUAGGACUUGAAUAGCCGAGAGAAAUCAAAUUCCUUUCUUGGAAGAAUCCUGUGCCCAAUUAUUAUACUUUAUAUCAUAUAUAGAAGUAUUUGUUUNNNNNNNNNNNNNNNNNNNNNNNNNNNNNNNNNNNNNNNNNNNNNNNNNNNNNNNNNNNNNNNNNNNNNNNNNNNNNNNNNNNNNNNNNNNNNNNNNNNNUAUGUCAUGUAGUCCAUUCAUUCUUUUUUACAUGAAAUAUAUCAAUAUACAACAUCUAAUUGCUUUGUAAUUCAUUAAAUGGUUCUUGACCUUUAGGAGGCUCUUCCAAAAGAAAAUAAAAUUGAUCCAUUCAUUAUUAUUUCACACACAUUGAAGUAACAAAUUAACAUUCAUAACCAACCACAAAAUAAACUAGUACACCGGGAAAAUUCAGUUUCUUUAGCGGUACAAACGGAAUACAUUUGUAAGCAGUACUUUUCGUCGACGCACGACCAACAUGUCGGAUGGUCUUCCUUUUUUGUCUUGUAUGCGAAAGCAAGGGCACAUCAAUAAGUAGCCGCCGUUUAGGAAACCAAGGACUGCAGCCGUUUUCUCGCAGAGCCGAGUCGGGCUAGUAAGAAGUAGCUAUUUUAUGCAGCUUUGUAUCUGGUCCGGGACCUCAUCAUAGCAAACCAUCUACGCAUUUUUUAAACCAAUGGUCAAUCAAACAACUUUCCUCAGCCUUCUUUUCUGGUUGAUUGAGCAAGCCCUGAGACCGAGAGGGAUGCACUGCCCCACGCAUCUAUCCAGCUCGCGUGGUUCACCGGUUCCAUCGACGUCACUCUUAGAUAGAGUUAUUCAGUUGAUACAGAGAUGCGCUAUAUUAUUGCCGACAGGUGGUACAUACGUAUGGUUAUAAAGCUACGAGAAGUAUUAAAACCCCAUNNNNNNNNNNNNNNNNNNNNNNNNNNNNNNNNNNNNNNNNNNNNNNNNNNNNNNNNNNNNNNNNNNNNNNNNNNNNNNNNNNNNNNNNNNNNNNNNNNNNGAGAAUAUGUUUUUUCAUGUAAUCGUUUUGACUGUGGUUAGAUUUGAAAAAAAAAUUCUUUCAAAUAUGCCACACCGAGACAAAAUGAUUUGCACUUUUGUGAGAUCCGCAUUAAGAUUGAGAACACUUUCAUUCAAGUUGUAGUGUUGACUAUUGGGAAUAAUCAAUCGGUUAGAUUUUUGUGUGAUAAUAUAUGUCCUUUAUAAGAAGCAUUCUAUGAGGAAAAAUAGACUGCGGAUAGGAGGCUUCCGGGUGUAAAAUGGGGUUUUUAUACUUCUCGUAGCUUUAUAACCAUACGUAUGUACCAUCUGUCGGCAAUAAUAUAUUAUUGAUGUGCCCUUGCUUUCGCAUACAAGACAAAAAAGGAAGACCAUCCGACAUGUUGGUCGUGCGUCGACGAAAAGUACUGCUUACAAAUGUAUUCCGUUUGUACCGCUAAAGAAACUGAAUUUUCUCGGUGUACUAGUUUAUUUUGUGGUUGGUUAUGAAUGUAAAUUUGUUAAUUCAAUGUGUGUGAAAGAAUAAUGAAUGGAUCAAUUUUAUUUUCAUUUGGAAGAGCCUCCUAAAUGUCAAGAACCAUUAAAUGAAUUACAANNNNNNNNNNNNNNNNNNNNNNNNNNNNNNNNNNNNNNNNNNNNNNNNNNNNNNNNNNNNNNNNNNNNNNNNNNNNNNNNNNNNNNNNNNNNNNNNNNNNAAAGACGAGAUAUAGCAUGCCAAAUUCUUUAAGAGUGGGUUAGUUAGCGAUCACACCGGUUGACAAUUGGAGUUGUUACACGUGGACAUCUGGUGAGCUCACAUUGUUUACAUGACAAAAAUUUUCUAUCUAUAUCGUGCAUCUAUAAAAAAAGGUUGAGAUAAAUUUUGUAGGACAUAAAUUCAAUAAUGAUGUGUGCACGCAUGGACAUUCUAUGAGCCCCGAUGCAUGACAACAAGAUAUGAUUACCUCUCAUUAGCAAUAAGAUAUGUCGAACUAAAAAGUACCAUACUUCUGUUAUUCCAGUUUGCAUGCCCAUUCGGUUUUGUGGAUUUCCAUAGACAUAUGAUCGAAAUAUCCCCAUUCGUCUAUGCCAUGUAUUCUGUACAUUCUUUUGAAAAAAAUAUUUUUUUUCCUUUUGCCCUAUUUUGUAGGGGGCGGGGCAUCAAAUAUUUAGAUUUCGAUGUCCGGAAUAAUUUUAUGUGUGGAAGGACUCGAAGAAUACCAUCGCUGUUAUUACACACGGUCAUGUUAGUUACCCGCGUGCAAUAGUCUAAUAGGAUAAUUAAUCCAAAAAUGGCGAUUCACUAAAAGGAUCACAUAUUUUGCAAACGAUAAUCCCAUUAGUAGUCAAUGCGACCGCAGUGAGUUGCAUCCAGAGAAGGUGAAAUGUAAGUAGUGAUUGAUUACCAUUAUAAGAGGCCGGCAUUGUACUAUAAAACAUUAGUUGACUAGUAGGACAUUAAGGGUGAACAUGCAAGGGUUGACNNNNNNNNNNNNNNNNNNNNNNNNNNNNNNNNNNNNNNNNNNNNNNNNNNNNNNNNNNNNNNNNNNNNNNNNNNNNNNNNNNNNNNNNNNNNNNNNNNNNUAGUUGAAAAUAGCAUAAUCAGAAUCUUUGAAUUUUUCUGAUACUUUUCCAUAUAUAAAUUAUUUUCAUUGGAGUUAUAGAUUAAUUUCGAUUUUUACAAUUUUUAGCAAUUUCCUGAAUUAGUUUUAUACUGGAAANNNNNNNNNNGAUUAAUUCUAUGAUUUUUACAAUUUUUAGCAAUUUCCUGAAUUAGUUUUAUACUGGAAAUUCUAAUUAUUGCAUCAGGCUGACGUCAGCAGGUCAGCCGACCUGUUCAGGUCAAACCUGACAGGGGGGCCCCGCUGGUCAGCCUCUCUGGGACUAAUCCCGCGCUGACCAGCCCUAACUGAGGUUUGACUUGGCCUUGGGCCCACUUGUCAGCGAGUGAUUAGGUCACUAAGCUACUGGGUUAGCUUGCCACGUCGACCCCCACCGUAGGGUGGUCGCCGGCGACCAGGCCCGCCGCGGAGGGCUCCCCAGAGGCGACCUAGACGGCGCUGCACAGCACCAAAACGCACGCGGUUUGCNNNNNNNNNNGGCUGGGUUAGCUUGCCACGUCGACCCCCACCGGAGGGUGGUCGCCCGCGACCAGGCCCGCGGCGGAGGGCUCGCCGGAGGCGACCUAGACGGCGCUGCACAGCACCAAAACGCACGCGGUUUGCAGCUACAGCAUGCUCGCAAGUGUCCGAUCUGGCAGGACCAUCUGGCGAGGCUAGGGUCGCCGGAAGAGGCGUCGGCGACGAGCCGGAGCGGCGGCCGAAGCUCGGCCUUCUAUGAGGGGCGGUUCUANNNNNNNNNNACUACAGCAUGCUCGCGAAGUGGCCGAUCUGGCAGGAUCAUCUGGGAGGCUAGGGUCGCCGGAAGAGGCGUCGGCGAUGAGCCGGAGCGGCGGCCGAAGCUCGGCCUUCUAUGAGGGGCGGUUCUAGGGCACGGGGAGGGCAGGUGGAGGGCUCGACACGCUCCUGGAGGCUCCAGGAGCUCGAAUCCUAGCUCGGGCGCGUGGAUCGGUCAUCACAGCGACGACAGCGACAUGGCCGGCGGCGAGAAGCUCUCGGCCUUGGUGGGGAACUAGGAUACGAUGCAUGGGAGAGCGUGGGGCAAGAGGGAAAACGACGACGAGCUCACGGCGGUUGGCGCUGAAGAGGUGCUCGGGGAUGCGCCGGAGGAAGCGAAUCGACGGGAGAGGUCCUGUGGCCGGAGGUGGAAGACGACGGCCUUGCGGGCGUUGCAGGGCUCGAGGAAGUUUCGGCUUCUGCAGAGAUGACCAGGGCGACGAGGCGGAGUUAAUGGCGUGCUCUGGGAGGGAAUCCUAUGGCCAGGGGCACGGCCAGCUCGAGCUCGAGCUCGGCUCUAAUGGCGGCAGCAAGGAGGAGGAGGAGAUCCGGGAGGAGGAAGAGAACCGAGGCGGGGAAUGGAUAGGGGAGGCUCUGGGGAGCUUAUCCCCGUCGUCGCCAGCGCGAGGCGGCGGCCACGCAGGCACGCAGGUGCGUGGCCGCGCCGGAGGGGGCGGCGGCCACCUCCUGCUGCCUACUGGCGCGAGGGAGGGGACGAGCCAGGGAUGGGCCGGGCCAGGCUUAGGCGACACGUAAGGUUUUUCCAUUUUUUUCUGUUUUUGUUUUUCUGUUUUGCUAAUUANNNNNNNNNNGGCAGGCACGCAGGUGCGUGGCCGUGCCGGAGGGGGUGGCGGUCACCUCCUGCUGCCUACUGGCGCAAGGGAGGGGACGAGCCAGGGAUGGGCCGGGCCAGGCUUAGGCGACAGGUAAGGUUUUUCCAUUUUUUCUGUUUUUGUUUUUCUGUUUUGCUAAUUAAUUCAGCUCCAAAACAAAAAUUAAAAACUAUUUUAGACCUCCUGAAAUAUUUCUUAUAAUAUCCCCAACCAUUUUCAAGCUUUUCGACAUUUUUGGAAAUUUAUAGUUUCUGAUUUCAAAUUUAAAACUUGAAACCAGNNNNNNNNNNUCAUUCAGCUCCAAAACAAAAAGUAAAAACUAUUUUAGACCUCCUGAAAUAUUUUUUAUAAUAUCCCCAACCAUUUUCAAGCUUUUCAACAUUUUGGAAAUUUAUAGUUUCUGAUUUCAAAUUUAAAACUUGAAACCAGUAGCCUUUUUCAUUUAUUCAAAAAGCUUAAGGUGUCAAGAAAAUAGUUUUCUCCAAUGCUCAUUUACUUUCAUGAUUUAUCAGAAAGUUUGAACAUUUCUUGAGGCCAUUUUGGGUUCAUUGAUUUUGAACUAAUUUGAGAUUUCCUUUAAUUGAAAUGGUGGCUAGGGUUUUGAGUUUUUCCUUUGCCACUUCGUUGCUUUUGUUGAAACUUCUUAGAUGCAAAUGCAAAGAAGACAUGAGCACAAUGCUAUCUUGCUUAAGGGUUAGGGAUGUGACACAAAAUUAAUCUCAACCCUUUUUUAUAGAUGCUUGAUAUAGAUUGAAGCAUUUUGUGAUGUCAACAAUGUGAGCUCACUAGNNNNNNNNNNACUCACCCCCACUCAAAAGAAUCUCGUCCCGAGAUUUAGAAGUCGUCGGGAAUAACGCCGGAUGUUCAAGUCGGAGACGAUCCUCUCUUUCCCAAGUUGCCUCCUUUUCAGAAUGAUUUGACCAUUGAACUUUAAGAAACUUGAGGUUUCGACGUCGAGUGGUACGCUCAGCUUGAUCAAGAAUACGCACGGGGUAUUCUCGGUAUGAAAGGUUAUCUUGUAGAUCAAGCGUUUCGUGGUCCACUUCAUGGAUAGGAUCCGAAAAGCAACGCCUGAGUUGCGAGACGUGGAAGACAUCAUGAACCUUGGAAAGAUGUGGAGGAAGUUCCAACUGGUAGGCAACUUCUCCUCGUUUGGCAAGAAUGCGAAAAGGACCAAUGUAACGAGGAGCCAAUUUUCCCUUGAUACCGUAACGAUGGGUACCCUUCAAAGGUGUAACCCAAAGGUAAGCCUUCUCGUCAACUUCAAAGGUCACAGCCUUAUGAUGACGAUCAUAUUGGCUCUUUUGACGAGACUGGGCUGUUUUCAACUUUUCACGAAUAAUGCGAACCUGCUCUUCUGCAUCCUGGAUCAUAUCCGGGCCAAAGAGUUGCCUCUCUCCGGUUUCUGACCAAUUAAGAGGGGUUCGACAUCUUCGUCCAUAGAGAACUUCAAAAGGGGCUUUGCCCAAGCUUGAUUGAUAACUAUUGUUAUAAGCGAAUUCGGCGAAUGGAAGGCACUUCUCCCAAUUCAUACCGAACGAAAUAACACAAGCUCGGAGCAUAUCUUCUAUGAUUUGAUUCACUCUUUCUACUUGACCACUUGAUUGAGGAUGGAAAGCAGUGCUAAAAGAUAAGUGAGUCCCCAUGGCAUUCUGAAAACUUUCCCAGAAGCGAGAAGUAAAGAUACUUCCAUGGUCCGAGUUAAUUUCCAGGGGAACACCAUGAAGAGACACUAUUCGAGAGGUAUAUAACUCUGCUAGCUGGCUAGCUGUUAUACCCUCACGAACAGGAAGAAAAUGAGCCACUUUGGAAAGACGGUCAAUGACCACAAAGAUAGCAUUAUUACCUUUCUUGGUCUUGGGAAAUCCGGUAAUGAAAUCCAUGCUAACUUUAUCCCAUUUCCAUUCAGGAAUAGCUAGAGGUUGAAGGGUGCCAGCAGGCCUUUGAUGUUCUGCCUUAACUCGACGACAAACGUCGCAGUUAGCAACGAACUCAGCAAUUUCUCUCUUCAUCCUAGUCCACCAGAACCUCUGGCGUAGGUCCUGAUACAUCUUAGUACUACCGGGAUGAAUGGUGAGAGGAGAAUCAUGAGCCUCCUUAAGGAUUAACUGCCUUAGAUGUGGGUUCUUAGGAACCACUAAACGAUUCUGGAAGAACACAACACCUUGAUCAUUCAUGGAAAAUUCUUUAGCGUUUUCGCUAAAAAUAUUCUCCUUGAUCCGUGAUAUACCCUUGUCACGCUUUUGGCCAGCUAUAAUUUGAUCCUUAAGAGUAGGCUUCGCCACCAGGGUAGAAAGGAAUCCUUGAGGAACAAUAUGAAGAUUCAACUUCCGAAAGUCCUCAUGGAGAUGUGGUUGACCUUGUUGUAACAUCAAAUUGUUACAAUAAGAUUUAUGGCUUAGUGCAUCGGCCAUAACAUUGGCCUUCCCCCGGGGUGUAAGUUAUCCCUAAGUCGUAAUCCGAGAUCAACUCAACCCACCGUCUUUGCCUGAGAUUCAAAUCCGGCUGGGUGAAGAUAUACUUCAGACUUUGGUGAUCAGUGAAUAUUUCGCAACGAUUACCCAGAAGGUAAUAUCGCCAGGUUUUUAGUGCAUGGACCACAGCUGCAAGCUCAAGGUCAUGGGUGGGAUAAUUAUCCUCAUGUGGACGCAACUGUCGAGAUGCGUAUGCGAUCACAUGACGAUCUUGCAUGAGAAUGCAACCUAAUCCUUGUCGCGAGGCAUCGCAAUAGAUAACAAAGUCCUUAGAAAUAUCUGGUGGUAGCAACACAGGUGCGGAAGUCAGACGUCUUUUCAGUUCCUGAAAACUAUGCUCACACUGUGGUGUCCACUCGAACUUUUUAUCCUUCUUGAGGAGUUCAGUUAGAGUUGCAACCUUGGAGAAAUUCUCGACGAAGCGGCGACAAUAGCUCGCUAGACCAAGAAAACUCCUAACUUGCUUAACCGAUUCAGGUUGAGUCCAAUCAAGGACAGCUUGAACUCUCUCGGGAUUGACAGCAAUACCCUUGCCAGAGAUUACGUGGCCCAGAUAGGUCACUUCUGGUAACCAGAAUUCACAUUUUGAAAACUUGGCAUAAAGGCGAUGCUCUCGAAGUUUCAUCAAUACCAGCCUUAGAUGCUCGGCAUGUUCUUGUUCAUUCUUCGUGUAGAUGAGAAUAUCAUCGAGGUAUACCACAACGAAUUUAUCCAAAUACUCCAUGAAGAUUGAGUUCAUCAGCCGAGAGAAAGUGGCUGGGGCAUUGGUUAAACCGAAGGACAUAACGGUGUACUCAUAUUGUACAUAACGAGUAACAAAGGCCGUUUUUGGAAUGUCCCUGUUCUUAAUCUUGAUUUGAUGGUAUCCCAACCUCAAAUCCAUUUUGGAGAAGACUGAAGAUCCAGCGAGCUGAUCGUACAGAUCGUUGAUCCUAGGGAGCGGACACUUGUUCUUAAUGGUGACCAAAUUAACUGGUCGGUAAUCUACAACCAUCCGAUCCGUUCCGUCUUUCUUGUUGACGAAGAGGACGGGACAAGCCCAAGGAGAAGAGCUAGGACGAAUGAAACCUUUGUUCAAGGCCUCAUCUAAUUGCUUCUUAAGUUCGGCUAGCUCUAGGGGUGCCAUCUUAUAAGGUCUCCUGGCUAUUGGGACAGUUCCCGGAACAAGAUCUAUCACAAACUCUACAUCUCUGUCAGGUGGAAUUCCUGGCAGUUCCUCUGGAAAAACAUCCGGGAAGUCACGGACUACCGGAAUGUCUUCAAGUUCCGGAAGAGGGUUGGCAUUUAGGGAAUAGAGCUGGCAUUUCGCAACUCGAGUAGAGACAUUUACUAUCUCACCCGAGGGAUGGGUAAGCUGGACAUUUCUAGAAUGAGUAUCAAUCUUGGCAUAGUGAGCUGACAUCCAGUCCAUGCCCAAGAUGAUAUUAAUAUCCGAAGAUUUCAAUGCUAUCAAUGAGGCUAGAAAAACUAGCCUGUCUACUAGAAUUUCAUUGUCAUAGGUUAUCCUAGAGGUUUGCCAUUCACUACCAGGGGUUUGGACAACCAAUGGGAUUGGCAUAUCACAAAAAUACAUGUUAUGCAACUGUGCAUAACUUUCUGAAAUGAAGGAAUGAGAAGACCCAGUGUCAAAGAGAACGGACGCUGGGUGUUGAUUAACAAGAAGCGUACCCAGCAUGACGUCGGGAUCCUCUGCAGCUUCUUCUGCUGACACAUAGUUCACACGGCCACGUGCAGGAGUUGGCUUCACAUAAUAAGCUUUGCACGACUUGGCCUGCCCGACGGACUUUCCGGGUUGCUUGGCACCCACAUUUUGAGGACACUCACGGGAAUAAUGCCCUGGUUCUCCACACUUGUAGCAUAUCACCUGGUUGGCACGUGGUGCAGCAUUGCUAGCUGGACAACCAUAAGCUUUUGCUGGAGGGUUGGCCUGAUUCGUCUGAGGCGCCACGUAGGAUGGCCUCGGAGUGUAUCUUGGCGGCAGAGAACUGUUUGGAACCCACAGCCUGCGUUUUGGAAACGCGGAACCAGAAGAUGAGCCAAAGUCACGGGAGUGCUUCCUUGUGGCUUCGAAGUCAGUAUGACCAGUCUCCGCACUGAUCGCUUUGUUGACCAGGGCUUGAAAACUUGCACACUCAUGGAGGCGCAGAUCACGACGGAGCUCAGGGCUCAGUCCCUUACGGAAUCUUGCUUGCUUCUUGGCGUCGGUAGACACCUCCUCUGUUGCAUAGCGGGCGAGGUUACCGAAAUCGCGGCUAUAGGCAUCCACAGACAACUUGCCUUGAGUGAAGGCACAGAACUCCUCUCUCUUUCUGUCCAUCAGGCCCUCUGGAAUAUGGUACGGACGAAAAGCUACACUGAAGUCUGCCCAUGUGGCCACUGGUUCAGCGAGACGCAUAGCUUCAAAAUUCUCCCACCACAGAUUGGCGGGUCCUUCCAGGAAAUACGCCGCGAAGGUCACCUUGUCGGCCUCAGACACAUUCGCAGAGCGAAUCUUGCGUGAGAUGCUGCACAGCCAGUCAUCAGCGUCGAGGGGAUCGACGGAAUGAUGAAACUUUGGAGGAUUCAGCUUCACAAAGUCAUUGAGGGACACUGCAGCAUUCCUAGGCUGUCGAGCCGUAUUCUGCUCAAUACGCUCUAGCAGUCGGUUGGUCUCCCUUUUGUUUCUUUCUGCCUCAAGCAUCACUUCUACCAGAGAAGGUGGGUGAGGCAGGUCUUCCUGCGACGCUUGACUACCCUCACCUUGCUCAUGAGCAGGGGCACGGUUCAACCUGGUGAACACCAUCCUAACAAACAAACUCAUAGCUUAGACCAACAUCAUAUCAAUACUAGCUAUGGAUUAAGAAUGUACUGAACAGACGGAAUGCGGAAAUUAAUAUCCGAACAGCAUGGUAACAAGCAACUGCUAUAUAUACACCAUGGUUCAUACACACCCUUACAUAGUUCAGUACAACCUUAAACGAAGAGCAAACUACUGAAAUUAUGAAACUACUCAUUAGAGGCUUACAGGCUUCCUAUACAUUAUUUAUCUAGGCCUCCGGAAUUCAUUUCACAUUACUACCAUACUUCACAAGUCACGCAGGACUGUGAACGUACGACUACUACCAUACUAUCCUUCCGCUCACAGCUCAGGCAUCCGCAUAGAACAUCUCAUAGAGAUUACCUCCAUGACCUGGAAGCUCAACCUGCGGAUCAGGAAACACUCUAGCCUGAGAUCCCUGGGAUCCAUAAGGACACGGAUGUGGCCUUGGUCCCCUGACUGGUGGUAAGAGGGGUCCCCGAAGAGGUGUGACUCCUCCUAUAGCUGGCCAGUCAACGUGGGCCGGAAGAUGGGUUCUAACAGGGUUCAGCAUCUCCAUCUCUCCAUACCCUCUCUGCACUACCGGUGCCAGCUGCGUCAAAGCUGUCCACAGACGGGCACGGGUAGCAUAAAGCUCCAUGCGGAGAGCACGAGCAUCCCUGUCUCUGUUCUCUAGCAUCUCAACAGUGGACUGCAGAAGUGGAUCCUCCAUAGAAGAAUCAAAAUAGACUCCACUGAGGUAUCCCUCUUCACCAGACUGAGAGGCCGGAACAUAGCAGAACUCUGAAUUCUGCAGCAGUGCAUGUCUUGCUCUCAUAAUAGUCAGCAUUGAAUACGCAGCAUCCUGAACUGCCAUGUCAACGGUGACCCCCAACCCAUAGGACCAAUGGAUUGGCUUCUCAGUUCCAGGGUAGUCUGGAAAUACCCUAACAGUGUAGAUGUACUGGCUCUGGUUGAAGUCUCGGUACUGUUCCUCUACCGUGUACUUGGGGUACCAGCGGUAACCGCACACCGACAUCACCCUGACCAGCAUGGCCGUAUGACCCGGCACAUCAAUGCACCUGGUCAGACGUACCACCUGACGAGAAGGACGGCCAGGCAUCUGUAAAUAGAGAGUAAUGCAAAAGCAUUAGAGCUCUGAAUGCAAAAUUGGGCAGCAUAACGGUUGUAAAUGCUCAAAACAAAUUUGAGACAACCCAAAAAUGGAAUAGCGUAACCACUCAACUAUCAAGUUCCACUUUUUGAUCAUCAAACUUACUUCAUGCUUCCUAGGAAUAAAAUAAACCCAAUAUCUCUCGACCCGUAGUCCUAUAAUCUACCGAUGAGAAACACGAGCCUAGGAGAAGAUGAGUAACCUAGUCCUUAAUUCCCGCAGAAAAGACAAGGAUGACCAGAAUAGAAUGACUUGAGAAGAGAACAAGAGUCUGACGUUCCCUUCCACAAACAAUUCCCUUAUAUAUAACUAAAGAAAUUCUAAACUCAACUUCGACCAGUUUGGCUUAGUAAUCCUACAGUCAGUCAGGCUCUGAUACCAACGCUGUCGGGACCCCGAUCCUAAGCCAUAGGAAUCCAGCCUGUAACACAUCGCAUCCCUUUGUGGUCUCAGGCACGGUUAACUCCACGGCUGCAGCCUUACCUUAGCCGGGACCGUUUGNNNNNNNNNNGUCGGGACCCCGAUCCUAAGCCAUAGGAUUCCAGCCUGUAACACAUCGCAUCCCUUUGUGGUCUCACGCACGGUUAACUCCACGGCUGCAGCCUUACCUUAGCCGGGACCGUUUGCGUCUUUUGACUCACGUAUGCGAUAGUGUCGCUAGCAAUCCAAUGUCAAAGAACCCGGAUCGACAUGUCUAGUCAUAAACCAAAGUGGCAGUACCACACAAGGACAGGCAUACAUGACCCAACAAAGCAGGUGUCGGUCAUCAGCGAAUGUAGACGAGUCGUAGCAAGCUACAAGGACUCCAUUACAUCGCGUGACAUUUCCCCAAAGGGGACAGACACAGCAGNNNNNNNNNNACAUCCCUUUGCGGUCUCACGCACGGUUAACUCCACGGCUGCAUCCUUACCUUAGCCGGGACCGUUUGCGUCUUUUGACUCGCGUAUGCAAUAGUUUCGCUAGCAUUCCAAUGUCAAAGAACCCGGAUCGACAUGUGUAGUCAUAAACCAAAGUGGCAGUACCGCACAAGGACAGGCAUACAUGACCCAACAAAGCAGGUGUCGGUCACCAUCGAGUGUAGACGAGUCGUAGCAAGCUACAAGGACUCCAUUACAUCGUGUGACAUUUCCCCAAAGAGGACAGACACAGCAGCUAAGAAGGACACAUGCCGGUCAACCAAUGUGUCCGGAGCAGUAGCGAACUACCAAGGCUUGUUGGAUCACAAAGGGGCAUUUCCUUGUAAGGAAUGCUACUAAAGCUCACGACUAGGUAAUUGAACCCCAUACAUAUCAAGUACGACACACGUACGCGUGGCAUACCGAUAUGUAUAGAUACAUCGAUGGCAUCACAACAUAACCAUAAACAUACANNNNNNNNNNCUGAGAAGGACACAUGCCGGGAAACCAAUGCGUCCGGAGCAGUAGCGAACUAGCAAGGCUCGUUGGAUCACAAAGGGGCAUUUCCUUGUAAGGAGUGCUACNNNNNNNNNNAUGAGAAGGACACAUGCCGGUCAACCAAUGCGUCCGGAGCAGUAGCGAACUACCAAGGCUCGUUGGAUCACAAAGGGGCAUUUCCUUGUAAGGAGUGCUACUAAAGAUCACGACUAGGUAAUCGAACCCCAUACAUAUCAAGCAUGACACACGUACGCAUGGCAUAUCAAUAUGUAUAGAUACAUCGAUGGCAUCACAACAUAACCAUAAACAUACAAGCUUUAUUUAAGAGGCUCGGAAGAGCCACACACAUAAUAUUACACAUUAAGGUCUCUCGACCCAUAAUAGCAGUCAUACAAUACAAGCCAGCGGAAGAGUUAUAAACUGUCUCGGAACAGGCAGUGCAACUAGAAGGCACAUGGCCUGACUAUACUACAGAGCCGACGUAGGGCCAGAUCGUAGCUCGGACACCAGCUACUCGUCGUCGUCGAUGUCUACGAAGAACCCUCCAUUNNNNNNNNNNGUCUCACGACCCAUAAUAGCAGUAAUUCAGUUACAAGCCAGCGGAAGAGUUUAAACUGUCUGAGUACAGACAGGGCAACUAGAAGGCACAUGGCCUGACUAUACUACAGACCCAACGUAGGGCCAGAUCGUAGCUGGGACACCAGCUACUCGUCGUCGUCGAUGUCUACGAAGAACCCUCCAUUNNNNNNNNNNCGCGAAAGAGUUAUAAACUGUCUGGGAACAGGCAGUGCAACUAGAAGGCACAUGCACUGACUAUACUACACAGCCGGAGUAGGGCCAGAUCGUAGCUGGAAAACCAGCUACUCGUCGUCGUCGAUGUCUACGAAGAACCCUCCAUUAGGGUCAUUAGCAACCUCUGCAACAUUUAUUAAGCAAACAUGAGUACGAAGGUACUCAGCAAGACUUUAGGAUAACUAACUACUCAUGCAAGGUAUCAAAAGGGGUAUUGCGGGGUUUCAUGCGUAAAGCCAGCAUUUGACUCGUGGCUAGACAACUUGCAUUUUUAAAUUAUNNNNNNNNNNACAUUUGACUCGUGGCUAGACAACUUGCAUUUUUAAAUAAUUUUGACAACUUGAUUUCUCGCACACGAGUCCGCUAACACCACAACANNNNNNNNNNGAACUAACUACUCAUGCAAGGUAUCAAAAGGUAUUGUGGGGUUUCAUGCGGAAAGCCAGCAUUUGACUCGUGGCUAGACAACUUGCAUUUUUAAAUUAUUUUGACAACUUGAUUUCUCGCACACGAGUCCACUAACACCACAACAAUACACUAUCGUGGAAUCAUUCCGUCUCCAUACGGAAAUGCCGUCCACGACACUCACGCUUAUCUUGGCAAUUUUAUGAGUAGCCAUUGAAGUUAUCUAUGAACAACAUAUGUCUCCAAGUAGUCCAUAUCCGCGGACGCGGCUAUUCGAAUAGAUCAUAACCCUGCUGGGGUGUACUUCGUCACACACGCUCUCGCCACUUAUCGCCAUGUGCACGUGAUGUACCUCGGCAACCUUCAAGCAGAAGCCCAGCGGGGGAGUCGGCCACGACCGUUAACCACACUAGUACCUAGUCCAGAUUUAUCGCCUAUCUGAGAGUAACCCGUACGGAAGUCCGGCCGAGGUUUNNNNNNNNNNCAUGCACCUCGGCAACCUUCAAGAGGAAGCCCAGCGAGGGAGUCGGCCACGACCGUUAACCACACUAGUACCUAGUCCAGGUUUAUCGCCUAUCUGAGAGUAACCCGUACGGAAGUCCGGCCGAGGUUUCCGCCACGGCCUCAAACGAUGCGCGCAGGGUUCCCAAGCCCACCAUCCGGGUGCCACUUGGUACACCAUGCCACUUCCUACCGCAUCACGGCCCACCUCUCAGGUCAGCACCAUGCACGGCCUCCAGCAUUACUAUAAACACUAGAAACUACUUGCAACUCCUGGACCGAGUACUAAGCGAUUAAUAAGUCGAGAGGGUCAAUUAAGUAUCCCAUCGUGUGGUAGUAUCUAGUGUUGCAUUACAUACAUGGAACUCAGUUCCUAAGGACGGUUCCAAUGAAACAACCCGCCAUGUACNNNNNNNNNNCCAUCCGGGUGCCACUUGGUACACCGUGCCACUGCCUACCGCAUCACGGCCCACCUCUCAGGUCAGCACCAUGCACGGCCUCCAGCAUUACUAUAAACACCAGAAACUACUUGCAAUUCCUGGACCGGGUACUACGCGAUUAAUAGGCCGAGCGGGGUCAUAUUUCAGGGCCCAGCAUGUGGUAGUAUCUAGUCUUGGAAUGCAUACACGGAACUCAGUUCCUAAGGACGGUUCCAAUGAAACAACCCGCCAUGUACUCCUACACAGUCUUUCACUGGUACCUUUACCAAAUCAAGUUCAACACACAACCUUUGCUCACCGAACACAUUCCACAUUUCUGUUCAUAUCCCAGAUGACGGACCAUACACAACUCUAAGCAUAGCAUGCAUAGCAGGAUAAGGCACAUCAUAGUUCAAGCAACUACCAGGUAUGCUUGGUUGCAAGGUUCGGCUAUUUACUGUGACAAGGUUAAGUCAUGCAAAGGAAAUGGGUUCAACUAUCGUGGCAAAAGCAGUUGAAGCAUUUGAUCUUAAAUGCAAUAAAUAGGUGCAGGAGCGAGAACAUGGGAUUUAUCGGGAUGAUCAAAAGGGUUGCUUGCCUUGUUGCUCAGAGGAGGAAUGAUAUCCGUCAGACGGAUAUUCGAUGGAAUCCGGGGGUGCGGAGCCUACCGAAAUGAAUGGCAACAUUCAAUAACAAUCAUAUGCACUCAAAAUGAUGCAUGAGCAUGGCAUGAGAAUGCAAGGUGAUAAGUUAUUAUUUUCAACAUGUAUUAGGUUUAGAGUAGAUUUGAAUCACAUUCAAAUAGCAAUUCAAACGGGGUAUUCUCGGAUACCGUUUUAAUUGAUUCGACCUGAUGCUCAGAUCAACUUGAUGUUAGCAUGCAUGAAAUUUCAUGUUAUGGUACUGAUUUGUAAGUAGGACAGUGUGUGAUCAUUGUAUUCAUAAUGAAAUUUGAAUAAUUUUUCAAAUUCCAUUUUAAAAGUAAUUAUAAGAAUUGAAUUAUUCCUUAUUCCACAAUUUAGGGUUCUGUAACUUUUUCAAACAUAGUUGAAAAUAGCAUAAUCAGAAUCUUUGAAUUUUUCUGAUACUUUUNNNNNNNNNNGGUCAUGCAAAGGAAGUGGGUUCAACUAACGUGGUAAAAGCAGUUGAAGCAUUUGAUCCUAAUGCAAUAAAUAAGUGCAGGAGCAAGAACAUGGGAAUUAUCGGGAUGAUCAAAAGGGUUGCUUGCCUUGUUGCUCAGAGGAGGGACAAUAUCCGUCAGACGGAUAUUCGGUGGACUCCGGGGGUGCGGAGCCUACCGAAAUGAAUGGCAACAAUCAAUAACAAUCAUAUGCAAACAAGAUGAUGCAUGAGCAUGGCAUGAGAAUGCAAGGUGAUAAACUAUUAUAAUCAACAUGUAUUAGGUUUGAAAUUGAUUUGAAUCACAUUCAAAUAUCAAUUCAAACGAGGUAUUCUCGGAUACCGAUUUAAUUGAUUCGACCUGAUGCUCAGAUCAACUUGAUGUUAACAUGCAUGAGAUGUCAAGUUAAGGUACUGAUUUGUAAUUAGGACAGUGUGUGAUCAUGUCAUUCAUAAUGAAAUUUGAAUAUUUUUCCAAAUUCCAUUUAUAAAGUAAUUAUAACAAUUGAAUUAUUCAUUAUUCUACAUGUUAGCGUUCUAUAACUUUUUCAAACAUGAUUGAAAAUAGCAUAUUCAGAUUCUUUGAAUUUUUCUGAUACUUUUUCAUAUAUAAAUUAUUUUCAUUGGAGUUACAUAUUAAUUUCUAUGAUUUUUUUAAGUUUUAAACAUUUCUGGAAUUAUUUCUAUACUGGAAAUUCUCUUUAUUGCGUCAGCCUGACAUCAGCAGGUCAGCCGACCUGUUCAGGUCAAACCUGACAGGGGGGACCCACUGGUUAGCCUCUCUGGGGUUAAACCCGCGCUGACCGGCCCCUUAACUAAGUUGACUUGGCCUUGGGCCCACUGUCAGUGAGAGUUUAAGCGUUUUAAUUACUGGAUUAGCUUGACCACGUCGGUCCUCGCCGGAGGCUGGCCCGCGGCGACCAAAACCGCGGCGGAACCUCGCCGGAGACAUGCUGAAUGCGCUGUGGUGCUCGGAACAGGUAGCUGAGAGCACUGGAGUGAUCUCCAGGCUCGACCACAUCCACUGCUAGCUUCAGGGAGGGCUAUAGGUGGCCGGAGUAAGCCGACGACGAGCCGGGGCGGCGGCCGGAGUACGGGUUUGAAGGUCCAGUUGCUAGGGGGCUCGGAUCCGAGGGGAAAGAGAGGGUAAAUGACCGCAUGCUCACGGGGAGUGCAGAGCAGGGCUUAGACGGCUCGGGGAAGGGCUGUUGCCGGCGUUUCACCGUCGAUUUGCCGGCGGCCGAAGGUGGAAGACGUCGGCGUUGGGGCGAUGCAGAGCUCGGGGAGACUUCGGCUUCUGCAGGGAGGACCAGCUCGACGAGGCAAAGCUGUUGGACUACUCGGAGGGAGGUUCCCGUGGCUAGAGGCGCUGCGGCUCGAGCUCGAGCUCGUGGUAAUGGCGGCAGCAGGAGGGAGGAAAGAUCCGAGAGGGGGGGAACUGGUACUGGGGAAAGGAUAGGGUCGGCCUCGGGGAGGAUAACCCCGUUGUCGCGCUGUCCCGGGGGGCUCUGGAGCUCGCCACGACGAAGCAGGAGGUGGAGGGGGCCGCCGUGGUCGAUCUCCCCUCUGCUAGAAGGCAGAGGAAGAAGACGACCCUGCCCCUGGUGGGCUGGGCCUCCUCAGGCGACAGGUAAGGGUUUUCUUUCUCUUCUAUUUUGUUUCUGUUUUGCUAACUAUUGUUUUGCUAUUUAUUUCAGCUCCAAAAUGGUUUGUAAAACUAUUUUAAACACACCUAAAUAUUUGUUGGAAUAUUUCCAACUAUUUUCAAAGUUUUCAACAUUUUUGAAAAUUUAAAGUUUCUGUUUUCAAAUUUAAUACUUGAAACCAGUAGCUUUUGCAUUUAUUUAAAAUGCUUAAAGUGUCAAGAAAAUAGUUUUCUCCAAUGCUCAUUUACUUUCAUGAUUUAUCAGAAAGUUUGAACAUUUCUUGAGGCCAUUUUGGGUUCAUUGAUUUUAACUAGUUUGAGAUUUCCUUUGUUUAAAGAAGUGGCUAGGGUUUGAGUUUUUCCUUCACCUCUUUCUUUAUUCUUGUUGACAAUUUCUCAGAUGCAAAUGCAAAGAAGACAUGAGCACAAGACUAACUUGCUUAAGGUGUCAGGGAUGUGACACCCUUACUUGGGAGGGAUUCAAGACAUGGCAUAUCAUGGCAUGGCAGGCAUAUAUAAUAAUUCUGCCAGCUAACAAAGGUGUCCCUGAUUUAUUUCAACAACACACAAUAAUAGUAGUAGCACGUAGGCCUCACGGGCUACUCCUUAUAGCGGAAGUAACUCGAUGGAUGAUGAUGGAUCAUGGAAGAACAUAGAUUCCAAUGGCAUCAAUUAGAUCCCCAACACGUCCAAAGAAACCGGUGAUAUGGCCACCAUGAGUCACUGGGCCAUGAAAGGAACCCCUUGAACCAGCAAUACCACAUUCUAUAGUCUGUCCAUUGUUUGUAACAAAUUUGAGAGACGUCACUAUUGACGACACACUACCCCAUCUACCAUAGGUUCCUGAAAUUUCAGUCACAUAUUCCAUGUCUUCAAGGUCCAACUGUGUAAAACAACAAUCAAACAUUUUUAUAAUUUACAGUUAGGACUUCAUAUGGUGAUAAGGGUUACUUACAUAUAUAAAUUGUAUAUAUUAGGUAUUUUAUAAGGUUAAGAUGAUUCACACACCGUGUGCUUGUUCCCACUAGGAGCUCCCCAUACACCCUCUACAUGCUGAUCCCCGGCAUGAUCCUCAUAUGUAAACUUGAUGGAGUGGAUUGCGUCUGCACCAGAAAUUUCCACCCGGGCUAGUCGGUGGGGAGCGUGUCUGACGUCACGAGGCUGGCCUCCGACUCCGCCCCAUAGACCAAUCUUCAGAGGCUCGCUCUGCAAACGUCAUCACACAGAUGUAAAAUCACACAAAGUAUGGAAUGUAUACAUACANNNNNNNNNNNNNNNNNNNNNNNNNNNNNNNNNNNNNNNNNNNNNNNNNNNNNNNNNNNNNNNNNNNNNNNNNNNNNNNNNNNNNNNNNNNNNNNNNNNNGUCUCCCGAACCCGUAGGGUCUACACACUUAAGGUUCGAUGACGCUAGGGUUAUAGGGAAUUGUUAUACGAGAUUACCGAAAGUUGUUCGGAGUCCCGGAUGAGAUCCCGGACGUCACGAGGAGCUCCGGAAUGGUCCGGAGGUAAAGAUUGAUAUAUAGGACGGAUGGUUUCGGACACCGGAAGUGUUUCGGGCAUCACCGGUAACGUACCGGGACCACCGGGACCACCGGAGGUGGUCCCGGGGGACCACCGAAGGGGGGCUGCGACCCCAAGAGGUAAGAUGGGCUAUGUGGGGGUGGGAACCAGCCCCUAGUUGGGCUGGUGCGCCUCCCCACUCAGCCCAUGGCGCAGGGGAAAGAAAAAGAGGGGGGGGGGGGCCCCUAACUUAGGUGGGCCUUAGNNNNNNNNNNUGGACCACCGAAGGGGGGCUGCGACCCCAAGAGGUAAGAUGGGCUAAGUGGGGGUGGGAACCAGCCCCUAGUUGGGCUGGUGCGCCUCUCCACUCAGCCCAUGGCGCAGGGGAAAGAAAAAGAGGGGGGAACCCUAACUUAGGUGGGCCUUAGGCCCACCAGAGGGGUGCGCCACCCCCUCCUCCCCAUCUGGCCGCCACACCCCCCAUCUGGGAGGGCUGCCGCACCCCCUAGGGUGGGAACCCUAGGGGUGGCACCCCCUCUCCCCUUCCCCUAUAUAUAGUGGGCACUUUUGGCCUUUGGAGGACACAGUUUUCCUUCUCCCUCGGCGCAACCCCGCACUUCUCCCUCCUCCUCUCUGCCGGCGCUUGGCGAAGCCCUGCCGGGAGACCUCGNNNNNNNNNNGUGCGCCACCCCCUCCUCCCCAUCUGGCCGCCACUCCCCCCAUUUGGGAGGGCUGCCGCACCCCCUUGGGUGGGAACCCUAGGGGUGGCACCCCCUCUCCCCUUCCCCUAUAUAUAGUGGGCACUUUUGGCCUUUGGAGGAUACAGUUUUCCCUCUCCCUCGGCGCAGCCCUGCACUUCUUCCUCCUCCUCUCUGCCGGCGCUUGGCGAAGCCCUGCCGGGAGACCUCGUCUCUCCACCAACACCACGCCGUCGUGUUGCUGGUCUUCUUCCCCAACCUCUCCCUCCUCCUUGCUGGAUCAAGGUGCGGGAGACGUCACCGGGCUGCACGUGUGUUGAACGCGGAGGUGUCGUUGUUCGGCACUAGAUCGGAAUCGCUGCGAGUACGACUCCAUCAACCGCGUUCUAGCAACGCUUCCGCUUAGCGAUCUUCAAAGGUACGAAGAUGCUCUUACCCCUCUCUCGUUGCUGGUCUCUCCAUAGGAAGAUCUGAACAUGCGUAAGAAAUUUUUUGAAUUCAUGCUACGUUUACCAACAAUACUGUUAAUCAAUCACUACUUACAUUUCACCUUCUCUAGAUGCAACUCAUUGCGGUCGCAUUGAAUACUAAUGGGAUUAUCGUUUGCAAAAUGCGCGAUCCUUCUAGUGAAUCGCCAUAUUUGGAUUAAUUAGCCUAUUAGACUAUUGCACACGGGUUACUAACAUGACCGUCCGUAAUAACAGUUAUGGUAUUCUUCGAGUCCUUCCACACAUAAAAAUUAUUCCGGACAUCGAANNNNNNNNNNGGAAAUUUUUUGAAUUUAUGCUACGUUACCCAACAGUAGCGACGGACGUGCUCCUCGCUGACACGGUGACGUACCACCUCCGCGGUGUCUGGAAGCCUCGGCACCCUCACUGGCCCACGCGACCGCCACCAAACAAGGAUCGGGUCAACGAUGGGCUGGCUCCUCACCAACCUACGCCCCCCGGAAGGUAGCACCUCCCAAUACGAGCCGGGCGGAGCCCAGUCCCGGACUGGGCCCCUCUGAUCAAGAAGGUGUCCUCCGCCGAGUCGACGACGAGGAUGCGGGAUAGGCAUCGUAAAAUGAACUAAAAAAAUAAACUAGUUCUAUUAAUGUUCUUGCUAAAAAUAAACUAUUAACACUUAAGCAUAUACCAUAGCAAAAUUAAACUAUUAACACUUAAGCAUAUACAAUAGCAAAAUUAAGCAAUAAUCUAAGAAACACUAUUAGAACUUAAGCAUAUACACUAUACAAUAGCAAAAGUAAAUGACAAAAAAAUUCUUCUUCUUGUAACCCUAAACUAAUUUUUCCUCUUCUUCUAUUUCUCCUCUUCUUCUACUUCUUCUACUUCUACUUCUCCUCUUCUUGUAGUACUUCUCCUCUUCUCUUCUUCUACUUCUCCUCUCCUCUUCUAAUUUUUUAUCUUCUUCUACUUCUCCUCUUCUUCUAUUUUUCCUCUUCUUCUCCUCUCCUCCUCUUCUUAUUCUCCUGUUUCUUCUUUUCUUCUCCUCCUCUUCUUAUUUUCAUUUUUCCUAAUCUUAUUUUCUUAUUUUUGUUCAUAUUUCUUCUUCUUGUAACCCUAACCUAAUUCUAAAUAUUACUAACCCUAAUAAUCUAGCACAAACCUAAUAACAAUAGGAAUUAAAUAACAAAAAAAUCUUUUUCUUUUUCUUCUUUUCUUCUCCUUUUUCUGCUUUUCUUCUCCUUUUUCUUCCUUUCUUCUCCUUUUUCUUCUUCUCUGCUCCUUUUUCUUCUUUUCUUCUACUAGCCGGAGUGUUGGGGAGGAGGGGCGGGGGGCUUACCGGUCGGAGGUGUCGACGGCGCGCGGCGAGGAGGACGGCAGGCGGCGGCGAGCAGGACGUCGGGCAGCCUGACGGCGUCGUCGAGUUCGUCGGUGUGCCGCGCCGGGUAGGAGAACGAGAGGAAGAAGAAGAGAAAUGGACGAUUUGGGUUGGAAUUUUUUGAAGUCCUGCUUAUAUAGGUGGAACUUUAGUCCCGGUGCGUGGCUCGAACCGGGACUAAAGACCCCCUUUAGUCCCGGUUGGAGCCUCGGCCCGGGACUAAAGCCCCUCAUUUCCCGCCUCCUCGCCUGCCGAAAAGGGGUCUUUAGUCCCGGGGCGUGGCUCCAACCGGGACUAAAGGGGGUCUGUAGUCCCGGGGCGUGGCUCCAACCGGGACUAAAGGCGGUCUGUAGUCCCGGGGCGUGGCUCCAACCGGGACUAAAGCCCCUCCUCGGUUGUACGAUAAGUUUAGUCCCACCUCGCCUAGCGAGGGGGACUAACACUUGUUUAUAAGCCCCGUUGCAGCUUCUCCAUCAAGCUCCUCUCUAAAGCAGGCUUACGGGCCUAAACUUACUGAAAAUUGUAACUAUAUUAGAAAUUAUAGGGAAAAUACAAUCUAAAUUCAAAUGAGAAUUUAGAUUGAAUUUUCUCUAUGAUUUCGAAUAUAGUUUCAAUUUUUUCUAUUUUCAUAAUUAAUAAUUUUGACUAUCCAAACUAUUAUCUAUUUUGUUAUUUUCUAUUAAAAACCAUGUUUAUUAAAAAAUUCUUUUUGCAUAUUUGAGAAUUUGACAAAACUAUGAUAAUGAGAAGUGUUUCAAAUUGAAUAAAUAAUGCAAAACUAUUUUUUAUUUUCAUAAUUAAUAAUUUUGACUAUCCAAACUAUUAUCUAUUUUGUUAUUUUCAAUUAAAAACUAUGUUUAUUAAAAAUUAUUUUUGCAUAUUUGAGAAUUUGACAAAACUAUGAUAAUGAAAAGUCUUUCAAAUUGAAUAAAUAAUGCAAACUAUUUUUUAUUUUCAUAAUUAAUAAUUUUGACUAUCCAAACUAUNNNNNNNNNNAAAAAGUGUUUCAAAUUGAAUAAAUAAUGCAAAAAUAUUUUUUAUUUUCAUAAUUAAUAAUUUUGACUAUCCAAACUAUUAUCUAUUUUGUUAUUUUCAAUUAAAAACCAUGUUUAUUAAAAAUUCUUUUUGCAUAUUUGAGAAUUUGACAAAACUAUGAUAAUNNNNNNNNNNNNNNNNNNNNNNCAUCUCUUACAAAGGGAUUUCAGUGUUUUGAACUUAUUUGAACUCCAUACUUUUUGUGUGUUCAAAAUGCACCAUUCAAAGGCACAUCACAAAAUUUCAACAAUUUUGACUUCAUUUGGUAUAUUUCAUGGAUUUACUUAUUUUUUUUGAGCUAGUUGACCCUGAAAUUGAAAAGCACUACAAAUGAACUCUGAAAAUGUUGAAAGUUGGCAUGCUAUCAUCAUUUCACCCACGUAGCAUGUGUUAAAAAGUUGAGAGGGCUACGACAAAAACUGGAUGCAGUUCGUGUACAAAACGGAUAAUCUCUCUCAAAGUAGCAGUGUUUCGAACGAGAACUCAUCUCUUACAAAGGGAUUUCAUUUUUUGAACUUAUUUGAACUCCAUACUUUUUGUGUGUUCAAAAUGCACCAUUCAAAGGCACAUCACAAAAUUUCAACAAUUUUGACUUCAUUUGGUAUAUUUCGUGCAUUUACUUAUUUUUUUGAGCUAGUUGACCCUGAAAUUUAAAAGCACUACAAAUGAAUUCUGAAAAUGUUGAAAGUUGGCAUGCUAUCAUCAUUUCACCCACAUAGCAUGUGUUAAAAAGUUGAGAGGGCUACGACAAAAACUGGAUGCAUUUCGUAUACAAAACGGACAAUCUCUCUCGAAGUAGCAGCGUUUCGAACGAGAACUCAUCUCUUACAAAGGGAUUUCAUUUUUUUGAACUUAUUUCAACUCCAUACUUUUUGUGUGUUCAAAAUGCACCAUUCAAAGGCACAUCACAAAAUUUCAACAAUUUUGACUUCAUUUGGUAUAUUUCAUGCAUUUACUUGUUUUUUGAGCUAGUUGACCCUAAAAUUGAAAAGCACUACAAAUGAACUCUGAAAAUGUUGAAAGUUGGCAUGCUAUCAUCAUUUCACCCACGUAGCAUGUGUUAAAAAUUUGAGAGGGCUACGAAAAAAACUGGAUGCAGUUCGUGUACAAAACGGACAAUCUCUCUCGAAGUNNNNNNNNNNUGCAGUUCGUGUACAAAACGGACAAUCUCUCUCGAAGUAGCAGGGUUUUGAACGAGAACUCAUCUCUUACAAAGGGAUUUCAUUUUUUUGAAAUUAUUUGAACUCCAUAAUUUUUGUGUGUUCAAAAUGCACCAUUCAAAGGCACAUCACAAAAUGGACAAUCUCUCUCGAAGUAGAAGCGACCCCCACAAUAAGAGACGACAUUCUUCUUCUCUCAUAUAUGGUGGACACUAGCUCACCUGAUUUUUCAACCGUCGAUGAUGGUCGCUACUCCUACUUCCCCUAGUGCAUAACCAAUAUCUAGCACAAUAAGAAGAAGGAGAAGCGAUCCCCACAACAAGAGUGGUUCCGCGGCACGCCACGUGGUUCCGCUGCACGCCACGUGGGACUAAUGGUCUUUCAUUUUUAAAUGACUGUUUUAAUCAAAAACAGAUCUGUUACAAAAGGGAUUUCAUUUUUUGAACUUAUUUGAACUGAAGACUUUUUGUAUAUAUAUGUGGUCGAAAUGCAUGAUACCAUGAAGUUAGAAAGGGCUAAACCAUUCAAAAGUAGCAAAUGAAAUUAGAAAGGGCUAAACCAUUCAAAUUUGGAAACUAUAAUGGCACAAACAGAAACUAGACAUAUAUAAAUUGGUCCAAGAAGUACAUGAUACUAGUCCAAACAGUACAUAAUAAUAGCUACCAUAGAUAUAUAUACAAGUGUUCGACGUUCAGAACACUACUCGUCUGAAUCAUCUAAAUCAGAAUGUCCACCUUCCUCGAGGUGACGCUGGCCAUAGUGGACGACUUGAAUCUUGCGGUACAACUCGUAUGAAACGUAUGCAUCUUUUGCUGCAUACUCAAUGUUGAUAUCAUCAAGUGGGCCCUUCUCCCAAAGUUUGUGCUGAGACUUUGGGAAACUGGUCUUCAUAUCAGCAUAUGAAUCGUCGACCAAGGCAACUGCCAUAUGAGCCAUCGAAGUCCUGUCAUGUCGAAGCGUGAAUAUCGUUUGGAGAUCAACGAGGCAACCAGGUGGUAUCUCAAUACCGAAGCUGUGCCUCAUCUUCAGCUUGUCGUUCCUUAUGUCAACGGAAGCAAAAGUGAUGCCGCUGCGAAGGAAGUCCAUGAGUUCUGGACAAUGCUUGUCACUCCUGCAACAGAAAAAAAUUAAAAUGGAACAAAUGUUACAUACUGCUGCAAUAAGGAAACAUGUUUCACUACAACUAAAGAGAAAAUUAUCUUUAGGAUUCAAAUAGAACAUAUGCAAUGGAACCUAGAGAGAUCACUAUAGCUAUCCAAUGGAACCUAGAGAGAUCACUAGCUAUAUGCAAUUUUCAUGACUAUGACAUAUCAUAUUGCUAUCCAAUGGAACCUAGAGAGAUCACUAGCGAUAUUCAAUUUUCAUAACCUUGGAUCAAAGAACACCGCAUAAAAUUGUAUCACUACAACUAUGAUUUCAAUGGAACAUAUUGAACCAAUCAGAUUUUUCAGAUUGUGGAACACUAUUCCAAUCAGAUUGUGUUCCCUUCAACUAAUCAAAAUUGUUUCACUACAACUAUUUGAAGCGAACCAACUAUGAUUCCAAUGGAACAUAUUAAACACUAGUUGAUUCUANNNNNNNNNNCAAUUAGUUUGUGCUCCCCUUCAACUAAUCAAAAUUGUUUCACUACAACUAUUUGAAGGGAACCAACUAUGAUUGAAACAAAUAAACUUACAAUGCCAUUAUCUUGGAUCAAAGAAAGCCUCAAAACUUACCUCGCCCAUUGAAAGAUCAAGACAUGGCGUGCGAAGCAUAGUUGGAUGACGGCAACACCGCGUUGAUCGGUCGUGUACUCCAGAUCAAGCCCCAAGAACUUCUCAUGAUCCACUACGUGGUCCAACCAUCGUUCCUUCAACUGUUGAAGAAAAAAGGCACCUCCCUGCUCAGGUUCGUGUACAUGACACGGAGCUUGGUCGUGCCAUGUGCGAGCACCUCAUGAAAGCUAGUUGGCAUGGUGGAAGAAGAGAAGGGAAGAAGAGAGGAGAAGAACAGAGAGGGCGACGCGAGAGAGAAGAAGAAACAGAGAAAUGGCGACUGUACGCUUCGGUUCGUGCUUUUCAUCGCCCGAAACGACGCGGGAUGCAAACCGUUUGGGCCUUUAGUCCCGGGUUGAGCCACCAACCGGGACUAAAGAGGUAUACCAAACGGUUGCCACCACUACGACAGGGCACGUGUUAGGCCUUUAGUCCCGGGUUGAGCCACCAACCGGGACUAAAGAGGUAUACCAACGGUCUCCACCACUACGGCGGGCCACGUGUUAGUCCUUUAGUCCCGGGUUGAGCCACCGACCGGGACUAAAGGGGGAUACGAACGGUUGCCACCACCACUGCCCACCGCGUAGCCCUUUAGUCCCGGUUUGGGAAACGAACCGGGACUAAAGGCUCCUUACGGGACGGGACUAAAGCCUCGAGGGAGGCAUUGAGAAUUGGGGCGACGUGGCCGGGCCUUUAGUCCGGGCCCAGAGGCAGGCCGGGACUAAAUGGUCCCGGCCAAAGGCCCGUUUUCCACUAGUGUAUACAGUGUAUCCAAUGGUAUGGUAGGCUUCGUCCUUGAGCUGUAAAUUAUCCUCAAUGCAUCUAUGUGUUAACAUUUUCCUCAAUGCAAAUCGAUCUAAGUUGUUAUGAUGUCGCAAUGCAAGAAGAAACCUUUUUGUAUAAGCCAUUGUAACUCAGUCUUACUGGAUAAUUGUCACAAUAUACUAUUUGUUUAUCUCUGUUGUACGUGGAAUUUCAGCAGAGUGUCUCAAUAGUAAUGUCAACCAAACACAAGCUUGAUCAGACCUAAACUUUCCACUCGUCCUUCUCAUGAAAUUUAUUACAUAAAAAAAAACAAUAGCAGGUUGUUUCCAUUUCUAUUUUGCUGUAGACUGUGUUAAAGGAAGACCAUAUAAAAUAUCUCUGAAAUGAUGUUGCUAUUGCAGACGGACUUCAAAGUUUUUGAAGUGCCUUAUAGUGUCUAUCUUUUUCUUUGGUGCCAACUGCAUAACUAAACUGUACUGAACAAAAUUUUAAAUAGAUAGCUACUCUAACCGGCAUUGGUGUGAUUUUCACUCCUUAGUAUUAAGAAUGUGCAAAUUUCCUUCCACCACUGAUUAGAACAUGAAGACCUGAACAACAGCAAGCAAAUUGGGGUAUAAAACUGUGAAGAAAUGGAACCCAAUCAGUACAUGAGUGUGUAUACAGAGAAAUAAAUGAAUACAACACAGUGAUGAAUAAAUACAUCAGGUGGUAUAUAUCAUCAUCCAAGCUCUGCAACUGAUUUGUCACAUGAUAUGAUGGGCAUGGCUGCUGUUAUCAAAAAGAAGAACCCGACUGAACAUACGAAAAAAAUCAAAUCAAAUCAAAUCAUGGAAGAUAUGGGACAAAUAAAUGACAAAUCAAGAAAUUACUUGUUGGUACGGCAUUUCCCAUGUUUCUGUGGCUUUGUCGAAACCCCAUAAAAAUGACGAUCAAGAACAGCCAAUUGGAUGGUCCUCUUCAUGGCAGUUUCUUUCCCGUAAUCUAGCGAGGAACAUCUGUAUUGUGUCAUUGAGGAGAUAGACGGCUGGAUAUAAUAUGAACAAUUUUUUGGCACUUCCACCAAAUACUUCAAUCAGUUUGAAGCAAGGAAAGGGCUAUCAUGCCGAAAACUUGCAUAGUGCUAAUGGUAAGUGCAACAACCUAGGUCCAUAUAGCCUGACAAACCUGUGUAAGAGAAUAAAUUAGUAACAUGCAAGUAUAUUUAUUACUAACAGUUACGAAUAUUCCUCAUUUCCUCUAGUGUACAUGCCUGCACCUGCAGUUUACAACCCUAAAUAAUAGUCUACUGCAUCUGUACUUAUCAGUUUUUGUUACAAAUAAACAUGUACUGCAGUCUCUUUAGUUUACAAAAAUAUUGGAUCCCUAUUUCAGUGGAUGCAGCAAACGCAAGUGUUUGUACCUUAGUAAAAGAUCAAUCUCGUCCUUGGCCAUGUGUUUGCUGAUGAGGUUCAAGCCGUGUUGUUUAUAGGGCAUGCCUAUUGGCCACACAUGUCUUUCUCCCAUGGCCCAGUUUGACCGUUUGAAACCUCUGCAUUAUCCACCAUGGUCCUUUGUCAGCAUCAUCUUUUAUCUCUUCAUCGACGAACUUUCUGUUUCUAGUGUCGGGGUUCAAUUUUUGUUAUGUCGACUAAGGAGAGAAUACACCACACUGAGCGAUGGUUUUGUGGCAUAAAUUACCAUUGCUAUGUAUAUGACCAGCAGGUGGCAGCAUCUAGUCGAGAAAAACAGGAAUCAAACAAAUGUAAGAUAUAUUAACCGAGCAAUCUCUCUUCUCGAGGAGUCUCACAAGAUAUGUAUUCACCUGAAACAAACAUCAGUUUUUAAAUAUGAUUUUGAGAAACUUAGGUAAUCUUGUCUCUAAUUACCUUAAGAAAUAUCAACAAUAAUACGAUAGGAAAUGAGGCAUACUAACUGUUAUUUCUCACUCAUGAACAAAUUGCUCAAUCUGCAGCUAAAGGAUGAAUAACAAAUAAUCUAUGGAUAUGCCUACACUUUAUAUGCGUUUAAGCAUAAUGAAUAUAUAUUCCAGACUUGCAAGAAUAAUAAGAACAUAUUCAACGACACAUACCAUAUACAGAUUGUAUGACAACAAUCAGAUCUUUCACACCUCAACCAAGAAAUAGCCCUCUACUGAAAGAUUAUUUGAUAUACAAAAAGGAGAAAAAUAUUCGCAACCGAUCUCCAUGCCCCCUCCAUAGAUUCAAAAAGAAAAAGAAAAGAAAUCAUAUCAACAUAUAGUUUUGCUAAAUAUGAGAAAUUAGUCGAAAACCUCAUGCAAGAUAGGCAUCAAUGUCUUUCUUUAUGAAAAGGCCGUCGGAGAAAAUAUCGAUUAACGUUAGGAGAAGGGUUACAGCCUUGAAGGUUAUCCCGGAACCCUUGGCAGCAUCCUUGAGAUAGUUGCUUAAUUACUUUAAACCUGAGCUUGAUGCCUCCCGCACUGACGACCACAUGUACAGGUAGAACCACAAGAAUCUUUUCUCUUUCAGUCUGAGAGUUGGCUGGGCAUAUAACUGAGAUCAGGGGCAUAGAGCUUCUGAGUAUAGGUUUCCACAUGUACAGGUUUCCCAUGUGCGGGUGUUAUCACCUUUGUGCGCCUGCAUCCGAGGAUGACAGAUAAGCCGCCAGGUUUGUGUACUUUCAGAUCUGGCGGGGAGAUCAAUCAAGUGUUGAGCCUGUAUACUUCCGUAUCUUGACUGAAGAUCACCGCCAAGAGCAGCGUGAAGAUGGUUGACGGCGUGGAUUUCACUGGAUUCGGCAAGAUGCCUGAAGGUCACCGGCAAGAACAGCGCGAGGAUAGCCGGCGACGUGGGAUUUGAUGGCAUGAGUAUCACUCGAGCAGGAGAGUAUCGUGUGGCGGCGAAUGAGAGAUUAGUAGAAAGUUUUUCUUUUCUUUUCCAAUGAUUAGGGAUAGGGCAGUUUUUCAGGGCAGGUUUAUGAAUAACUCAGAGAUUUAAUGGUCGUGACUUGUAGGUAUUGUUCUUUUUUCCGAGGAUAUGUACGUAUUGUUCAAUGUUUAAUCUUUAUAACUAUUGUUCAAUGGUUUUCAAUCUGAGUCGUUCUAGUUUCGACCCAUAAAAUUGACGGUUGUGAUUUUUUUCUUUUUCUUCAAUUAAUUAGAUUAAAUCUGGCCGUUAUAACUCGGUCCCAUCAAGAUUAACGGCUCCUAUUUACUAAUUAACGUGGUAAUUUCUAGGGAGUCUUUAAUUAGUAUAAGAUAAGAGUAUAGAGUAUAGAUUGUGGUCGUCCUAAUUUGAUGUACUAGUGUUGGACCUUUCCUAUGUGACUCCUGACUAGUAUGAUCAGACAUGAUCAGUACGUUAGUUAUGUGCAGCUUCCGUAUGCUUAAUGUUGGUAAAAUUUGCUGCAGUUUUAUAUCAAGCUCGUUCCUGCAUUUUUAUUUUCGGCUACUGAAUUUUCGCUCCUGGCUAAUCGACAGAGAGGGAAAUAUUCUGUGGUGCACAACUCGCUGCUCAACUAAAACAUUUGUUUAGUUUUGCCAUCUCGAAUUGUUACUUGUUGUUCCGUAGCUGAAUUCGGAAGGAGUAAAAGCAAUCUGUAUUUGUGUUAUCUCUUGUCUCAAAUUCAGAGCUUGAAACUUAAGUUUGUGAUUCACCAGUUUCUGGCCUUGGAGCCGGGGAAAUACACUUGACUUACUUUUGUACUAUAGUAUAUAAAUUUUCAAUAAAUAAACCAACAUUGACUUUACAGCGAAAAAGACAAAAAACAUUUGUUACUAGUCGUCAACCCGUGUAUCCACUAGUAGAAAAAGGCUGAUUUGUUCCAGUUUCAGAGACCCAUUAGCCCCGGUUUUUGAACCGAGACUAAAGGGUCGGGACUAAAGGCCCAAACCUUUAGUCCCGGUUGGCUUAUGGACCGGGCCUAAAGAAGCUUCACGUGGCCGCUGCGGGGAGCCUAGGCAGGAGGAACUUUAGUCCCGGUAGGUCACACCAACCGGGACCAAAUUGGGGGGGGNNNNNNNNNNNNNNNNNNNNNNNNNNNNNNNNNNNNNNNNNNNNNNNNNNNNNNNNNNNNNNNNNNNNNNNNNNNNNNNNNNNNNNNNNNNNNNNNNNNNCGUUUGGACACCGUUUAAAAUCCUCCUCUGAAAAGGGUCAAAAACACGGAAAAAACAGGAAGUGGCACUUGGCACUAAGUUUAUAAGUUAGUCCCAAAAAAGAUAUAAAAGGCAUACAAAACAUCCAAAGUUUAACAAGAUAAUAGCACGGAACCAUAAAAAAUUAUAGAUACGUUGGAGACGUAUCAGAGUUGGAUGCCUACCUUGGAGCAAUAGAGCCCCAGAGCGCCCUUGGCGAAGUUAGUGUUGUUGUCGGUGAUGAUGCUGUGGGGGACGCCAUAUCGAACAGAGAUGUCUGUGAUGAACCUGACAGCCAUGGAGCCAUCAAGCUUCUUGAUGGGCCUAACUUCAAUCCACUUGGUGAAUUUGUCGACGGCCACCAAGAGGUCAGUCAUGCCACCACGAGCCGUCUUGAAAGGCCCCACCAUGUCCAGCCCCCAGACAGCGAAAGGCCAUGACAAGGGGAUGGUCUUGAGGGCCGAAGGAGGCAUGCGGCUCUGCGUGCCAAAGAAUUGGCAGCCCUCGCAUUUGUUGACCAAGUCCACGGCCUCCUCGAGGGCCGUGGGCCAGUAGAAUCCAUGGCGGAAUGCCUUGGCCACUGACGCCAGCUGUGCUUCCCUGGCAAUGGCGCCAGAAAAGUGUUGAUCCUGCAAUCUCUAGUGUUAGCUAGACGAAUGCUUAUGACAACGAACCUUCUCCUGCAAUGGCACCAGAAGAAUGCUACUAGCACUCCCCAACAAUGAAACUGGAAGAAUGUUGUUGAUGGCCCACCAGCGCGUGGGUUCGCAACAGUUUUCGAGGGUAGAGUAUUCAACCCAAUUUAUUGGUUUGCACAUCGGGAGGUGAGAGUAUACUCUCAACUAUUAGCAACUGAAUUUGUCGGAUUCAACCACACUUGAAAGAUUAGUAUCUGCAAGCACAGUAGUAACAGCAGAGUAAUAUGAUAACAACGGUGUCAAAAACGAUCUGUUGACAGCAGACUAUUCCUAACAAUUGUAUCAAUGGGGCCUUCGUUGCCGCGUUGACGGAAGUUGUCAAUUCCCGUCAACGGUAGGUAAACCAACAGUGUAGCAGGUAGUAGCAGUGUAACGAGCAAUAGCAGUGGCAAGGAACAGCAGUAGUAACAACAGUAGCAAGUAGCAACAGUAGCAAGCGACAAUAGUAGCAACAAUAGCGGCAGAGCAAGACAAGUAACAGCAGUAGCAACAGUAGCAGCAGCAGCAGAGCAAGACAAGUAACAUUAGUAGCAACAGUAGGACAAACUCGUAGGCAAUGGGUCGGUGAUUUGUUUGGAUGAUAUUCAUCAUGCAACAGCUAUAACACGGAGAGAUAUGUGGCUAGCUCACGUUCGUCAAUGUGAUGUAGGCAUGCAUUCCAUGUGUCGACAUACGUGCUUAGGGAAAAGAACUUGCAUGACAUCUAUUGUCCAUCCCUCCCGUGGCAGCGGGGUCCAAAAGAAAACUAUGGGAUAUUAAGGUUCUCCUUUUAAUAAAGAACCGGACCAACGCAUUAGCACUUGGUGAACACAUGAACUCCUCAAACUAUGGUUAUCACCGGGAGUGGUUCCGGUUAUUGUCACUCCGGGGUUGCUGGAUCAUAACACAUAGUAGGUAACUACAACUUGCAAGAUCGGAUCUACAACACACAUAUAUUGGUGACAACAUAAUAAUUUCAGAUCUGAAAUCAUGGCACUAGGGCCCUAGUGACAAGCAUUAAGCAUGGCAAAGUAGUAGCAACAUCAAAUCUCAGAACAUAGUGGAUACUAGGGAUCAACCGCCAUCAAAACUAACUCGAUUACAUGAUAGAUCUCAUCCUACUCAUCACCGCCAGCGAGCCUNNNNNNNNNNNNNNNNNNNNNNNNNNNNNNNNNNNNNNNNNNNNNNNNNNNNNNNNNNNNNNNNNNNNNNNNNNNNNNNNNNNNNNNNNNNNNNNNNNNNUCUAUAUAUGAUAUAAAGUAUAAUAAUUGGGCACAUGAUUCUUCAAAGAAACAAAUUUGAUUUCUCUCGGCUAGGUAGAUUCAAAUCCCGAGAGACAGACUUAAUGGAUAUGUUGGAUGUUUAUCUUUUCCAAACUUUAACAAAUAAACUCAUCCUGAGUGUACCACUAAAGAAUCAUGAAAAUCUUUUCGUGCGUACUUUUUAUUUUACAUUGCAUAUGCAUGUAUUUUCUUUCUCACACGUUUGUUAAAGACAAACUAACUGAUGGUUGUGUUUCAUGAAGUUAAUGGCUCAUGCAUUCAGUCAUGAGUUUUUACUGUUGGGACUCAUGAAUCAUAUAUUUUUCACCUUUUUCUAUUGAUGAUAACGAGAGAUGUAUUUUUAAGGUCAUAAGUGUCAACCCUUGCAUGUUCACCCUUAAUGUCCUACUAGUCAACUAAUGUUUUAUAGUACAAUGCCGGCCUCUUAUAAUGGUAAUCAAUCACUACUUACAUUUCACCUUCUCUGGAUGCAACUCACUGCGGUCGCAUUGACUACUAAUGGGAUUAUCGUUUGCAAAAUAUGUGAUCCUUUUAGUGAAUCGCCAUUUUUGGAUUAAUUAUCCUAUUAGACUAUUGCACGCGGGUAACUAACAUGACCGUGUGUAAUAACAGCGAUGGUAUUCUUCGAGUCCUUCCACACAUAAAAUUAUUCCGGACAUCGAAAUCUAAAUAUUUGAUGCCCCGCCCCCUACAAAAUAGGGCAAAAGGAAAAAAAAUAUUUUUUUCAAAAGAAUGUACAGAAUACAUGGCAUAGACGAAUGGGGAUAUUUCCAUCAUAUGUGUAUGGAAAUCCACAAAACCGAAUGGGCACGCAAACUGGAAUAACAGAAGUAUGGUACUUUUUAGUUCGACAUAUCUUAUUGCUAAUGAGAGGUAAUCAUAUCUUGUUGUCAUGCAUGGGGGCUCAUAGAAUGUCUAUACGUGCACACAUCAUUAUUGAAUUUAUGUCCUACAAAAUUUAUCUCAACCUUUUUUUAUAGAUGCACGAUAUAGAUAGAAAAUUUUUGUCAUGUAAACAAUGUGAGCUCACCAGAUGUCCACGUGUAACAACUCCAAUUGUCAACCGGUGUGAUCGCUAACUAACCCACUCUUAAAGAAUUUGGCAUGCUAUAUCUCGUCUUUGGAAUUCACACUUCGCCUUGUGUUAUUAUUUACUAAAACUAGCUAGCAUGCAAUUGUUAACCACAUCCCCUGAGUUGUUCUCUAGGGAAUCCUAUUUUUGUCUUGUGAAAAAGGUCCAUUUUUCACAUUGUACAACAAAAACUUCUUUAUGUGAUAUAAAGUAUAAGAAAUGGGUGCUGGAUUCUUCAAAUAAAGAAAUUCAUUUUUUUCUUGACUAGGUAGAUUCUAGAUCCGAAAGACGGACUUAAUGGAUAUGUUGGAUGUUUGUCUUGUUCUGCAAAUAAACUCGUCCUGAGUGUACCACUAAAAAAUCAUGAAAAUAUUUUUUUGCGUACUUUUUUGUUUUGUCAUUGCAUAUGCAUGUAAUUUGUUUUCACGCAUCGUAUGUUAAAGACAAACUAACAUAUGGUUGUGUUUCAUGAAGUUAAGGGCUCGUGCAUUCAGUCAUGAUUCUUUAAUGUUGGGACUCGUGAAUCAUAUAUUCCAUUCCCAACUGCACGUACAUACCAUCUACAAGAUGCUCAUGAUUUGACAUGUCUUUCGGAUGCAAGAUCGGUAAGAUGACCCAUCCAUGAUGUUCAUUGUGCGGGUUGUGUAAAAUCGAUACCGUCACGGGUGUAUCCCUAGAGAAUAUGUUUUUUCAUGUAAUCGUUUUGAGUGUGGUUAGAUUUGAAUUUAUUUUUUUUUCUUUCACAUAUGCCACACCGACACAAAAUGAUUUGCACUUUNNNNNNNNNNNNNNNNNNNNNNNNNNNNNNNNNNNNNNNNNNNNNNNNNNNNNNNNNNNNNNNNNNNNNNNNNNNNNNNNNNNNNNNNNNNNNNNNNNNNAUAACACAAGUAUACGAAGUAUACAGAUUGCUACAGACUGGUCUGUUUUUGACAGAUUCUAUUUUUGUUGAGUUGGUUGCUUGUUUUGAUGAAACUAUGGAUAGUAUCAGGGGGUAUUAGCCAUGUAAAAGUGAGAAUAUGGUAAUCUAACACCAAUAUAAAUAGAAAUCAAGAUUCCUACAGUACCUAAAGAGGUGGUAGCUUGUUUUCUUGUGCUAAUGAUAUCACGAGUUUUUGUUUAAGUUUUGUGUUGUGAAGUUUUCAAGUUUUGGGUGAUGUACUCAUGGACAAAGAGAUAAGGAAUGUAAAGAGCUCAAGCAUGGGGAUGCCCAAGGCAUCCCAAGCCAAAUUCAAGGACACCAAAAAGCCUAAGUUUGGGGAUGCCCCGGGAAGGCAUCCCCUCUUUCGUCUUCAAUCCAUCGGUAACAUUACUUGGAGCUAUAUUUUUAUUCACCACAUGAUAUGUGUUUUGCUUGGAGCGUCUUGUAUCGUAGGAGUAUUUUCUUUUUGUUGUGUCACAAUAAUCCUUGCUGCACACCUUUUGAGAGAUACAUGCACUCAUCGUGAUUUUGCUAGAAUGCUCACCGUGCUUCACUUAUAUCUUUUGAGCUAGAUAAUUUUGCUCUAUGUGCUUCACAUAGAUCUUUUAGAGCACGGCGGUGCGUGACUUGGUAGUUGGCUUGUGCUAUGGAAGUAGUCCCGAAGGUGAUAGGUACCCAAAGAGGAUACAAAAACCUCCAUCUUCAUGUGCAUUGAGUAGAAAGAGAAGUUUUGGUUCCUCUCAAUUAGUUUUGAGACGUGGAUUUGGUAACAUUAAGAGUUAUGUUAGUAGGGUGUUGUGAAUCUAGAAAUACUUGUGUUGAAGUUAGUGAUUCCCAUAACAUGCCUUGUGUUGAAGUUAGUGAUUCCCGUAACAUGCACGUAUGGUGAACCGUUAUGUUAGGAAGUCGGAGCAUAAUUGAUCUAUUGAUUGUCAUCCUUUGUGUUGCGGUCGGGAACGCGCGAUGGUUAACACCUACCAACCCUUCCCCUAGGAGUAUGCGCUUAGCACUUUGUUUCGAUUACUAAUAAAAACUUUUGCAACAAGUAUGUGAGUUCUUCAUGACUAAUGUGAGUCCAUGGUAUAGAUGCACUUUCACCUUCCACCAUUUCUAGCCUCUCUAGUGCCGCGUAAUUUUCGCCGGUGCACAAACCGACCAUAUGCCUUGCUCAAAACAGCCACAAUACCUAUCUAGUAUGGCAUUUUCAUAGCCAUUCCGAGAUAUAUUGCCAUGCAAAUCCCACCGUUACGUCUCAUGACUUGUGCCGUCCUCUCAUAUUGCCAUUGCAUGAUCGUAAGAUAACUAGCGAGAUGUUUCAACGUCAUACGCCAAGCUAGAUCGUUGCACAUGAGGGUACACUGCCGGAGGCAUUUCCUAUAGAGUCAUCAUCGUUCUAAGCUUUGAGUUGUGAGUAAAUAAAAGUGUGAUGAUCNNNNNNNNNNNNNNNNNNNNNNNNNNNNNNNNNNNNNNNNNNNNNNNNNNNNNNNNNNNNNNNNNNNNNNNNNNNNNNNNNNNNNNNNNNNNNNNNNNNNAAUAGCAUGAAACCAUCAAAAAUUAUAGAUACGUUGGAGACGUAUCACCCCACUACCAAAAAAUGUUUUAUGGUGUUUACCUUGCUGCAAAGAAGUUGAAGCAAUACUUCCAAGAGCAUGCUAUCACCAUGGUGAGCACUGCCCGCUUUCAGAAAUCAUGGGCAACCGUGAUGCAACUGGCAGGAUUGCCAAGUGGUCCAUCGCCAUGGUGGAUCACAAUAUCCGCUACGAGCCUCGCACCGCCAUCAAAUCUCAGGUGGUGGCCGACUUCUUGGUCGAAUGGGGUGAAACCCAUUUCGAGCCACCACCUCCAGACUCUACGCAUUGGCGGAUGCACUUCGACGGCUCAAAGAUGCGGACUGGUCUGGGAUCCAGCAUCGUCUUGACGUCUCCGAAAGGAUACCAGCUCAAGUAUGCUCUCCAGAUCCACUUCGCCACCUCCAACAACGUCGCCGAGUACGAAGCACUCGCUCAUGGCCUCCGGCUCGCCAAGGAGAUUGGCAUCCGUCGGCUCAUCUGCUUCGGCGACUCAGACCUGGUGGUGCAGCAAGUUUCUGGCGAAUGGGACGCCAAGGACGCCAACAUGGCGAGCUACCGCUUCCUCAUCCAGCAGCUUAGCGGCCCCUUCGAGGGUUGCGAGUUCCACCAUGUUCCCAGGGCACACAACGAGGCGGCUGAUACAUUGGCCAAGAUUGGCUCCAUGAGGCAGGCUAUCCCAGCCGGGGUCUCCUUCGAGCAGCUCCACAAGCCGUCUAUCAGGCCGUCUCCAGAGUCGGCAUCGAUCUUCGUGCCGGCUGAUUCUUCAGUGCAAGCGAUGUCGGCUCCACCAGCUACACCGGCUAUAGCUCCUGUGCCGGCUACACUGGCUCUGCUGACUCCAAUUGCGGCACCGGCUGAAUCUUCGGUGCAAGCGCCGUCGGCUCCACCAGCUACACCAGCUACAACUCCUGUGCCGGCUACGCUGGCUCUGCUGACUCCAAUUGCGGCACGGGCUGAAUCUUUNNNNNNNNNNNNNNNNNNNNNNNNNNNNNNNNNNNNNNNNNNNNNNNNNNNNNNNNNNNNNNNNNNNNNNNNNNNNNNNNNNNNNNNNNNNNNNNNNNNNNNNNNNNNNNNNNNNNNNNNNNNNNNNNNNNNNNNNNNNNNNNNNNNNNNNNNNNNNNNNNNNNNNNNNNNNNNNAGGGGGUGGACGUCAUGGGGGUAGACGGCGAGCUAGCCGCCACGACGGCAUCAGAGACACCUUGUCUCGAGCCCAUGACUACUGCUUCAUAGAGCGCGGGGGCUACAAAAGCCCCUGACAGUGAGGUCGAGACGGAGCCAGCCCUUGUGUCGGCUCCGUCAUGGGCUCAACCCAUCCUGGCCUUCCUCCUUCGCGGCGAACUUCCUCAAGACGAGGCGGAGGCAAGGCAGAUCCAGCGCAGAUCUGCAGCCUACGCCAUCAUCAAUCGCGAGCUUGUUCGGCGUAGCGUGACUGGCGUAUUCCAGCGCUGCGUUGAAUCAGAAAAGGGACAGGAGAUCCUCAGAGACAUUCACCAGGUGGAGUGUGGGCAUCAUGCCGCCUCUAGAACCCUGGUGGCUGAUACGUCGCCAUCGUAUCUACUUUUCCAAACUCUUUUGCCCUUGUUUUGGACUCUAAUUUGCAUGAUUGGAAUGGAACUAACCUUGACUAACGUUGUUUUCAGCAGAAUUGCCUUGGUGUUAUUUUUGUGCAGAAAUCAAAGUUCUCCAAACAUGCUAAAAAUUUACGGGGAGCAGUUUUGGAAAAUAAGAAAAANNNNNNNNNNNNNNNNNNNNNNNNNNNNNNNNNNNNNNNNNNNNNNNNNNNNNNNNNNNNNNNNNNNNNNNNNNNNNNNNNNNNNNNNNNNNNNNNNNNNGCUUACUAUAGUUGUUUCCGACGAUAGUUGACGGUAGACGGAGUAUUCGGUGUUGGAGCGGAAGACCUCGAAGACCCCGAGAACUUACGUGAGCAAGGCAAGCAGCCCUGUGACCAUGACUUGAGCACAUACAUUGAUGCAGGCUAGACNNNNNNNNNNNNNNNNNNNNNNNNNNNNNNNNNNNNNNNNNNNNNNNNNNNNNNNNNNNNNNNNNNNNNNNNNNNNNNNNNNNNNNNNNNNNNNNNNNNNNNNNNNNNNNNNNNNNNNNNNNNNNNNNNNNNNNNNNNNNNNNNNNNNNNNNNNNNNNNNNNNNNNGCUUGACCCUACCAUCUAUGAGGAUCAUGCUACUGUCAUGUUGACUAGUAAAGUUAUAGGAUCAUUGCACUGAGCUUGACCCUACCCCUUGAGGGUCAUGCUAAUACCAUGUUGACAAGUAAAGAUAGAGCAUAUUAUCAUGAGCAUAAUGAUGAUUUCAAAUAAAAGUUUAUGAACACCCCGUCGGGUGCCACUAAUGCCCGAGGGUGAUGAUGAGUUGGUGAUCACUUUUGGUGAAGUGAUGCACAGGUGUUUUUGUGUGAGUAUGGUUUUGGAAAUGGGAUUAGAUUUCUGAUGUGUCGACCGUCCCAACCUUACCAGUACGACCUCGAUACCCCUUUAUGGGACGGGGCUUUGUUGAUUACUCUGGCCGGUGCUAGCAAAGAGCCACAUUACUAGUGGAGGGAGUGAUUGUCGUCACUCUUGUGAUGGGGUCGUGCCAGGUAGGACGACUAUGCCAUUAUUAUGAGUUCCAGGCACACCGUUGGUCCCCGCAUGGUUGAUACUUUCCAGAGUCGGUGCUCGUAAGACGUACAACAUGUGGGCUGGGUACCAAUCGAGUGGACCUCUUUGUCUAGUAUCGUCAGGGGAAAGAUGAUGAUCGGGUACUUACCUCAGGUAUAUGUGAUAUACCGCGAGUCGUGGAUGACACGGAAGUUAUUCGAAUAAUCGUGUCCACGGUCAAGGACAGUUGGGUGGUGCUGCUUAAACUACGUCCUGAUAUUUCCACAUAAACCAAGUGUGUGUGGUGUUAAAAAGGUAUUGUUAUAAUCAUAAUAAUAUGAGCAAGUUCGGUGACUUGGCAUAUAGGGUAAACCCGGAUGGUUUAGCCCUCAGUUGAUACAUUGAGGUUAUGACAAGUCCGAUGACUUGGCAUAUAGGGUGAACCCGGAUGGUUCAACCCUUAGCAGAUAUGUUGAUAUCUGUAACCUGUUCUUCAAUAGUAAUUCUUUAACUUGAUGCAUAUCCACGAUCAUUCCACCCAGAUGAGUUAUACUAGAAAUGCAUGAUAUUGUUAUCCUUCACUUUCGUUGAUUACAUCAUGGGCUGUUUGCGAGUACUUUCAAAGUACUCAUUAGCUUGCCACUGGUUAUUUCAUUGACCAGGUGUGGAAGACAGGAUAUGGUGGAGAUUAACUCGGUGACGUUCUUGCGAGCUAGGAUGCUUCCGAGUCAGAAUACCUGUAGGUUAAGGCUGAUGGCAUGGGUUAACGCUUUCAACCAAUAAUUCAGCUAUUGGUCUAGNNNNNNNNNNNNNNNNNNNNNNNNNNNNNNNNNNNNNNNNNNNNNNNNNNNNNNNNNNNNNNNNNNNNNNNNNNNNNNNNNNNNNNNNNNNNNNNNNNNNGGAGAGGAUCAUAUCAACCUUGGAAACACUUCCAACACCUAUCGUCACCUCGCCUUUAGCUAGUCUCCGUUUAUGCCGUAGCUUUCAUUUCGCGUUACUAAUCACUUAGCAACCGAACCAGUAUCCAAUACCCUCGUGCUACUAGGAGUACUAGUAAAGUACACAUCAACAUUAUGUAUAUCAAAUAUACUUCUCUCGACUUUUGCCAGCCUUCUUAUCUACCAAGUAUCUAGAGUUGCUCCGCCUCAGUGACUGUUCCCCUUAUUACAGAAGCACUUAGUCUCGGGUUUGGGUUUAAUCUUGGGUCUCUUCAUUAGUGCAGCAACUGUUUUGCCGUUUCACGAAGUAUCCCUUCUAGCCCUCGCCUUUCUUGAAACUUAGUGGUUUUUCAAACCAUCAACUAUUGAUGCUCCUUCUUGAUUUCUACUUUCGCAGUGUCAAACGUCGCGAAUCUCUCAAAGAUCAUUGUAUCUAUCCUUGAUAUGUUAUAGUUCAUCACGAAGCUCUCAAAGCUUGGUGGCAGUGACUUUUGGAGAACCAUCACUAUCUCAUCUGGAAGAUUAGCUCCCACUUGAUUCAAGUGAUUGUCGUACUCAGACAAUCUGAGCACACGCUCAACGAUUGAGCUUUUCUCCUUUACUUUGUGGUCAAAGAAUUUUGUUGGAGGUCUCGUACCUCUUAACAAGGGCACAAGCAUGAAAUCACAAUUUCAUUUCUUUAGAACACCACUUAUGUUCCGUGACGUUUAAAACGUUUUCGGUGCCUUGCUUCUAAGCCAUUAAGUACUUUGCACUGAACUAUCGUGUAGUCAUCAGAAACGUGUAUGUCGGAUGUUCACAGCAUCCACAGACGACGCUCGAGGUGCAGCACACCGAGUGGUGCAUUAAGGACAUAAGCCUUCUGCGCAGCAACGAGGACAAUCCUCGGUUUUACAGACUCAGUCUGCAAAGUUUGCUACUAUCAAUUUUCAACUAAAUUUUCUCUAGGAGCAUAAAAAAACAGUAGAGCUAUAGCGCAAGCUACAUCGUAAUUCGCAAAGACCAUUAGACUAUGUUCAUGACAAUUAGUUCAAUUAAUCAUAUUACUUAAGAACUCCCACUCAAAAAGUACAUCUCUCUAGUCAUUUGAGUGGUACAUGAUCCAAAUCCACUAUCUCAAGUCCGAUCAUCACGUGAGUCGAGAAUAGUUUCAGUGGUAAGCAUCCCUAUGCUAAUCAUAUCAACUAUACGAUUCAUGCUCGACCUUUCGGUCUCAUGUGUUCCGAGGCCAUGUCUGCACAUGCUAGGCUCGUCAAGCUUAACCCGAGUGUUCUGCGUGUGCAACUGUUUUGCACCCGUUGUAUGUGAACGUUGAGUCUAUCACACCCGAUCAUCACGUGGUGUCUCGAAACGAAGAACUGUGGCAACGGUGCACAGUCGGGGAGAACACAAUUUCGUCUUGAAAUUUUAGUGAGAGAUCACCUCAUAAUGCUACCGUCGUUCUAAGCAAAAUAAGGUGCAUAAAAGGAUUAACAUCACAUGCAAUUCAUAAGUGACAUGAUAUGGCCAUCGUCACGUGCUUCUUGAUCUCCAUCACCAAAGCACCGGCACGAUCUUCUUGUCACCGGCGCCACACCAUGAUCAUCCAUCAACGUGUUGCCAUCGGGGUUGUCGUGCUACUUAUGCUAUUACUACUAAAGCUACAUCCUAGCAAAAUAGUAAACGCAUCUGCAAGCACCAACGUUAGUAUAAAGACAACCCUAUGGCUCCUGCCGGUUGCCGUACCAUCGACGUGCAAGUCGAUAUUUCUAUUACAACAUGAUCAUCUCAUACAUCCAAUAUAUCACAUCACAUCGUUGGCCAUAUCACAUCACAAUCAUACCCUGCAAAAACAAGUUAGACGUCCUCUAAUUUUGUUGUUGCAUGUUUUACGUGGUGACCGAGGGUAUCUAGUAGGAUCGCAUCUUACUUACGCAAACACCACAACGGAGAUAUAUGAGUUGCUAUUUAACCUCAUCCAAGGACCGCCUCGGUCAAAUCCGAUUCAACUAAAGUUGGAGAAACAGUCACUUGCCAGUCAUCUUUGAGCAAAGGGGGUUACUCGUAACGAUGAAACCAGUCUCUCGUAAGCGUACGAGUAAUGUAGGUCCAAGCCGCUUCAAUCCAACAAUACCGCGGAAUCAAGAAAAGACUAAGGAGGGCAGCAAAACGCACAUCACCGCCCACAAAAACUUUUGUGUUCUACUCGAGAAGACAUCUACGCAUGAACCUAGCUCAUGAUGCCACUGUUGGGGAACGUAGCAUGGGAAACAAAAAUUUUCCUACGCGCACGAAGACCUAUCAUGGUGAUGUCCAUCUACGAGAGGGGAUGAGUGAUCUACGUACCCUUGUAGAUCGUACAACAGAAGCGUUAGUGAACGCGGUUGAUGUAGUGGAACGUCCUCACGUCCCUCGAUCCGCCCCGCGAACAAUCCUGCGAUCAGUCCCACGAUCUAGUACCGAACGGACGGCACCUCCGCGUUCAGCACACGUACAGCUCGACGAUGAUCUCGGCCUUCUUGAUCCAGCAAGAGAGACAGAGAGGUAGAAGAGUUCUCCGGCAGCGUGACGGCGCUCCGGAGGUUGGUGAUGACCUUGUCUCAGCAGGGCUCCGCCCGAGCUCCGCAGAAACGCGAUCUAGAGGAAAAACCGUGGAGGUAUGUGGUCGGGCUGCUGUGGAAAAGUCGUCUCAAAUCAGCCCUAAAACCUCCGUAUAUAUAGGUGGGAGGGAGGGGGGGAGGCAGCCUCAAAACCUAAAGGUUUGGCCGAAAUUGGAGGUGGAGGAGUCCUACUCCAAUCCUACUUGGAGUAGGAUUCCACCUUCCCACUUGGAAACUCUUUCCACCUUGUGUUUUUUCCUUCUCAAACCUUAUGGGCCUUAGUGGGAACUUAUUCCAGCCCACUAGGGGCUGGUUUAUCUCUUCCCAUAGCCCAUGAGACCCCUUGGGGCGUGACACCCCUCCCGAUGGUCCCCGGCACCCCUCCCGGCACUCCCGGUACACUACCGAUGAGCCCGAAACUUUUCCGGUAAUGCACGAAAACCUUCCGGUAACCAAAUGAGGUCAUCCUAUAUAUCAAUCUUCGUUUACGGACCAUUCCGGAAACCCUCGUGACGUCCGUGAUCUCAUCCGGGACUCUGAACAACAUUCGGUAACCAACCAUAUAACUCAAAUACGCAUAAAACAACGUCGAACCUUAAGUGUGCAGACCCUGCGGGUUCGAGAACUAUGUAGACAUGACCCGAGAGACUCCUCGGUCAAUAUCCAAUAGCGGGACCUGGAUGCCCAUAUUGGAUCCUACAUAUUCUACGAAGAUCUUAUCGUUUGAACCUCAGUGCCAAGGAUUCAUAUAAUCCCGUAUGUCAUUCCCUUUGUCCUUCGGUAUGUUACUUGCCCGAGAUUCGAUCGUCAGUAUCCGUAUACCUAUUUCAUUCUCGUUUACUGGCAAGUCUCUUUACUCGUUCCGUAAUACAAGAUCCCGCAACUUACACUAAGUUACAUUGCUUGCAAGGCUUGUGUGUGAUGUUGUAUUACCGAGUGGGCCCCAAGAUACCUCUCCGUUCACACGGAGUGACAAAUCCCAGUCUUGAUCCAUACUAACUCAACUAACACCUUCGGAGAUACAUGUAGAGCAUCUUUAUAGUCACCCAGUUACGUUGCGACGGUUGAUACACACAAAGCAUUCCUCCGGUGUCAGUGAGUUAUAUGAUCUCAUGGUCAUAGGAAUAAAUACUUGACACGCAGAAAACAGUAGCAACAAAAUGACACGAUCAACAUGCUACGUCUAUUAGUUUGGGUCUAGUCCAUCACAUGAUUCUCCUAAUGAUGUGAUCCCGUUAUCAAGUGACAACACUUGCCUAUGGCCAGGAAACCUUGACCAUCUUUGAUUAACGAGCUAGUCAACUAGAGGCUUACUAGGGACAGUGUUUUGUCUAUGUAUCCACACAAGUAUUGUGUUUCCAAUCAAUACAAUUAUAGCAUGGAUAAUAAACGAUUAUCAUGAACUAAGAAAUAUAAUAAUAACUAAUUUAUUAUUGCCUCUAGGGCAUAUUUCCAACAUCACAUUCUUGACAUCAGAAAAUGCUUCUAUCUAUAUCAUGCAUCUAUAAAAAAGGGAUUAUAUCGUUACAAAGCCACGAUGAAAAGUAUUAAAACCCCAUUUUACCCCCGAAAGCCUCCUAUCCCUAGUCUAUAUUUCCUCAUGGAACUCAACUUGGUAAAUGCUUGUAGAAGCAUUGCGAUAGAAAUUUGUCCUCACAAGUAAUGCCAACCGAAAGAUGAUAGAUUCUCCAAGUGAGCAAGAAUGGAAGAAGACAUGAGUUAUUUGUGAGUUUCUAAAAGCUUUUGAAGAGCUUACCUUAAUUGUUUCAACUCAAAGGAAGCCAACUGCACAUUAAUUUCUGCCGGUUUUGCUUGUAUUCACCAUCUGGUAUUAUAUCCAGCAAAAGAGAUAAACAUACACCACCAACUUCUUUGAACCAUUCAAUGGUGUUUUCUUUAUCUGUGUGUCAAUACUUGUGUUUGUGUGAUAUAAACUACUGAAAGCUCUAACUUUAUUCCCGCCAUAAGAUCGCAUGAUCUUGUUAAAUGCUUUAAUUUUUACGAUUUCUGUUCACAUUGGAUCGUGAACCAUGUCAUUUCGUCCCUUUAAACUGCUACAUAUACAUUAGUGUGCUCAAAACUUGUCCGCUAAAUCUGAUUAGUGGCUUGUAUAUAUUUGUUGUUUUGUUCAUUCUACCAGGCUGGUAUGAAGCAUUCUGAAAGGAGGUUGAUGGUGUGAAGCAGGUUUGGAAGAACGAGAAGGAGCGGAAGGUGGAGGAUCAAUCAGAAUUAGUUGUCAACAAGCAAAAGGACACCUGCGUUGCAACGGGAGAAAAAAUCAUAAUAUUCAAUGUUCAAGACCAUAUUUUGCUGCAUCAUCGAGAUACACUAUGACCCUCAUUUUUGUGGGAUCGUGACAAUUUUUGCAAAUCAUGAAAAAAACUCAUGAACAUAUUUGAAAUCGUGAAGUUUUUCAAAUUCUUGAACAUUUUUACAGAUUUUUUAAACUUUUCUGAAAUGAUGAAAAUUUUAUACUAUUUGCAGACUUUUGUUUUAAAAUUGUGAUCAUUUCUUUAAAAAGAAAACAUGAAUCAGAGACAUUUCUAGAAUCAGCGAACCAUUUGUAAAUCAUGAUUUUUUGCAAAUCCAUGUACAUUUUUCAAAUCAGUGAAGAUUUAAUGAAUUAAUAAACUAUUUUGUAAGUCAUGACCAAUUUUCAAAAUUUUAUGAUUUUUGUGAUUCAUGAACAUCUUUUGAAUUGGCAAAAUUUUGCUCAAUUUCAUUAUUUUUUUAAUACCCUAACUUUUACAAGUCAUGAACGUUAUUUUACUUCUGGAAUAUCACUUUUCAAAUUUGCAAACAUUUUCUGAAUAUGCGAAUAUUAUUUUGAAAAUAGCGAACAUUUUAUAACCCACAAACAUUUAUGAGUUGUUGAAUAUUUUAUUUUCAAAUUAUCAUUUUUUUAUUAUGAAGAGAUUUUUUGAAUUCUCAAAUAUUUAAAGUAGCUAACAACGAAGGAUGAAAAAGAAAAACAAAAAAUGAAAAACGAAAAAUAAAGGCCGCCCAGACAUGGGCUGGCCGGAACAGGAGUGUUGUGUCUUGUCUUAGCAUGCGGAGCGCAGUAUAGGACAUCUACUGUAUGGGCCGGCCCAGCCGGGGAUUCUUCGUUGUGAAUUAUUUGUUUCCACUUACCGAUGGCAUGAGUGGAUAAUUAUCAAUAAUUCUAAGGAUAAUUUAAUAACGGAAGACCAGAAACAGUCAGUGCUUUAUUUUUUACAUACUACUAGCAAAAGGUCCCGUGCGUUGCAACGGGAGAAAAAACUACCAUCUUUAAUGGAGAAAAAACUCAUCGCAUGAUUUCGAAAAUUUAUUCACAAAUGCAAGAAAAUAUUUCUUCUUUUAAUUUUAUUCACAACUCACAAGUUGAAACAAUGUUCAUAUUUUUUUUAAAUAUCAUGGUUGUCCAAAAACUUGGUAACUCAAAGAAUUGUUCUGAAUUUCAAGAAACAUUUUUAAAAAUAAACUAUAAUAUUCGGAUCCAUCCUCACAAUUAAUUCUUCAAAAUUCACUCCGGUAUAUAAUCAGAAAGAGUCAAAAGCAUUACUGUUUAAGUGCAUACAUUCAAUCAUUCGUGAACAUCUUUACAAAUUUGAGAACAUUUUUAAAAUCGAGAAUUUUUCUUACUAUAUAUAUAUAUAUUUUAAAAUUCCAAGCAAUAUGUUAUAUCACGAACUGUUUUCAAGUAUUUUCUUUUGAAUUGGGGAAUAAUUCAAUUUUUGAAUUAUCAAACAUUUUUUAAUUGCAUUAAAGGAAUUUCUCAAAACGAUGGACUUUUUUUAUUCACGAAUGUUUUAUCCAAAAUUACGAUUAAUGUAAUAUGCAAACAUUUUUACAAAGAACCUAAACAAUUUUUGAAUACGCAAACAUUUUAUGUUUUAUGAAACAUUUAUGUAAAUAUAUUUUUUGGAAUUGCGGAAGGUUUUUUUGGUUUAUUUAAAUUAGAAAAAAUAAAAAGGAACAGAUAAAUAAUAAUAAAAAAAUAAAAAAACAGACCCCGUCCAUGGGCUGGCCCAAAUGGCGUGCUGUUUAUUUUCGAGCGAGCAGAGCAUAGUAUAGGUGGUCCUUAUGUUUUGGCCGGCCCAUGUGAGGAUUCCCUACAAAACGUUUUCUAUAAUUUAUAGGUGGCAUUGGUGGGUAAUCUGGCUGGUCUUUCUUCAACAGACCUGCACACUUUUGUAACUAAAGGUAGGAGUGAGACUCUCUGCUUUGGGUGGAUGGUGCUCACAAGUCACAACUUAGUCAUGCACAGAGUACUCAUUGUCCAAACAGUUAGCAGCUUGCUUUGCUACUGAUAGUAGGCGAAGCACAGCAAACCAUCUAGAAACAAAAUUAUGUGAAUUUUAUCUACCGGGAGUUCACAUGAUGUUCUAACGGUUUUUUUAGCUUUAAAAGCAGCAUGUAGUUUCCUGUGUGUUUUUCAAAUAGCUCAUCAAACUGAACUCAUUUGACAUCUCCCACAGGAACCCCCUAUGAAGAAUCAACCAUUGUAAGUUGCUUUCAUAUUUGGAAUAAGUAAAAUAUGUAAAAUUCAUAUGUUUUCUGCAAACAAAUAUGAUGAAUUAUUCAUGUUUGGAAUAAACCACUGGUUGCUGGCUAAUGAUGAUUACAUGCCAAGAACAGGUUUGUGUAACUGAUGCGAGCAACAGUAACAGAUGCGUUCUUCUUCUGUUCAUCCCUGGAGUGAAGAACCGCACAUUCAAAUUGUCAGUAACUUGUUGCGAGGAUAGACGUCUUCGCUCAACACUUGUUAGCAGGAGGUACAUGGCAUUGGAUCGACCACGUGCUGUCAGUACAGAACAUCGAAUGUGCAGGCAAGAUUAUUCGCUCAUUUCUUCCACUAGGGCAGCCGUUGGACGACGACCUGCAAGAAGAACCACAAUUUUUUUCAAGAAGACAAUGGUGGUCAUGACAAGAAAGCCGGAGACGAUGCGUGAGGCUUAGUGAGAUUAUGCCUUGCCGGAGUUCUCCUUGUUUCCGACGAUCGUCUGGCAGGUCAGUCUCCACGACUCCGGUUUCUCGCAAAGGCAACGAGAUGCAGAGUGCACAGUUAACUCGCAGCUCCUCUCCUUGUGAGCCACAGUGGAGACAGCAGCAGAGAAUUUCAGAACGAACUGCCGCAUACCUUCUUCAGGUAACGAUUCUCGGCGUCCGUCCUCGGGCUCAGGAACUCCUUCCCGUCGAUUAUCUGCGCCACAAAGGUUCACACUCUGGUGGCAUCAGUUACAGUUCAGAGCAGCCAUUGUGCACGACGAGAUAGCGUGCUAUUUUCAGUUGUAGUGCUGCAAAUGAUGCUGCAAAUGGUGCACCUCGACGAUGCAGGUGUCGCCGCCGCCGCAGUUCAUUAGCUUCCCUUGCAGCGCGCGCCCCAGGAACCAUUAUUUAACAGAUAGUGGAAGAGGAAAAUCCGCAGAGGAAUUGAGCUAGAGAAGGUGCGGAGGGUAGUGAGGGAGGGUGGCUCACAUAGAGCUCGAUCUUGUUCUCGACCAUGACGUCCCGGAGGAGCUUGUCGCCGCUGACCGCCGCUGACCUGUCCACCGGGUACGACCCGUCGGCGCCCGGCUUGGGCUGCACGCACGACACAGAAAAUCAAAUAAACACUCGCCGCCCGGAGGCCGGAGGUAGCGUAGGCCGUUGAGGGCUUACCCCGAGGAACUCGAGCUCGAUUUGGGGCCUGGGCGGCGCUGGCGUUCGUCCGUGAGGAUCUCCUCCACCACCAGAUGCUCCGCCCAAUCCCUCCUCCCUAGCGUCGCCCCGCCGUUCAAGCUCUCACGCCGCCGCCGCCCCGCCGGCCGUUCCCCCGGCCAGAAACGCCAAGCCGAAGCCCCCAUGCCCAGCCGUCGUGCCACCCGUCGCCAGCUGCGUCGCGCGCCGCCGCCGAUUGGAUCUGACGAGCGCGCCGUCUGCUGCCGCCAUGCCUCCUCGCUUUGAAAAACAUAGGGUCUUAUUCAUAAAAGUGAAACGUUUUCCUGACUAAAGAAAGGACUGCAGGUUUAUUAACUGAAAACGGAGGGGCCUUUUUGUAAAAAUGCCACGACAAACGACAAGAAACAGUAUUUGCUUUAUUAUUAUUAGGGAGAGAUGAAAUAUGAUCGAGCAUUACAAUGGGAGAAAAAAUAUUAUGUUGUAGCCAAAUAAAUAUAGCUUAAUACCCCGACAUAUGAGCUUCCUCUAUUUUUCUAUUUAACACGAUGACCCAUCAUAUUACCACUUAUCUUUUCUCCCAUUCUUGUUAAUGAUGGUUACGUUAUUCAUGUGAUCAAAUUUUAUGGAUUGAUGUCCACUUAUAUUUUUUGUGAAAUGCAUGGACAGUUUUUUCUCAGGGAACAAUUCUUGAGUUGAUGAUUAUUUUUGAAAAUGAGGAACAAAUUUUGAAAUUCGUGAUUUGUUUAGUUUUUCUCAACAUUUUUUGAAAUUUCAUAAACAUUUUAUUUAAAUUCACGGAUAUGUUUUGAAUAAAUGAUCAUUUUCAAAAUCAUGAACAUUUUAUAUUUGCUGAAUAAGUUUUUUAAAAUUGUGAAUUCUUUUAUAAUAUGCGAACAAUUUUUUAAAUUCAUCAUUUUUUUUGAAUCCAUGAAAAUUUUAUUAUUUUCUGAUCCUAUGUUUCAAUUCCCAAACAUUCUAUAAUUUUAUAAACAUUUUUUUUGCAAAAUUUAAAAAUUUGGAAUUUUGAAACAUAUAGAAUUAAUUUAAAGAAGAAAACAAUAAAUUGAAUUAAUAAAACAUGGGCUGCCCAUGAGCUCGUGUUUGCUGCUAUAAGAAGAGAAAAGCACUGCUUGUGUAAUCAAGUUUUGUUAUUGAUGUUGAUUUAUCUUUUUUUCUUUUGAAAUGUAUGUUUGAAGAGAAAACUUUUUGUUUUUGCCAUUCUUGUUUUUGUCAACUUUGCUUAUGGCACUUUAGAAUUUGACAUCUCAUUUUUACGACUCUUUGCUUGUGAUAAUAUAUCACAAAUGCCAUUCUGUUAGACAUCCAUGAGUUGACCGUUGUUCUAAAUAGUUGAUCAAGAAAAGAGUUGUUAGUAUUUCUAGAAAUACCACAAUUUGCCCCUACUAACUUGUCCCCCCGCCUGUCGCCGCCGCGUCCACCCUUCAUCGUCUGCUCUAGCUCUACCGCCGCGCCCCCUCCUCUGGCCUCGCCGACGGAUCACGCGUCUCGGGUCACCCCUCCGUGGCGUCCUGCUCUGACCUCGCUGAUGCGCCGUGCAUCUUCGUCGUCCCGUCCCCGGCGCCCUACUCCAGCCUCCCUCCCCGACGCGAUCCGUGCCAGUGACCUCUGCUCCUCCGCUCCGGCCUCCCUCCCCGUCGCGGUCCGCGCCAGUAAAGUGGAAGUCAGAUGGAUCUUUUUCACAAGACAAAAAACAAUAUUCUCUUGAGAACAACUAUAGGGGAUGUGGUUACUUAUUCAUAAGUCGUGCUUAUUAGCACGAGAUAUUACAAGCGACAUAGAUUUUCACACAAAUGACAUACUCGUACAUUCCUUACUUGAGAGGGAUUCAAGACAUGGCAUAUCAUGGCAUGGCAGGCAUAUAUAAUAAUUCUGCCAGCUAACAAAGGUGUCCCUGAUUUAUUUCAACAACACACAAUAAUAGUAGUAGCACGUAGGCCUCACGGCCUACUCCUUAUAGCAGAAGUAACUCGAUGGAUGAUGAUGAAUCAUGGAAGAACAUAGAUUCCAAUGGCAUCAAUUAGAUCCCCAACACGUCCAAAGAAACCGGUGAUCUGGCCGCCAUGAGUCACUGGGACAUGAAAGGAACCCCCGGAACCAGCAAUACCACAUUUUAUAGUCUGUCCAUUGUUUGUAACAAAUUUGAGAGACGUCACUAUUGACGACACACUACCCCAUCUACCAUAGGUUCCUGAAAUUUCAGUCACAUAUUCCGUGUCUUCAAGGUCCAACUGUGUAAAACAACAAUCAAGCAUUUUUAUA